rnacentral:lncRNA from 1 species
GAAUUAACUAUAAAACAGGUCUUUGCAUAAUUAAUGCUUUUACAAAUAUCUUGAAAUAAUAUUUCUUACUCCAUUAAAACUUUUCCUAUCAGAAAUUAGCAGUGAGAAUCCGGGUUCUGAUAUGAGUUCAGUGUUGCAUGGAUUGGACAAGAUGAGUUUGCGGUACGGGGCUAGAGAAGACGAGAAACAGGGGAAUCUGUAAACCAUUUGGCCUGACUCCUCAAUGUGUUAAUUCGUUUUUUUACUGAAGCUGUUUAGACUUCGCUAAGAGACAUGAAAACUUACUGAGUGUUGUUUUGAUCGGUUAAGUGAAUUGUUAUCGCAAUACAAAGGUGAAUCUUUUUUUUCCAGAUUUAUUUUCUUUAGAAUUCAUCAAAUGCUAAUUUCCAUUUCAGAUUUAUUCUGUCUAUGCUUUCCCACUACUUUCUUUAUGAGACUGGGGAUUGCCAAGUUUGUCGCAUGAAUCAGGAAUAUAUUUUACACUAAAGGCAAAACGAAGGGCUCUAGGAAAUGUCUGGUGUUUUGGAUGAGCAUCAUCCAGCGCUAGCCAAUGCGCUGAUCGUAUGAUUGUUGGGUAACGUGUUCGAUGGUGUGAGUGCAGCAAAGGGUGUGUGUUCUAGGAAGGGAAAAGGAGAAGCAAACUGUUGAGCUGGAGGUCUGCAAUCAGGGAAUGUUCAAAACUGAGUUGUGUAACAAAUGGCAAGAGACCGGGGAAUGUCCCUAUGGAGAGAACUGCCUAUUUGCUCAUGGAAUUAAGGAGCUGCGCACAAGACUGAGGUAUGCCGUAUGGUGUUGAACGGUGAUCACUGCCCUUAUGGACACCGAUGCCACAUCUGCCACACCCUCACUGAUGAGGAGGAGCUUAUCAAGUCCGUGAACAUCAGGCCCCUAAAGCCACUCAAUCGUUAGGUCCACGAUUAUAACUCCCUUAAAUGAGAGUUCUUUCUUAAAAUACCAAAAACAAAAGAGAGAAAAUAAAAAUCAAGCAAAUUCGAAGGAAGAAAUAAAACAACACAAAAUACCAAAAGCGCAUUUGGAUUGUGAAAUUCAUAGAGCUUUUAUAAAAAUAUUAUAUAUUAAAAUGACUUGAUAUACAUAAGAUAAAAAAAGUAAAUUAUAACGACUUGAUAUAUAUGAAUAAAAAGGUAAAUAAAAAAAAUUGUCGAGAAAAAAUUUUUUUUUUGGGGCAAAAACUCUCAAAGGUUAAAAUUAGCUAAUAAGUACAAAUUUGAGAGCUGAAAAACAGUUUAAAAAAAGCCCGAAAGACUCGCCCUUUUGUCUUUUCUCAUAUUUUCCCUCCACUCUGCCUGCCUUCUUCACUCUCAGACUCCUAGUACCCUCACUCUCUCAUUCCACUCUCUUUCUUCUCUCUCUAGGGUUUUUCCGAUUACCGAAGCGAGAUAAAUCGAGCAACCGCUAUGGCGUCGACCGCCGGGGUUUUUGGAAACCGCUGCAGAGCACUCAUGGCAGCCGCUAAGACCUCCGUCGCCUCCACCACUGCUGGAUCCGCCGCUGCCAAAACUCCUGGCCGCAGAAAUGGCAUCCUGAAGAAGCAGCCUGUCUCCCCUGCUCUCCGCCAGUUCGUUGGCGCACCGGAAACUUCCCGCAAUGACGCCGUCAGGAAAGUCUGGGAUUACGUCAAAUCCAAAAACCUUCAGGUCUAAUGAAAAAAUACGAGUAGCUUUUCCAUUCCAGUGGAUUUUUUUAAUAAAAAAUUUUAGAUGAUUGUUUGACUUAUCUGCUCAUUAUCUUCUAAUUUGUCACUAAUUUUUUUUAUAUUUUCUUUUUUUGUUCGUUGGCUCAACUUCUGUUGGUUGUUGAUUGUGUACGGAAUCAGGCAAUAAUAUGUCUCUGGACAAAGACGUGCAGAGAUAUCAUGAUUGUAGUCCUAUUGAGACUGAUUUUUUUAAAUUUUCUUUUUGAAUUUCUGUCUUUUAAGAAUGUCAAUGUAAAGGCAAAUAUACAACGAUGUUGAUGUCCUUGUGAAGCAAUAGAGUAUGGGUAUCGGGGAACAGAAGAAGAAAAAGUAUAAUAAGAGAAGUGCCUGGGUAGUUUGCAACUAUUUACUUUUUGUCUGUUUAAAUGCAUAUGUGUAUAUUUAAGUACUGUAAAUUCAAGGGCUCUAGGCAUAAUUGCUAUCCAUAAAACAGGAAGGGAAGUUUUAAGCUCUGUUUUCUGGGGAAGGGAGGGGGAUGAGGAGUGAAUGAAACCAUUGCUGUUUUAGGAUUUGAGUUAUCCUAUUGUCCAGUGUCCUACCCCUAAUUUUUAGCCUCUUAUGUCUGAGAAUCCUAGUUUCUCUUUAAACUUUUGUGGUCUCUGUAUUUGCUUUCCUAUUCUUUUCUGGUAUUCUUUGAAUAGAAGACUAAUAGAAAGGUGUGUGAACGGUUUUGAGUUAUGGGCUUCUGUUCAUUGUUGCUGUUAUUGAUGUGAUAAAUUUGCAAGGCUAAUGCUGAUAGAAUGCGUGUUUAUUGUGCAUUUGAUCUGGUGGAGUCUAAAGUGGUAGUGCCCAAAUUUCUAACCAAACUGAUGUUGUACAAUGACUAGGUAAUUAAAAGAUUUCAUUGACAUUCUUCUGCAGGCUAAUGAAUAAUUCUUACUUGUGUGAGUAUUUCUCCUUCCCUGUUUCUUCUUUCUAAUUUGGAAUGGUUUGUUUUUCUUGGUUCAUCUUUUCUUUUAUUCAUCUAUUUUCUGUAUUGGAGCCACUAGGGGAAAUUGGAUCCCUUGGUCUUGUGUCAAUUUUUAUCAUAUCUUAUUUUGUAUAUGUGGAAUUUUGCACUGCGACUUUGAUAUAGACAUUCUGGUUUCUUUACUGCUUGCAAAAUUAGUUUAAUUUUGAUAAUUAUUGUACUUCUGUGUCAAGAAUACUGCUACACUGAUGGAUUGGCGUAUAAUUUCCCUUGAGAUGACAGAAGGUGGAGUUCAUUACCUAUGCUUGUUGCAGAAAUUCGUGGUCAUGCUGCCUUUUAUAUUGUUUGUCUUGAGUAGUAGAUUUUAAGAAGAAUUUUGAAAUCUGCAUGGAGAAUAUCUGUGCAAUUAGUUUGUGUUGCAUAUUCAUAGUUAAUCACGAUUUCUUAUUGCAUGAGACUAGAAACUUUCCUCAAGGUUACUUCAAAAUAUGGUACAUGACUUUGUUGUGGUCUCCUUGUAUUACAGAAUCCAAACAACAAGAAAGAGAUCUGCUGUGAUGAGAAGCUGAAGACCAUAUUCGAAGGCAAGGAGAAAGUUGGAUUUACUGAGAUUGCGAAGCUGCUUUCCAAGCAUUUCCAGAAGGCUGCAUAAACAUUUCUUAGAAAAGAUAGUCUCUCUAGUGGACGGGUAGAUUUGUAAUUCAGGAAGUAGAACAUAUCCUCUUUUGUUCUGUGUCUCUUUCUUUCCCUGCUGUUGUCUUUUUGGACGAGGGAUAGUGAAUCUGGUGCACAGAUUAGAUGUUCUCUUUAUGUUAUCUCGAUGAUGGCGUAAAAGUUGCGCAGGGUCUGUACGGCAAACAUGUUCCACUGUUCUGAUAGUUUUGGGGAAUUUUUUUUUGGGCAUCUGUUAAUGGCUUCUCUUAUUGAUAAAUUAUGAGGUGUGCACUCUUUCGAAGUUUCUUUUUUUCUGACAUUUAAAACACCAGUUAAAGGCUAACCGGUUAAAGCUUGCACUUGAAUGGAACGUCUGUUUAUUAUUCUUUGGUAGGAAAAGGCAACGGUGUUGUCCACUAAUUCCUUUCGUCCCCGUCCCUUGCCCCAUGGGUGCCUUUACAGGACGGGGGUCAAUAAAAUUUUGUCAUAAUUUUAUUAUAAUUAAAUUUUAAUAAAUAAUUAAGUAUUAAAAUAUCAAUACAUGAUCAAAUUAUUAUCUAUUGUAAUUUUACAAUAAAAAUUCAUAAAAAUAAUAAAAAAAAUUAUUUGAAUAUAAUUCAAUAUAAUGAAAUAAAUAUAAUUAAAAUAGUCAUGUUUUUACUUUUGACACAUACAAUUAAUUAUUCAUUAUUGUAUUUUUUUUGAGAAAAAAGUGUAAUUGUAUUAAGUGUAAUUAGGAAUUUAGUAUAAAUGUACUAGUAAAUUUAGUAUAACUAAUUAAUAAUUUCUAUUAGUAGUUAUGCAUAAUUAUUAGUAUAAUUGAUAAUAUUAAUUAUAUUACAUAUACUAAUAUCUAUUAUAUAAUACAUAUAACUAAUAAUAUCAUUAUUAUAAAUUUGUAAAUAAUUAAAUUAAAUAUUAUAUAUAUAUAUAAUUAUAUACAUACAUACAUAUAUAUUUAUUUAUUAAUUAAUUUUUUUAACAAGUGGCGGGGGGAGCCACGUUUCUAGUCGAAGGGAAAAAAUUCCCCCCAACCCCUGCCCCAUUAGUCUCUCAUAGGGUGGGUGCCCGCCAUCCCUAUUCUUUGGCUGGAAUCACCACUUUUGUUGUGAGAUUGCGAGGCAAAGUACCUAUGUGCUGGGUAAGGGUUGGAAAUACAUCGAGUUGAAUUUUUAAACUGUCAGACUUGAUUGGAAAUUUUGAGUUUGAAUCCUAUACAAGUUUGUAAUUGGCUUAACUUAAUUACAUAUUGCUCUCUUGUGAUUAGGUGUUAGUAGCAAAUUGCUUCCUAUAUUUCUGAAAUUGACAAAUUGCUUUUUUUUUUUGUUGGGGAAGCGAUAGAAAGUAUUAUUGAUGGUAAGAUUAAAAUUACACUGUGUGAGCAAGGGCUCAUAUUGAGCUAUACAAAAGUGAACUAAGACGCUGAGGAUAUAAGAAUUCCUCAUCAAAAGUUUUAUCUUGAGCAAGUAUAUUCAAUCUUGUACUUAGUCUAUUAAGUUCACAAGACGGACUAUCAAAUGAGUAUUUCCUAAACAUUGAGCUAAAGUCCUUGAUAUCCUCCUGAUGUGUAGCAAUUCUGGUAUCAUUUGAGGAUUGUUUCUGUAUCAGGUUUAGAACUCAGGUACAGGAUGUAUGGACCUUGAUCAUCUCCCAAACUUGUUCCUUGACCUUGCUCAAGGCCAAUAUAAUGGCCUGCAGGUAGUCUUGUACCAUUGAUCCAGUGCUUCGUUCCCUCAUUUUCCAGGUUGCAAGCAGCUAGUUCAAGUUGUUUUUUUACAAAGAUCCCUAUCCCCAUAUUUUGGCCUUCCUUAUGAUGUCCUACAUCCGCACAUUAUUAGCAUGUUCUCUCCUUGUGCCACAUUUUGCUCUUGUUCUAAAGCUGUUUUUAUUUCUAAGAUGCUCAUCUGAGUUGUUGUUUGUUGAAAUUGGCUAUAUUCCUCCCAAUCCUUGAUUGUUUUCGAAUUCUUCCAUAGGAUGCCUUUCUUUGUCUUCAAACUCCUCUUCAUUUCUAAUUUUUUAAAUUUGCCAUAAUAUGUUCACUGUCAAGGCUAUGUGGUCUAUGCCAUCCUUUCCGUUGCUUGCUUCCAUCAGCUUUAGCCACUAGCUUUUGAAAUUUCCUGUGUGUUCAUUGAGUCCAUCCCAUUGAAGGGGGGCCAUUUUUCAUAUAAUUCUUGCUUUUCUGCAUUGAAAAGAGAUAUGUUCCACUGCCUCAACAUCCUCCCCACAGUUUUUGCAAAUCAAAUCUCCUUUUCUUGUUCUUCUCAAGAUUAUUCUAAAGAUUAUUUCUCUUGCUGGCAAAGCAUGAUUCAGACACUUCCAUAUGAACAACUUUUGUUUAUGCUUGAUCUUUAUUUUCCAUAGCUGUUUCCAAGCUCUUUCUUUCUCACUUGCACUGCUUGUCUCUCCCUUAUUGCUAUCUCUUUUUUUCCAUCUGUCUAUCCUCCUUGGUCAUUGCUUCAUAUGCUGAUUUGACAGUGUGUUGUCUAGUAUUACUAUGGCUCCAAAAGUAGCUAUCAGGUCUACCAGCUAAGCUUACAGCCAUUCUGAGGAUUUUCCUAGCUUCAUCUGAACUAAAGGUCUUGAAGAUUAGUGUUGUAUUCCAUUUGAAAUUUGAGAUCAAUUCAGUCACCUUGCUAAUUUGACAACCUUGAGGCUUAGGAGAGUUUAAUUUUCCUCCCUUGCAGUUCUGUAUCCAUGCAUCUUCCCAGAUUUUUGUACCUUUUUCCAUUUCCAAUUUUCUUUCUAGUCCCCCUAUUUACUUCAUCUCUGGCUCCUAUCAGACUUUGCCAUAUCCAGGAUGAAUUGCACUUAACUUUGCAGCUUAGAGGUGAACCCUUUGGAUAGUACUUAGCUUUCAUCACUUUGCUCACCAGGAGGUUUGGACAUGUUAAAAGUCUACAUACCUAUUUGCCCAACAAAGCUUUAUUGAAUUUUUAGAGAUCCUUAAAACCUAGUCCACUAGCAUCUUUCUCAGUUGUUAGUUUUUUCUAGGAGCACAGUGGAUUUUUCCUUUUCCUUCUCCCUCUCCCCUCCAGAAAUUUUUCAUCAUUGCAUUUAUCUCUAUGUAUAGUUUGACUAGAAGUUUAAAAUAUGACAUUGCAUACGUUGGGAUUGCCAUGGUUAUUGGUUUCAGUAAAACCUCUUUCCCUGCUUGGCUUAGCAUUUUGUUUCUUCAGUUGGUUACAGUUUUUUGGCACUUUUCUCUGAUAAAUCCAAACACUUGAUCUUUGGUUCUUGUGAUAACCAUAGGCAACCCCAAGUAUUUCCCCUGAUUUACUACUUGUAUAUUCCCCAAUCUUCUGCAUAUCUCUCUUUGCUUUUCCUGAUCCAUGUUCUUGUUGAAGAUUACUAAUGACUUGUCUAUAUUGAUCAUCUAUCCUGAUCCUUGUUCAUAUGUCUUCAAGAUUCCCACUACUUCUUCAGUUUGAGUGGUUUUUGUGUGGAUCCGAAAAUUAUUUUAUAUUUUAUUUUAUUUCUUUGAAUACAUUUUCUUUCCUUUACUUAUUGCCUUAAUUUCCUAAAUAUUUUUAUAAGUGAGUCAAGUUUUAAAACCUUUUUCUUCUAUAUGUUAGUACAUGUUAAGUUCGUAGUGCAUUUUGGAAGUAGGACCCACUAGUGAGGUGUGUGCGAUAAAUUUUUGAAGAUUAAGAGGAGUUUUGUGCAAAGAGAUAUUAUUUUAUAAAGUGUUAAGGGAUAAUUAGAGGUUGGUUAGAUAAUUUAGCAUUUGGAAGACAAAUAGAUGAGAAUUAACCUUGGAGUGCCACUUGUCAACCAAGCCUUGGAGCUUUGACUUGGACCAAGACCAUUUUUAGCUUUUAAUUAACAAAAAAAUUGACCAAAAAACUUAUCAUCUUUCCCUUCUCUUGGCCGACUUCUUGAGGGAGAAAAGGAGAGGAAGAAACUUCAUCUUUAACCUUGAAUCUUGCUUGGAUCCUUGGAAUUUCAUCCUGAGCUUGCAAGUCCAUCCAUAGAAAGUGAUAUCAAGGUAGGAAGAAAGGCUUUUGUGGAGAGAUUUGUGGAGGAAGAAGCUUUUGGUUGCAUUUCUUCAUAGGGUUUGGAGGUAACUAUAUCAAGAAACCAAGUUUUCUUUUAUUACUUGCAUAUGAGUGGAUUUAAGGUUUGAUUUUGGUAGAUUUCAUGGAAAAUUUCAUGGUUUGUGUGGUGGUUGGAAAAUUCCAGCUUUGAGUGAGAAAUUUGGCUCAUAGUUGAGUCUAACAUGUGAAUUUCGUUCAGCUAAGUUUUGGAUGGUUGGUCCAUAAUAUUUUAUCUUGGUUGCUCUUAGGGUUUGAUAGUGAAUACGCAAAUAACCCGGAGACGAACGUUUAACGUUGCUCUGUUUGAACUAGUAAGUGUUCUAACUGCAUGUUCCAUGCUCAUUGUUGUUAGAAAUUGCUAGGCACUUCAUUUGUCAUUUCAUGGGCGAGUGUGUACAUUAUCGCACUUAACCUAACUUGACUAAAUACUUCAUAUCUCAUUUAUGUAUGUACAAAUAACUUGAUUUACACAUGACUCGUAUCUUGACUUGAAAUACUUGAAAUGCUUGAAAAUGUGACACGCUGAGCUUACUUGUGACUUGAUCAUAGCUAGGCGAGUGUGUCCUCAUAUGCACUCGACCUCCAUGAACCUGAAAUAUUUGAUCUUGCGUGCGGACUUGCAUGUACAUGUGCAUGAUUGUAGACCGGUUGUAUAUCUUCUUGUAGCGGUUGAACAGGGCCUUUGGACCCUUAUUCGAGACGUCGGUUAAGUGGAAACUUAGAUUACUCAUGCGUAUGUAUGAAUAUAGGUCGGUAACAGCUGAACUGAGCCCUCGUUGGAUCUCUUGCUUGAGACCAGCCUUAGAGUGGUCGAGUAAGCGGGGCAACCUUAGGUAAACGACAAAGUUCCUAACCUGUUUACUCGUGACUUGAAUUCAUGACUUGAACUAAUGACAUGCUUGAAUAUGGAGUGUUAGGUGAUAGCUAAUGUCUCCAAUCAUUUCCUGCGUAAGCGUUGGAUGAUAGCCAACGACUCCACUACUAAAUACUUGAAUACUUGGGGCUUUAAACCCAAAUCUUGAAUACUUGAAUAUGUGGAGCUAUAAGCCAAAUCCAGGGAUAGUUGGUCGAAUCGAGUCGGCAAGGGUUUGGUCGAGAAGAUUGACGAACCCUGGGUACUUGAUUGGCGUUCUGGCCCAGUAGGGGGAUGAUUGGUGGACGGAGAUUGACGUUUAGUGGUGAUCUACGGACAUUAUAAUGCCAUGGUUGACAGAGAGUCAACGGACCCUGGACAAGCUGCCGUGGUACCUGCUCCUGAGAAUAGAGUAUAUCUUUUGACAUGAACGUGUUUCUUAUCGUACACUAUUGCAUGAUCUAUUUGGUCACGUACAUUGCUAUACAUUAUAUCAUGCCUGCUAGUUUGCUUGCAUGUUUUCUUGGAACCUCACUAGGUUUCUCACUCAUUCCAUGAAUUUGUUUUCCUUACAGGAGUAAGAACGUGAGAGUGGAAAUUAGAGAAGACAUAGUUUUUGUUUAAGUUUUGUUAGUUACUCGCGUAGGCACUCCUUAGCUCUCUAGCAGGUUUGUUUGGUUUUAUUUUGUAAACUUGACUCCUUGACUGUAUUUAGAGAUUGUAUAGACAUUUGAUGUCCAUGAUUGUAUAUAUCUAAGGUUGUAAUUGUUAUUACUCUCAUUGUUGAGGUUAAUAUUUGGUAAAUUUCGAUUACGUAAGUAAGUUCUGACGAGAGUUGGACAGGCGGUCCGCCAAACCCUUGAAAUGCCUUAGGGGGAGGUGGGGUCGUCACAGUUUUAGCCUUGCAAAAGAUCAAAGAAUCAUCCGCAACGAAAAGAUGAGUUAAUGCAGAACCAAUUCUGCUGAUCUUCAUUCCAGUCAAGUGAUGGUUCCUCUCUGCUUGAGCUAGUAAGAUGCUAAAGGAUCACCAUGUCUGAUCCCCCCUUGUAGGAAUCACAUGUCCUUUGGAUUCCCCAUUUAUGUUGAAAGAAAAGAAACCGUUGAGAUGCACUCCAUUAUCCAAUUGAUCCAUUUGUCAUAGAACCCUAUUUUUGCCAUAAUUUCUUUCAAGUAACUCCAUUCCACCCUGUCAUAAGCUUUUGAUAUAUCUAAUUUCAAAGCCAUAAAACCUUGUGAUCCCUGCCUUUUGUUUUUGAGGUAAUGCAUAUACUCAUGAGAAAUUAUCAUAUGUCCAAAAUCUAUCUACCAGGCACAAAAGCUGCUUGGUUUUUACUGAUGCAGUUUUUCAAAACUUCUUUUUAGCCUGUUUGCAAGGAUUUUGGAGAUGAUCUUGUAAAUAACAUUGCAUAGGCUUGUUGGUCUAAAUUGCUUAACCUCAGUGGGAUUCUCAACCUUAGGGAUUAGAGAAAUUAUGGUAUGGUUCACUUCUCUUAGCAUGUGGCUAGAGUGGAAGAAAUUUUUAUAGCUUUAAUAAUAUCACACUUAAUAAUGUGCCAAAAUUUCUGAAAAAAAUAGUGGUGUCAUUCCAUUAGGGCUAGGUGAUUUAUUUGGAUUCAUGGAAAACAAAGCUUCUUUUAUUUCUUUCUCAUCUUUUUCUCACCGACAGGCUUAGUAAGGUUUGUGUUCAUUUAGUUUGUGAUGGUCUGUGAUAUUCCUUCAAGAAUCAUGUCCAACAGUUCCACUCCCUUACUGCAAAAAAGAUUCUUAAAAUAAUUGCCCACUUCCUCUCCUAUUUCCUCUUCUGUGUUGGCCCAAGACUUGUCAUCUCUUUAAGUAUUUUGAAGCAUAUUUCUCCUUCUUCUACCUUUAACACAAGAGUGGAAGAAAUGGGUGUUCCUGUCACCUUCCUUUAACCAUUUGACUCUAGAUUUCUAGUUCUAGAAGAGUUCUUCCUCACUGUAGGCUUCUUUUAACUGAAUUUUCAACUUCUUUGUCCUUUCUUUUCUGUCUUGGCGGUCAAAUAUUUUGAGUUCCUCCAGUAGCUUUUUGGUGUUCUCUAUCAUUUGCCUUGCAUAUCCUUGGAAAUUGUUCCGCCACAUCAGAAUAGCCACUUUGCAGUUUGCAAUUUUCCUAUUCACUCUGUACAUACUUGAACCAUUCUGAUCCUCUUCCCAAGCCUUUCUGAUGACUUGCUCAAUGCCUUCUUUUGUUAGCCAUCUUCUAUCAAAUAGGAAUCUUUUUUUCCUUUUCUCAUUUUGGGGGUUGGAGUCUAGGAAAAUCAUGUUAUAAUCUGAGCCAAAGUUUUUGAUGUGCUUAACUAUAGUUCUAUCAAACAUUUGGCUCCAAGAACUACUUCCCAAAGCUCUAUCCAAUGUUUGUUUGAUGUCCCUUUCCUAUGACCAAUGAUUACCCCAUGUCGAAGGAUUGCCUUCAAAGUCUAGGUCUGUCAAUUCAUUCUGAUCUAUGAAAUUACUAGUCUCUAAAGCUUCCUUUUUUGUUUCUCCUUCCAUCCUAUUUCUUCCCGUUCGAAGUAAUAUCAUUGAAAUCUCCUGCAAUAAUCCACCUAGUACCCCAUAGGUCCUUUCUUCUUUCCACAACUUGCCAUUGAUUUCUCCUGAUUUGGUCAUCAUCAUUGGCAUUAAUGCUAAUGAACCACCUGUCCAUGUUGUUGUUUGUAUCUAAAAUGUGGACUUCUAUAGUAAAAGCAGUAGUAAGCACCUCCAUCACUUUAACAUCAGUGUUCCACGUUACAAUCAUACCUCCAACUUUAUUCAUGGACUUACCUACUACACUUUCCUCAUACCUCAACUAUCUUCUCACUUCUUCCAUGAAAGGUUUCAUAUGAAAACUAGUUUUGGAGAGAGGAGGUUGUAAGCCUCCUUCAACUAGGGAAUUGUCAAGGGGCUCCCUGUAUUUGAAUAAUUCCAUACCAAAAUUCUCAUUUAUCCUUUAGAGACCCAGGCUGGUCUCCUCCCCGUGUCCUAAUUCUGCAUAGUUUUCUUGAACUAACUCCCUUUUGCUCUUUUUAUCUAUUCUCUCAGCCACCUCAACAUCCAUCAUUACUUCAUCCACUAAAUGAAAUUUCCUUUUCCCUGAGAUUUUCAUGGUGCUCACACUAUUCUGAAUCUCUUUAGUGGUUUCCUGAUGAUGUUCGGUGACUUUAAUUAUUUUCUGGUCCUUUUGGAAGUUUUCUGGUUACUUUUUCCACUAGGACCUCCAAAUUCCCUUCCACAUGCAUAUUUUCCCCUUCCAUAUCCUUAAUGCUUUGGUCAACAGUCCUUUUUGGCUCUAUUUCCUUAUUCCCUUCCAAGUUUACAGCCUCUCAGUCCUUCUCUUCUUGAUUUUCUCUUCCUUUUUAAUGGUUUCUACUGUCAAUACCUUCAUCCUCAUUUGACUUUUCUUUACUUGUUUUGCUUUUUCCUACUAGUAUGUUUGAAGUAUUUUGUCCAAAUAACCCGUUAGCUGGCUCAUUUAUGCUUUGAUGCCUUGUUUCCAUCAACUAUCUCCCACAUGUUCUUGGGAUUAGUUCCCCAUCUUUGAAUCCCCAUCUCUGUUUAUUUGGGGACACUUGAGCAAAAUAUUGACCUCUCAUUUCUUUUUGUGGUGACCCUUUUCCACUUCCUGCUCUAAGCUAUGGUCCAAAUUGAUUUUCCAACUGAUCUUUUCUUACUAGUACAAUUUCAAAACAAUUUCUUUCACUAUGUCCUAUUCUACAACAAUUGUAGCAGAAAUUUAGACAUCUUUCAUCCCUGAGGCUUAUCCAUGUCACCUUUCCUUCCAUUUUGACAGUAGUACCUGAGGGUUAAGAAAUAUAUACCAUUACUAGAAUUUUAAUAUGCCUACUUUCCUUUCCCUCUCCUUGAGGUAUGAUCACAUCUUUGGCUUCCUGAAAAACUGAAGUUGUCUUCGUCACCACUUCCUUAGAUAUCCAAUGUAUGGGAAGGUUCGAUAUCUGGAUCUGUAACGGAUCUCACCACUAGAAUUUGGUUAUCAAUAAUCCAUGGGCCUCCUUUGGAGAUCCUAUCUCUAUCUCUCUCACUUGGGAUGAAAAACUAGAAAAUAUUAACACCUAAUUCUGGUACCCUUAGUCCCUUUGGGUAUCCCCAAGCAAGGGUGACAAAGUUAUUAACUCCAACAAAAUUGAUAAUCUUCUCUCUUUUUAUUCUUUCCACCAGACUCUUCCCACAUUCUUUUACACUUGGUCCAACAUCCCUUAGGUCAAUUUCUGUGCCACCCAUCUCCUUGCUAGAUAGAGCAAAAUUUUGCAAGAUUUCAGUGAUUUCAUCUACCAUGGCAUACCUAUAAGUGAUUCUUAGAGGAAUAUCCCACACCAGCUUUAACCAAGUGGGAUCAAGGGGUUCAAGUUUUUUGUGCAGGGAUAUCCAGAUGUUCUCUAAUCUACUUAAGUUUGAAGCAAGAAUAAUAGAGAAAGAGGUCUAGGUUACUAAAGAAACCAUAGCUAGCAAGAAUACAAAGAUCUAGGAGCUACAGAGCUUAUCUUAAAAUUUUUUAUUUUCUACUUUUUUUUUUUGGAAAAUCAAAAAAGCUUUAAAUGAAGUACAUGCACAAACAAGCUAGAUCUUUUAGGUAACAGUAUAUAAAUUACCUAUUUAACCUGAAGUCAGGGUAGAAGUCAAGGAAAAGUGGGAUUCCUUGUUGUUUUGCUCCUUACGGUUUUAGCCAAUCAGCAUUGAAGGUGGUAGAUCUUUGGCUUUGCUUUAAUACAGCCAUUUAAUUUUUUAGUACCAGAGCACUUAGCUGAAACUUAAACAGAUUUAUUGUUGGCUUCAAUGUAAUCAUUUAGUCUUUUGGAAGCUUGCAAUGUUUCAGACAAGGAUUUCAAACUCCAAAGGAAGGAGAUAGGCACGAUUCCCAAGAGAGAGAAAAUUUUGAUUUCUUACGCGAGAGACGACAAAUUGCUCCCUGAACACGAAGAUAAUGCAUUUGGGUUGCAAAAAGAUAAUUACUUGUUAGAAUAUUGCAAAUGAUCAUUUGUCCUUUUUUUUCAAUCUUCUUGUUGUUUUCUUUAUUAUUAAUUAAAUUUCUUUUUCUUCCUCAAUUGUUAGUAAGAAAUACAAAAUUUGAUAAAAAUAUGCUAAAGAAUUUCUUAUGAAAAUUUUAAUUAUUAAAAGGUAUAUAUAUUUAUUCUAAGUAAUUUCUAUUUUAUUAACAAAUUAAACAUUUUGGCAUAAAUAUUUUACUUAUUUUUCUCUUUUUCUUCGUUCUUUUCUUUUUCUUUAUGCUUAUUAACAAUCUAUUUGACACUCAACAUAAAUAGUUAUUUUUCUUUAUAAUAGUUAACUAUCAUAAAUUACUAUAAGAAACUAAAAUAUAUGUAUUUAGUAAUAGUAUUUUAGGCAAUUUUUAAUUUUGCAACAAUUAGUGUAUCAUAAACACCUUACUAGUGCAUUGUCAACAUUUAUCAACAAUUAAUGCACAAAAAGAAAAUUUUAAAGGACAAUAGAAACUAUUUAAGUUACUUUUAAUAAAUACACAUUUUCUCUUUUUUAUAUUAAUUUAUGAUAGUUAAAUAUUUUACAUAACUACACAAUGUUAAAGAUAACAAUAGUAUCUGUUGAACCACAAAAAGAAAUUCUUUAGUACACUAUUCUCAAAAUUAUCUUAGUCAAUAUGGAGGAAGAGGAAAAAUAAAUCUACACAUAAUAGGAAAAAAAGAGGAAGGAAAAAUAAAAAAAAAUGAAUCAUCUGAUAAUGUUUCAUAAUGAGUGCAUCUUUAUCUUGUUGCUAGAAACAUAAAUUUGAGUCAACGGGGGCAAUUUAUAAGUUUUGUAAAUACGGGGAGUAAUUUGCUACUAGACCCUAAUUAUAGGGAGCAAUAUAAUAUGUGAUUGUUAUAAUUUGAGUUCAAGUUUGAUUCAAUUUAUAUUCGAUAUAUUCAAGUCUGAUUCAAAAGUUUGAUUUUUAUUCUUUAAUUUUAAGUAUUAUUUUAAUUAGAAAUGCGUAUAAAUUCUACAUAAUAAAAUAACAAAUAUACAUAUUUUUAAAAAAAAGUAAUACACAUUAUUAAAACAUAAAUAAAUAUUUGAGACUUUAGUCUUUUGAUAAUUUGAUCAAAUUUUAUUCUUCUCUGAACUCAUACUCAUUAAAUCGAACUUGAAUUAAGUCCUUACUGUCCGUUUGGAAUUGUAGUAACGUAUUGAAAUGUAUUUUCCCAUAGAAAUUUUAAUAAAAAUGCUGAUUAAGCGUUUAAUAGCUUUUAAAUAUAUUGUUUGGAGACAUAGUUUAAUAAAUACUUAUUGUAUUAGAUAAUGUGUAAUUUGUAAAUUUGUGAAUAUAUUUAUCUCUUUAUUUAGUUCAUAAUAUAGGAUAAAAUGAUUAAGUUUAAUGUUUAAUUUUGUAAAUUACAAAAGCUACUGUAAAAGCACCAAAUUUGAAUUUUUGUUAAAAAUGAUUUUAACACCAAGAGUUCCAUUCCUAAUUUUAUAGGAUGAUAUUCACCAAACAUUUUAAAAGUACUUUAACAUUUAAAAGUGCUUUUCUACCAAAAGUAUCACAACUCCAAAUGAGGCCUUAGUCUGUGGCCCUAGUUGAGUUUUGUUUUCAAGGUUGGACCAGUGAUUGAAUCAAAUGAGCGCCGGUUUUUUUGUUUUACCAUUUUAACCAGUCCAACCAACCGGGUCACCGAUUCUUUGAAUUAGUUAAUGGAAUAUUUUCAGAAAGCUCCCUUGAGCUUUCUUAUAAAUUUACUCUGCACCCUCGAUGUUUCUGAAAUCUCACAUAAUCUGCUCUAACUCCUAACCUAAUUAUGAAAAUUUUAACCUUCCAGUGCCUCAAGUGACAAAUAACAAUCAACCAAUUCUUUGGGCAAUUCCCACCAUAAUUAGAGAUGUGCGCUCUCAUGCCUUGAAAUUGAAACAUACUAGUGAAUCUCGUGUAAGAUUCAAGGUUUACGAAAAUUGAAAGAAAAAGUGAAUAAUUACUCUGGGAUCUUAUGUUGGCAGCCUUUGGUUGCAAGUACCUAUACAAGUAAGUCGAUUUUUGUUUUGUAAAUUAAGCAUAAUUCUAAGAUAUUAUGAUGAUUUUUGUGAUAAAAUACAUGAAUGAACUUAAGAGAAUGAGUUCCGAUGUACUUUUGUGAAUUCUGGGCAGUGUUGUGUUCUCUCAAUGUAAUGCUGUGAAUUUGGAUUAAAAAAAAGGAAAAAAAGAAUUCAGAUAAAUUUGCUAUGAUCGGGUAAUAUAACAUUAUUAAUUCAUAGUAAAAUGGGAAGGAUUGUAAGAUAAUACAAAUGAAACGUGAUCUAAUAAAAAAAAAUACAUUAUGAAUUCUAUGCAUUAUUUUUUUUUUGAGUGUCAAAUUGCUAAUUUUCAAGCCUAAAUUAAUUUCACCAAUUAUGCUAUUCAAUUGAAUUGUUGGUUAAUUGUUAAAUUUGUAAUUUCUUGACCCCAAAAGGGACUUUUAGGUAUGUCAUUUGUUUUAUCAUUUCCAACUUUCACGUUCCAUUUGGUUUACCAUUAGAGCAAUAAUAUCUAUAGAAAUUGAUCGUAAUUGAUCAUCAUCAUAUCCUGGUGUGUUCAUGAGUAUCGAAAUUAAAUAAACUCUGUUUUGUGGUGCCACUUGAAGAUGUUAAAUGCAAUACAUUGAUGUUCAUUCAACUUAGAACCAAGCACUAAUUUCAAAUUGUCAAGCACGAUUUGAAAUCCGUUAAUGAAAUUUGCUUUUAUAUAAAAAAAACAACCACAUUGGCGUAUCCUUGCCUAACCAGCACCAAUCUAAACAUGCAAAAAUAGACACAAUUGGGCUCCACAUUUUUCAUCUAUUUGUGAUAAUCAACUGAUCGCCAACAAAAAUAAUAUUAUCAAGAAGCUAUUAAUAUCACUUUUCUUUGCUUCAAUUUAAGCCUUUCAAUGGUGAGAUCAUUCAUAUUCAUGCUUUCCAACAAACGCGAAUAAGAGCCCAAUACCUUUAGGUACAUUUCUAGAUCAUGUCAUGCAAAAUUAUUACAUCAUUCACCACCCUUUACAUACAUAAAAGCAAGUUCAUUUAGAAUCGUAAAAAAAAUGACAACAAUUUGCUUAUUUACACAAUCCAUAUCUUCUAUCCAGCACAAGAAAAAUAACUUUCCAAGGGUUGGGUUGUCAUUUGUAUAUCAAGUAAUUAACAACCUUUGCUUUCCUACUAUAUCUAUCUAUCCAUCCACACUUUAAAUAAAAGUACCAUAAGUAAUGACAAAGCUAGGGCCCAAGGUCAACGAAGCCAAAAUAUAAAAAGAGUAAAAGAAAAAGUGAUGUCGGUAAUGCACUAAAAUCAUAGUUAUAUGAAAAUGUUAUUUGCAAUUACAUUUUUUACAAUGAAAAAUAUGAUAAUGAAGUGACACCAAAAAAUUGAUAUUCGAUUUAAAAAUUGAUACAUUUUACUCGAAAUCUUGUAUUAUGAUUUGGAUUGCAAAGUACAAGAUAAAAAACAUUUAAACUUGUUUUAGACCUUUUAGGGGGAUAAUUUGUAGGAAGAGAGUAAUGUUGAAAAAAUAUAAGGGGGGUAAUUCUAAAAAAUUAAAAUUUUGGAAGUUUUCUCUACAAUUUUGUAAUUUUUUAGUUGAGAGGGUUAAUUGUCCAACUCAAAGUAGCUCCGCCACUGACCAUAAGUGUCAAUAAGUUAAGAGUACAUGUAGGAAUUGUUCUUUGUUUUUUGUGAUGUCCAAAAUAUCCUUUUGCUGUUAUAGUUACAUUUAGGAAAAAUGAUCGGUUUCAUCCUUCACAUUUCACAAAAAUAUUCUUUUCAUCCCUCACUUUUAAAAUGAAGCAAUUUCGUCCUUGACAUUUAAAAACUGAAAUUAUUACAUCCCUGAACCCAAAUUUCAAUUUGAAUCAAACCACCAAUCAACCUGAUUACAAAUUUUGGAGUGUAAUUGAUAGAUCAUUUGGUUAACUCAACUUGAUAUUCAUGUGAAAUUUAAUGAACCUAAAAAUUAAAAUUAAAAAAUUACAAUAUAAAAAAGAAAGAUUAAUCUUUCCUACAUUAUCAUUGUAUACAUUGACGGUUUUAUGUAUCGCCAUAUCAUUUUAAUUUAAAUUUGAACACCAAAUUUUAUAUUUAUGAUACACAUCUAGAUUCGCAAGCGGAUAUACUAACGGUGCAUGAAAAGAUUUACCAAAAAAAAAACUCUACUAUUCCAAGACAAAGAAUGGCCUUUUAUUUUAUAAUUUUUAUUUAUUUGAUUUAAUAAAUGUCAUGUCAAUAUGAUGAAAUUGACCAAAUGAUCUAUCAAUUCUAUUUCCGAAAUUUAUUACUGGGUUAUUGGAUGGUUUGAUUCAGAUUGAAAAUUAAGUUCAGGGAUGUAAUAGCUUUAAUUUUUAAAUAUCAGGGACGAAUUUGCUUCAUUUUAAAAGUGAGGGACAAAAAGAAUAUUUUUGCAAAAUGUGAGGGAUGAAACAUGUCAUUUUCCCUUACAUUUAUUGUGUUACAAUAAUUUUAGGAGUUAUAAGAAUGAAAUUUUCCUAUCCAAAAAUCCAUUAAAUUUGCAUUAUUCUGGUAAUAAAAAUAAAAUACCCCAACCUAAAAUUCUCUACCAAACCGUAUUGCCUACAAAUGCACCAUUAAUGGUUAGCUACUAUUCGGUCUUGCUUUGAGCACUGUAUAAAGAUAUUUCUAGGCCUGGGGUUUCUCAUCAUCAUAUCCGCCCAUCCUUCUGUAUUCAAGGACCUUUUUAUGAAUGGAAUUUGGAACUUGUAGGAUGUCGAAGUUGCUCUAACUGAAUCUGAAAAUUUUCAAAUUUCUCAAUCUCAACUUCACCUUGCAUAAGGGAAGGAUUUUACGGUUUGGAAACACUUGAUGAAUGGUUGUUUCAAAGUUUCUUUGCCUUUGAAUCUGGUAAGGCAUCCAAGGAUUCCACCAAAUCUCUUCGAAGUUGAUUUGGAAUAAAAGGCUCCCCUUAAAAUUUCAGUGUCUAUGUGGAGACUACUUAACUGCUUACUUCCUUUUCCAGAUGUAUAGUUUGAUCUUCAACUUCCUUCUAAGUGUUUAUAUUAUAGAAAAGAAGAAGUCUUAACUGUGUUUACUGAGUUUAAUGUUGCUUCAUCGAUUUGGUGAAGCUUUGCUUCUUUAUUGGGAUUUGAUGGUUUUAUAGCUAAUCAUAUAGUGCUCGAACUUCAAGGUUAGUGGUCACAUUCAUCGAGUGCUUUUAUCUUUGGUAAGUUUGUCCAGUUAGUUCCUUUAUUUAUUUUUUGGGAGCCAUGGAAAGCUCGAAAUAAAGUUUUUUCUGAUGUAUAUUGCUCUCGGCUGAUCAAAUUGUUCAUCAAAUUUGUUAGUUGUUACUGUUCACAACUGACGAACCAAUACUGAUAUCAUACACGUCCACUUCGACAGUUGAUAAUUUGAUGGCAUGCCACUUGUGUUUAACAAGAAGAAGGGAAAGAAAAUUUGUGCUGAUAAGAACCUAACUCCUUGACUAAUUGCUAUUCAUCCGCUCCGAGAAGUCUCAAGGAAUUAAAUUCUUGCCAAACACAAUCGAUAAAAGAAGAAAUGGGGACAAUUGACUAACAAAGAAGAGGUGACUAAUGUAGGUUAACAACUUGAUGAACACUUGCCAAAAAUUAACAUGAAAGUUCAAAAGUGAAAUGAAACUAACUUGGAAAUUUGUUAGCAAUUCUAAGAGCAUAUACAGAAUCUAGCUUAAGUGUGAUGACUCCACCUCCCCUUAGGGCUUAUCCUAGGGUUUAGCGGACCGCAUGUCCAACUCUCACCAGGACUCACUCACUCAUUUCAAGAAAAUAAGUUACAACUUCAAGAGUAAAUGAAAUAACAGUUCCCAAGUUUGGAACGUACAAAUACAUUCAUUUCUAUUUCAAUCAUUCAUGCAAUUCCAAAUAUAUCAAAAGAUAUGAGUUCCAGAUACAUUCAACCCUAAUCGAGCACUAGCGCGAGUACAAUCACAAAAUUUCAAAAACUAGACUAUGCUAGCCUGUACCAGUCUCACACCUCGCUCGUACCCCCUGUAAGGAAAACGAAUCUAAUAGAGUGAGGUAAAACUCAGUGAGAUUCCAAAUAGCAAGUUGACCAUUAUUCAAAGUGCAAGUAUCAAAGUAGCAAAGUUGCGAGUAUAACAAGUCAAAGUAGCGAGCAUAAGAGUUCAUAAAAGUGAGUAAUAACACUUCAAAUAACAAAUAUCAAAAUGAACGAGUGGAAAGUUUUUGAAAAGAAACAAUAACACUCAAGUAAUAAUCAUUUCAAAGUAUAAAGAUACAGAUGGCUCUCAAGAGCUAAAUUCCCGUUACUUCACCAUAACUUGAUCAAGUAGUAGUUGACACUCUAUCAACUUUCAAGUAAAGUAACCUGUCCAGUAGUGCCCCACUUAACGCCAAUCUCCGUCCACCAUUCAACCCCCUUAUCGGGCCCGAACGUUCAAAUAAGCACGUGUAGUAAUACUCGAGUAUACCAAUUAGUCGAGAAGGUAUCACUCCACUCGACAAAACAAGAGACCUAUGGUUCAUUAUCUAAUCGACCAAGUCCUUGCUGACUAGACUCGAUUAACUAGCUCGAUUAACUAACCAGUAAGGUUUGGGUUCCCAAGUAAUCAACAUAGUCGAUGACCAAUCGACUUAGUCAAGAGAAAAAGUAUGGAGACGGGAAUGAGAGGCACAUCUAACUCGAAUCGAGUGUGGUACAUGCUGCCGCUCAAUACUUACAAGUCAAGCACAAGUACAGGUCAAUGCAAAUCAAAUUACUUGUACAAGCAUGAACGAGAUAUUAAGUGUUUAGUUGAGUUAGGUCAAGCGCGAUAAAGUAUACACUUGCCCGACCAAACCAAACAAAUCUUAUCCGAUCGCGUUGGUAAAGGAUUUAAAUCAAGUAUCAAAUUCAAUCAUAUAUUUGGAAGCACUCGCCAAAGGUCUAGUGCUUUUCAAAAAUCAUGUUCAGGUCCAACUCCUUGGUUGGAGUCCAAAUUUGCGAUAAAAUAUCAUUUAAGAAUGUAAAACUCUCUAGAGUUCAAAACAUAAGAGUUUUGCUUUAAGAAAAUCAAAUAAAUGAAACUUGUUUAAAUAGUGGUCAUGUGGCUUAUCACUCUAGAAAACUCAUGUUCGCUCUUUUAGUUUCGAUAGAGAAGUGAUUUAUACUCUUGAAGUCACACUCAGUAUAAAAACUCAAGAAAAUCGUCUUUUUAAGCGUCGCUACUUUUACCUUUAAAAGGGUACGAGGUUCGACAAAAAUUUCAGCUUAUGUACUUCUUACUAAAGAAAACUCGAAUACCGUAAACAAUCGAAAUUCGCUUCAACCUCGAGUCGUCGCUCAAGUCUCAAGUUCACUCGUCUAACCCUCGAGCGAAAAUUUGGGCAGCAUGCCCUUUGUAUUUAGCUAUUUUCCAGCCAUUUAUGCCUUCAUUUUUUCCUCAACUUAGCCCAAAUUUAACACAUAAGCAAGCUUAACAAAAUAGCUCUUCAACUAGGGUUAAUAUCAUCCAAAUACCAGUCAAUUCUAGCAAUGAAACCAUAAAAAUCAAAGCUCGAAACCAAUUUAUAGAAGAACUUAUAAAUGACAAAUUUGUCAUCUUUCGGUGUUUUGGUCAUAAUUGAAGCUAAGUCUAUUGGAUCGAGGUAACUUUUAUGGCGUUUCGAAACUAAAACAUAGACCUACAUUUCCUAUAAAGACAUCGACACCCAGUUCUUGCAUUUGAAAUGUCAAAAUUUGAAAUCUCAGAGAAAACAGAAAGUUGUUGGUUAAACGGGACAUUUGAGCAGUUAGAGGUAUUUUAGUCAUUUAACAAGUUACAAUGCUCCAAUUGAGUUGAUAUUUUUCAGGUAGAAAACUAAGUCAAAUCCCUACAACUUUCAUGUUUUGAGGAAGAACUGAUUUGGCCUUUAUCAUGGACGAAUAUACAGGUCAGAUUAGUUUCAAAAACAAGACAGAAUCACUACCAAAUGCUGGAAUUCAACUUUAACUCUAACAAAGUUACACUCAAGCCCAAAAUCACUUCACAAGUUCCAUUUCCAACCUUAAUAACAUCAUUUAGUAGUUAAACAAUACUAAUCAAAAUUGAAAAGAUGCAAACCGUAACUAAACAUGCCACUACUCCAUCAAAACUAAGCAAUCAACCAUCAUAUGCCAAGAUUACAAGCUUCUAUACCGUUUUUAGCUAGAUUAAGUUGAAGACAAGAGGUGGAUGAACUUAAACCUUCCCAAAACCUUCUUGUAAUUCCAAAAUUUCACUACACCAAGUUUUCCAAACACCAAAAAGUAAGUUUAAUCGGUUUAGUCUGUGUGAUUUCAACUCAACAAUGAAGAAUCAAGGUUGGAGUUGAAGUUGUUUUUCUCUCUUUUUCUCUCUCUUAGUUUUGGCCAACAUAAAGAAGAAUGAAGGAGAAAUGAAGUCAAUUUGGUGAUAAGAAGGAAGGAAAUUGGUUUAGUCAAAGUUGGUUGGAUUUUCGCCAAGUGUCACUACAAGAUUAAAUCUCAAAAUUUUCUUUUCUCUCUCUUCUUUUAGUCCAAAUUUUCAGCUGUCUUAAGGAGAUAUUUAGGGCUGAUUUUGCUCAAUUAAUAUGAAGGAGAUUAAGGUAAUAAAGUAGUGUUCAAGUGGUGUAUUCAAUCGGUAGUAAACGGUGCACGGCAGUUCAAGCCGUUUUUUCCUAACUCGUGCGUACUAGUGUUUUAACUUAUGAUUCACUAACUUAUUAUUAGCACUUCUAAUCACACACUUUCUCUUAUUUAAUACUUGUUCUUAUCCACCAAAUUUAGUACACACAUCUCCACAAUUAAUCGCACUACCAAAAUAUGUGAAAAUCCUAAUUUAUGCUAACUAUAAAACUAAGGGCAAAACUCUUAAUUCUAUUAUUUCUUACAACUAUUGAGGGAGUAAAUGAGUAGUAAAGAUAUUAUAAAGUAAUUUAAUCAAAAUAAGAGGGAAUUUUAAGAAAAUAUGAGCGAAUUUUCCAUUCGUCACAUUCUCUCCCUCUUAAAAGAAUUUCGACUUCAAAAUUCAUACAUUUAUUCAUAAAUAACUCAAGGUAUUUUUUCUUACAUGUCUGUUUCUAGUUUCUAAGUCUCAUCAUAACCAAAAUUUAGCCAAACAAUAGAAAAUACGAAUCGUACCUUCUACUACCUCCAAUGGCUCAGGUACUGCCGUUGGUCCAAGGCGUACACUCUAACUGGUACCCUUAGCCUAGUCCCUCCUACAUUGGUCGGUUUAGCGUUUGAUCGGUCAGUUGGUUGGGCAUCACUAACAAGUGAACAAUUAGUGAUCUGGUGUUCAGUACUUCUGCACCGUAGGCACUUUCGACCUUUUCGCCAGCAAGUAUCUUCUGUGUGGUUGGAUUUUCCACAGUACCCACAAGAUACUCGAGGGCUGAGGUCUGACCUCCCUGCGAGGCACCUCUUGCUUGUCCCUUUCCACCUGGAGCUUCUCUUGAACUAACUUCCUUAAGUGUCCCCAAAAUUUUCUUUCCACCAUCUCCUCGACCCACCUUAGAGGGUGGCAUACCUAGAUCAGCUUGUUCUUGCCCUUAACUUCUAUUAGGCGCACCUCUCCUAUUUGCAUGAAAAACCAUUACUUGUGUCCUGGCAAUUUCUAUUCUCUGAGCCUUCUCCAAAACCUCCGUAAAAGUAUUAAUUUAUGCCGCCACUAGGGCCUCAUGUAUUUUCAUAUUAAGUUCUUGUACAAAUCUUCUUACUCUUCUUUGCUCGGUAACUAUCAAUUCGGGAGUAAAUUUUGAUAGUUUAAUGAACUGAGUGUCAUGCUUAGAUACACUGAGCGUUCCCUGACGGAGUUUAAUAAAAUCAUCCUCCCUCUUUUCCUGAACUAUCGGUGGAAGAUACUUCUCAUUAAACUCCCGUACAAAAUUCAACCAUGUCUAUGCUAUACCUUCUCUCUCUCACUUAACCCUUAUCACGUUCCACCAGGUUCUAACUGGUCCCUCAAACUGAAAUACAGCAAAAUUCACAUGCCUAUCCUCAGUGUAGUUUAAAGUAGCGAAAAUAUUGAUCAUCGUCUCUAACUACCUCUCAUCUACUUCGGAGUCCGGCCUUCCAAGAAACUUAGGAGGAGAAAACUUUUGGAAUCUCUCUAGGGUCCUAUCUUGCCUCAUAUUAGGAUUCCUAGAUUGAUUGACAGAGGUUUGACCCUGCUGCUCUAUCAGUCGAGCAAGAAUAUUGGUCAUUUGCUGAAUUGCCGUUGCCACCUGAUCCUUCCUUCAACUCGGGAUCCAGGUUGCGGCUCAACCAUUGCACCUCUCUCCUCUCUCGAUUCUUGUACCGGUUCCUGUGCUUGUCGAGUCCCAUGGCCACGGAUAGAACCACGUCCUCGGCUAGUUUCACGAUCCCGACUUCUCCUACCCUCCAUAUCUCUUGUGAAAAAUAGAUGACAUAGAUAUGAGUAAAAUAAAGUAGCUAUAAAACUCAAUAAAAGCAUUUUUAAAUUAUAAAUUAAAAAAUAAUAGAACACAUUGAAAAUAAUAUACUUUCUUUAUAUACAUAUCACAGCAAUUCACAUAUUCUAUGGGACAUUAACCUCAGGCAUUGCUCAAACAUCACACUUAAUCAAAACUCGAAAAAGUACAAUUAGAUAUGUACACUUGAAUAAUAAAGGUCUCAAAUCUCACUAAUAUCUUCAAUAUCUCCCAAGUCUAAACUAUUCGCAUUCCCGUGCCUUGGCUUUCGCCAUCCUGACUUAUUCUAAUAUUACUCGGGAUAUCGACCUAUCAUAAAGGUAUCAUUCUUUGAUACUCGGGUACAGGAAUCCGAAAAUAUGAUAAUUCAUCACUCGAGUUAGCUGGUAUCGAGAGAAAAUCAACCACUUUUGAAAUUCCUACCCGAUAUACAUAUCUAAUAUCCCCAACAAUAGACAUUUGUUCCACCUUUAACAAACCAAUCCCUACAGUCCGAGAACCCUUUUCUGGCACGAGCUCGAUAAGAGCUCUGACACCAUCUGUGACGACCCCAUCACCCCUUAAGGCUUACCUCAAGGUUUAGCGGACCGCCUGCCCAACUCUCGUCAGGACUCACUCACUCAUUUCAAGAAAAUAAGUUACAACCUCAAGAGUAAAUGAAAUAACAGUUUUCAAGUUUGGAACGUACAAAUACAUUCAUUUCUAUUUCAAUCAUCCAUACAAUCCCAUAUAUAUCAAAAGAUAUGAGUUCCAGAUACAUUCAUCCCUAAUCAAGCACUAGCGCGAGUACAAUCGCAAAAUUUCAAAAACUAGAUUAUGCUAGCCUGUACCAGUCUCACACCUCGCUAGUACCCCCUAUAAGAAAAAUAAAUCUAAUAGAGUGAGUUAAACCUUAGUGAGAUUCCAAAUAGCAAGUUAACCAUUAUUCAAAGUGCAAGUAUCAAAGUAGCAAAGUAGCGAGCAUAACAAGCCAAAGUAGCGAGCAUAAGAGUUCAUAAAAAUAAGCAAUAACACUUCAAAUAGCAAAUAUCAAAAUGAGCGAGUGAAAAGUUUUUGAAAAGAAACAAUAACACUAUAAAUAAUAAUCAUUUCAAAGUAUAAGGAUACAGAUGGCUCUCAAGAGCCAAAUUCCCGUUGCUUCACCAUAACUUGAUCAAGUAGUAGUUGACACUCUAUCAACUUCCAAGUAAAGUAACCAGUCCAGUAGUGCCCCACUUAAUGCCAAUCUCCGUCCACCAUUCAACCCCCUUACCGGGCCCGAACGUUCAAAUAAGCAAGUGUAGUAAUACUCGAGUAUACCGAUUAGUCGAGAAGGUAUCACUCCACUCGACAAAACAAGAGACCCAUGGUUCAUUAUCUAAUCGACCAAACCCUUGUCGGCUCGACUCGAUUAACUAGCCAGUAGGGUUUGGGUUCCCAAAUAGUCAACAUAGUCGAUGACCAAUCGACUUAGUCAAGAGAAAAAGUAUGGAGACGGAAAUGAGAGGCACCUCCAACUCGAAUCGAGUGUGGUACAUGCUGCCGCUCAACGCUUACAAGUCAAACACAAGUAUAGGUCAAUGCAAAUUAAGUUACUUGUACAAGUAUGAAUGAGAUAUCAAGUGUUUAGUUGAGUUUGGUCAAGUGCGAUAAAGUACACACUUGCCCAACCAAACCAAGCAAAUCUUAUCCGAUCACAUUGGAAAAUAAUUUAAAUCAAGUAUCAAGUUCAAUCAUAUAUUUGGAAGCACUCACCAAAGGUCUAGUGCUUUUCAAAAAUCACGUUCAGGUCCAACUCCUUGGUUAGAGUACAAAUCUGCGAUAAAAUAUCAUUUAAGAAUGCAAAACUCUCUAGAGUUCGAAACAUAAGAGUUUCGUUUCAAGAAAAUCAAAUAAAUGAAACUUGUUUAAAUAGUGGUCAUAUGGCUUAUCACUCUAGAAAACUCAUGCUCGCUCUUUUAGUUUCGAUAGGGAAGUGAUUUAUACUCUUGAAGUCACACUCAGUAUAAAAACUCGAGAAAAUUGUCUUUUUAAGGGUCGCUACUUUUACUUUUAAAAGGAUACGAGUUUCGACAAAAAUUUCAACUUAUGUAUCUCUUACUAAAGAAAACUCGAAUACCAUAAACAAUCGAAAUUCGAUUUAACCUCGAGUCAUCGCUCAAGUCUCAAGUUCACUCGUCUAACCCUCGAGCGAAAAUUUGGGCAGCAUGCCCUUUGUAUUUAGCUAUUUUCCAGCCAAUUAUGGCUUCAUUGUUUCCUCAACUCAGCCCAAAUUUAACACAUAAGCAAGUUUAACAAAAUAGCUUUUCAACUAGGCUCAAUAUCAUCCAAAUACAAGUCAAUUCUAUCAAUGAAACCAUAAAAAUCAAAGCUGGAAACCAAUUUAUAGAAGAACUUAUACAUGACAGAUUUGUCAUCCUUCGGUGUUUUGGUCAUAAUUGAAGCUAGGUCUAUUGGAUCGAGGUAACUUUUAUGGCGUUUCGAAACUAAGACAUAGGCCUAUAUUUUCUAUGAAGAUAUCGACACCCAGUUCUUGCAUUUGAAAAGCCAAAAUUUGAAAUCUCAGAGAAAACAGAAAAUUGUCCGUUAAACGGGACAUUUGGGCAGUUAGGGGUAGUUUAGUCAUUCCAAUUGAGUUGAAAUUUUGUAGGUAGAAACCUAACUCAAAUUCCUACAACUUUAAUAUUUUGAGGAAGUACUGAUUUAGCCUUUAUCAUGGACGAAUAUGCAGGUCAGUUUGGUUCCAAAAAUAAGGCAGAAUCAUUACCAAAUGCUGGAAUUCAACUUUUACUCUAACAAAAUUACACUCAAGCCCAAAAUUACUUCACAAGUUCCAUUUCCAACCUUAAUAACAUCAUUUAGUAGUUAAACAACACUAAUCAAAACUGAAAAGAUGCAAACCCUAUCUAAACAUGCCACUACACCAUCAAAACUAAACAAUCAACUAUCAAUGUCAAGAUUACAAGCUUCUAUAGCAUUUUUAGCUAGAUUAAGUUAAAGACAAGAGGUGGAUGAACUUGUACCUUCUCAAAGCCUUCUUGUAAGUGAAAACCAAACCAUUUCUUCCAAAAUUUCACCACACCAAACUUUUCAAACACCAAAAGAUAAGUUUAAUCAGUUUAGUUUGUGUGAUAUCAACUCAACAAGGAAGAAUCAAUGUUGGAGUUGAAGUUAUUUUUCUCUCUUUUUCCCUCUCUUAGUUUUGGCCAACAUGAAGAAGAAUGAAGGAGAAAUGAAGCCAAUUUGGUGAUAAGAUGGAAGGAAAUUGGUUUGAUCAAAGUUGGUUGGAUUUUCGCCAAAUGUCGCUACAAGAUUAAAUCUCAAAAUUUUCUUUUCUCUCUCUUCUUUUAGUCCAAAUUUUUUGCUGUCAUAAGGAGAUAUUUAGGGCUAAUUUUUCUCAAUUAAUAUCAAGGAGAUUAAGAUAAUAAAAUAGUGUUCAAGUGGUGUAUUCAAUCGGUAGCAAACGGUGCGCGGCGGUUCAAGCCAUUUUUCCCUAACUCGAACGUACUAGUGUUUUAACUUAUGAUUCACUAAUUUAUUAUUAGCACUUCUAAUCACACACUUUCUCUUACUUAAUACUUAUUCUUAUCCACCAAAUUUAGUACACACACCUCUACAAUUAAUCACACUACUAAAAUAUGUAAAAACCCUAAUUUACGCUAACAAUAAAACUAAGGGCAAAACUCUUAAUUCUAUUAUUUCUUACAAUUAUUGAGGAAGUAAAUGAGUAGUAAAGAUAUUAUAAAGUAAUUUAAUCAAAAUAUGAGCGAAUUUUAAGAAAAUAUGAGCGAAUUUUCCAGUCGUCACAUUAAAAAUCAAACAUAAACAUGAAACUACCAGAGAUUGACUUCUAAAGGGAAUUGAAAAUCCUAAAAAUAACCUAAGAAUUCUAAAUGGAAGCAACCUUAAAGAACUACUUUGAGAGAGAACAUGAUUAUAAAAAAUGCCAUUUUUAUGUGGGAUGUAUGCCAGACCUUCUUGUGAUGCUUCUUCUCCUGUUUACAGGUGUGUUCUUCCCUCCAAAAGUGGUGGUUUUCUAAAUAAAAAACCCACCUCUUCUGUUGAUGAUAUGGAUGAGACCACUUCCUCUUUCAUGUAUUCAUGUUAUUCGCGUAAAUCAUACCAACUAAAGACAUGGGUGGUGGUUGUGGUAACCACCCAUUCCUAUGUUUUAGGGAUCAUGUAACCACCACAUCCCUAAUUUGUAGGCCAUAAGUAUCAGUACAUAUCCUUUCCUUUGCCAACUAUCACCAUCAGCUUUAUUACUUAUCGAUACCUAAUCACUCAUCAUCGACCACGUAUCAGCACCUAUUUGAUUGCACCAAGAACUACAUGGGGAAAGUAGAUCUUUACAAUCUUGAUUGACUUAAUCAAUUACCAUUUUACCCUUGAGAUGGACAAAAACUUAUGCCUAAUUUGCCUUUGUGGCCCUGACUGAGACUGCUUUGAUAGCACAAGUUCCCAUAAUUGAAACUUCUCCCUUUAUUGAUUUGUAAUAGACCGAGUUAAAAAUAAUGUUGCCACUAUAGUCUGUGAUGGUAAGGAGCCGGAUUUAAAGUUAAUUAAUUAACAUGAACAAUUAUCUAACAAUAUCAAUAGUAGAGCCGAGAAAUGAACUAUUUCAUUAAGAUGAACAAGCCACAGAGAAAUUACCGAGUUCAAAACUGGUGGGGAAAAGGGAGAAAGUGUUCAAGAGGAAGAAAAAUUGGGGAAAAGGAAAGAUCCAACUUAUAGGAGCAAAAUUCGGAUAAUAAACCACAAAAAUUGUGUGAUCUAAAAAUGCACUACUAGCACUACUACUACCUAUUAUAGCUAGAGUUUAUUAACAGAAUUUCGUAUGGCUCUCCGUUAUGCCACCAUGUGUCCCUUCUACUAGUUCUCCUCUACCAAUUGAAACUUUACACAUGCAAAUGAAAUUGUGGAAACGUGGUCCCCAAACUUUGCCUUCAUCAAAUUUAUGUCUCUGACUACUAAUUUCCCUUCCACACUUUUUACUGUCCAAUGAUAAAAUUGAAAUUAAAUUAAAUUAUCUAGCUAUAGCAUGACAUUGCCCCUCCAUGAAAAAGUCUUGACCUUAAGACUGGAAAUUAGGAAAUAUGUCUUGAAUCUUCUUAGUAAAUUCUCAAGUAGCAUCCUUAAGAUGGCAAUUCUACCAUUGGAUAAGCCACUGUAUUGCUAUUGCAUUCUUCCUCUUCACUAUCCUCUUAGCUAAAACAGCUAUUGGUUCCACUUAGAGUUGAUUUGUAUAAUUAUUUUGUUGAUAAACUUUUUUAAUAUCAUCUAAAUUUACAUUAUUAUUUGUACUUGAUUCAGCUUCUCUACCCUUUUUAAAACCAAUAGUUUGCAAUAAGCAUGCAAUAUAAGCUUGUCAAAAAUAAUAAAUUUGCAUGCAAUAGUAUAAUAUAAGCAUGCAAUAGUUUGCAAUAAGGAUAUAAGCUUGUAAUAAGCAAAAGAUUUGGACUUACAAUAAAAUUUUGAACUUGAGUUACACACGGAAGCUUUGACAAAUUGAAUCUUCUUACAAUUGCUUGAAGUCAAGGGUGGUUGAGAGUGGUUGAGAUGAAGUUGAAAAUAAGAGAGAGUGGUUGAGAGAUUUUUUCUAAGGCUUUAAAAGAACUAGUCUGCUAAUUUUCGCCGAUGCCUUCAUUCUGCAAUCUUUCUUCAAUUUAUAGAGGCUCGGGACUUUGUCAUUUGAAUUUCAUUUCAUCUUCAUUUGCAUUUCAUCUUCUUUUAUUUUGUGGCCGACAUCUUUUUUGAAAUGAUCAACUGCUUUUUCAAAAGUCGUUUGGAUCUUGUCCGCAUGGUCCUCCGAAUGGAUCAAAAGUUGAUUCGGAUGAUUCUGCUGACUCGUCAAUUUUGUCGGUUUCUUCUUUCUUAUCUGACUUUUGUAAAUAGUCCAGAUAUUCUUUGAGUAGCCUUGGAUCUUGCAUCAUCUUUUUCAUUAAAAAGUCGUUUGAAGUUGCCUCGGAUACCAUCUCGGUAUCUUUUUCUUUCUUUAUUGGAGUAGUGGUUGGCGUUGGGGCCGUAGUGGUUGGAGUUGGUGAGGACUUUGUUGUAGUAAGUACAAAAGUUGUUGGAGUAGAUGUUGGUUUAGUCCAUUUGAGUUUAUCUCCGGUAGUUAGAAAUCUGAUGACAUUUACUUGAUCUCCAAAUUCUUGAUUGAAUCCUGUCCACCAUUUAAUUUUGAAUUCUCUGACUAAUGACAUUGGAAGUGGUUUUUCAAGCUCUUGAUGAAUUUUGAAACUCCAGCAAAAUAUCCAUGGAACUUUGAACUCCAUAUGAAAUAAAAUUGGUCUUGUAUAUUCUUCCCCCCUUGCUCUUUUUAGAUAUGUUUGAAAUCCCAUGAGCACAUUAGGAGGUAGUAUCUCUGGUUGUGGUUUUUAAUAUGAUAAUUCAUUUGGAAUUUUAAUUCUGAUUUAUUUAUUGUAUCUAUCUUAGUAUUUAAUACUUCCAUAUGUUGAGAUAUUGUAUGAAGGAUUUGAUUUGUAUAAUUAUUUUGUUGAUAAACUUUUUUAAUAUCAUCUAAAUUUACAUUAUUAUUUGUACUUGAUUCAGCUUCUCUACCCUUUUUAAAAGGUGAGACUAUUAUAUCUUCUUGUCCUAUAUUAAUUUUUAUUUCUUGUAAUGGGGGAUGUAUUGAGAUUAAUAUUUGAUCAUCUUUUAAUUUCCAUUUUUUAUACAAAUUAGUUUGAACAUUUAUUUGUGGUGUAUUAUAAACAUUGUUUAUUCCUAAUUUUGAUGUAUAAAAUGUUAACCAUGUAAAGAAAGGAAAAUCAAACUUUUGUUUAUUUAUUUCAUUUUUCCAUUCUAUAAUGUUUAUGAUACACCACAAAUAAAUGUUCAAACUAAUUUGUAUAAAAAAUGGAAAUUAAAAGAUGAUCAAAUAUUAACCUCAAUACAUCCCCCAUUACAAGAAGUAAAAAUUAAUAUAGGACAAGGAGAUAUAAUAGUCUCACCUUUUAAAAAGGGUAGAGAAGCUGAAUCAAGUACAAAUAAUAAUGUAAAUUUAGAUGAUAUUAAAAAAGUUUAUCAACAAAAUAAUUAUACAAAUCAAAUCCUUCAUACAAUAUCUCAACAUAUGGAAGUAUUAAAUACUAAGAUAGAUACAAUAAAUAAAUCAGAAUUAAAAUUCCCAAAUGAUAUUUCAGCACCCCAUUUUAAACCUAGAAGCCUGACAAGAGAAAAAGAGCAAGAUUUAGUUCAAAAUAUUAAUAGUCAAAAAAUAAAUACUACAGAUAAUUUAUUAAAUAAAAUAUCUCAAGCCCUACAAAACUUAACUACAGAAUCUAAACCUUCCACUCCAAAAAUAAAUACAUUAGAUAGAAUAAUAGAAGAAAACUCAACGGAAGAAAUAGAAUGAUAUUAUUAAUCCUUUAUCUAUUAAUGUUUUUAUUUCCUUUUUACAAAAUUCUAGUAGCUCAGAAUUCAUUUGUAUUGGUCUAGCUUUUGUUGGAAUAUUUUUUUCAUUAAAAUCCUUUUCAUAUGGUAAUUCUAUCAUAUGUUGUUUUCUAUCCCAAAAAGCAUUAGGAAUAUCUGCACAAAUUUCUUUUUGUAAUAAUUCUUCUACUUCUAAUAUUCUUUUUUGUAUUUUAAUAUCAUUUAAUUGUUCUUCAAUUUUUAAAUAAGAUUUUUCCUCUUUAAUAUAAUUUAUUUGUUGUUGUACUUUAGUAAUAGUAUUUAUUGUUUUAUAUAUUGAAGAUGUUUGUAAUGUUUGUAAUUCCUUUUGUCUUAUGGGAGUUAAGAAUUUAAAGGUAACAAUUUUUCCCAUUAUAUUUACUGAAAUGCCUUCAUUACUUACUGAAAAUGGAUAUAUUUGAAUUAAAAAGGGUGUUCCUAAUAUUACAUCAUGAUUUAUAUUAUUUACAAUUAUAAAAUUGUGUCUAAUACAAUAUUCAUUAUUACAUAUUGAUCCUUUGGUAAAUUUAUAUUUUACUUCUAAAUCUUCUCCAUUUGCGGCCAUUAGUUUUUCUUUUGUUCUUUCACAAUAUUUAGUGGGGAUUAUUCCUUCUUUAAUACAACUUGUAUCAGCUCCACUAUCUAUUAGAGUUAAAAAUGUUUCUUUGAAAUCUUCUACUGUGAUGGUUACUAAAGCAAACCAUUUUUGAAAAGUCAUUUUUUCUAUAGUAUUUAAGUAUUGAUCUUCUUUUACUGGGCUUUCUGCUAUUGAUAUUUCGUUUGUUUUAACAUUAGAAGUUGAAGGUUGAUUGUUUUCUAUUAAUGUUAAUCUUAAUUUUGAACAUAACAUUAAUCCUUCUUUUUUCACAAAAGCAAAUAAUUGUCCAAAAGUAAUAUUCUCGAAUGAAAUGACAUCUGUUCCCAUUUCUUUUUGUAAAUUAUCCAUUAUUUUUUGUGAAAAUAAAUUUGGUAAUCCUGUUAUGAAUCUUUCUUUCCAGAAUGAAGCAUUAUAUGAGUUCAAAGUUCCAUGGAUAUUUUGCUGGAGUUUCAAAAUUCAUCAAGAGCUUGAAAAACCACUUCCAAUGUCAUUAGUCAGAGAAUUCAAAAUUAAAUGGUGGACAGGAUUCAAUCAAGAAUUUGGAGAUCAAGUAAAUGUCAUCAGAUUUCUAACUACCGGAGAUAAACUCAAAUGGACUAAACCAACAUCUAGUCCAACAACUUUUGUACCUACUACAACAAAGUCCUCACCAACUCCAACCACUACGGUCCCAACGCCAACCACUACUCCAAUAAAGAAAGAAAAAGAUACCGAGAUGGUAUCCGAGGCAACUUCAAACGACUUUUUAAUGAAAAAGAUGAUGCAAGAUCCAAGGCUACUCAAAGAAUAUAUGAACUAUUUACAAAAGUCAGAUAAGAAAGAAGAAACCGACAAAAUUGACGAGUCAGCAAAAUCAUCCGAAUCAACUUUUGAUCCAUUCGGAGGACCAUGCGGACAAGAUCCAAACGACUUUUGAAAAAGCAGUUGAUCAUUUCAAAAAAGAUGUCGGCCACAAAAUAAAAGAAGAUGAAAUGCAAAUGAAGAUGAAAUGAAAUUCAAAUGACAAAGUCCCGAGCCUCUAUAAAUUGAAGAAAGAUUGCAGAAUGAAAGCAUCGGCGAAAAUUAGCAGACUAGUUCUUUUAAAGCCUUAGAAAAAAUCUCUCAACCACUCUCUCUUAUUUUCAACUUCAUCUCAACCACUCUCAACCACCCUUGACUUCAAGCAAUUGUAAGAAGAUUCAAUUUGUCAAAGCUUCCGUGUGUAACUCAAGUUCAAAAUUUUAUUGUAAGUCCAAAUCUUUUGCUUAUUACAAGCUUAUAUCCUUAUUGCAAACUAUUGCAUGCUUAUAUUAUAUUGCUUGGGUAGAAGUGCUAUCAGAGCCUCACCCAAAUUUAUAUGCACCUGCAUAUUUAAGAUUUUGAGCUAUUAUUAUUUGGUUUGAAUUACGCUUUUAUUUUGAAUUUGCUAAUUCAUGCAUUUAUAUUUACAUAUUUUAUUAAACUUUUGCUAAAAUCGUUGGUAAGACUUGAUGCCUUGUAAGACCGUUGGUAAGUCCAGGGUAUGAUGUUCCAGGCAUAGUGCUCGGUUGUUCCCGAUUAGGUAAAAAAUUUAAUUAAAUAUUAAACAUGGCUGCAUUUCUUAGACAAUUUAAAAUAGGAUCUAAUUCAAAACAAGCUAAUAUAGUACAAAGUCAUGAAUAUCAUAUGCCUAUAAAUAAUUCAGAUUGGACUAUUCCAGAAGAAAAAAUAGAACAUAUUUAUAGAAUAGGCCCUUUAGAUUUCAAAACAGCAUUAUCAGUUAAAACCAUGAAGAAACAAUAUCUAUUCAAGAAGAAUAUCAAUCAAUUCCAUUAUUAAAUCAUAGUACAAUUCAAAAAUACUUAAGUAAAGGAAUAGUCCAAUCUGAAUUAUUUAUAGGCAUAUGAUAUUCAUGACUUUGUACUAUAUUAGCUUGUUUUGAAUUAGAUCCUAUUUUAAAUUGUCUAAGAAAUGCAGCCAUGUUUAAUAUUUAAUUAAAUUUUUUACCUAAUCGGGAACAACCGAGCACUAUGCCUGAAACAUCCUAUCCUGGACUUACCAACGGUCUUACAAGGCAUCAAGUCUUACCAACGAUUUUAGCAAAAGUUUAAUAAAAUAUGUAAACAUAAAUGCAUGAAUUAGCAAAUUCAAAAUAAAAGCGUAAUUCAAAUCAAAUAAUAAUAGUUCAAAAUCUUAAAUAUGCAGGUGCAUAUAAAUUUGGGUGUGGCUCUGAUACCACUUCUACCCAAGCAAUAUAAUAUAAGCAUGCAAUAGUUUGCAAUAAGGAUAUAAGCUUGUAAUAAGCAAAAGAUUUGGACUUACAAUAAAAUUUUGAACUUGAGUUACACACGGAAGCUUUGACAAAUUGAAUCUUCUUACAAUUGCUUGAAGUCAAGGGUGGUUGAGAGUGGUUGAGAUGAAGUUGAAAAUAAGAGAGAGUGGUUGAGAGAUUUUUUCUAAGGCUUUAAAAGAACUAGUCUGCUAAUUUUCGCCGAUGCCUUCAUUCUGCAAUUCUUCAAUUUAUAGAGGCUCGGGACUUUGUCAUUUGAAUUUCAUUUCAUCUUCAUUUGCAUUUCAUCUUCUUUUAUUUUGUGGCCGACAUCUUUUUUGAAAUGAUCAACUGCUUUUUCAAAAGUCGUUUGGAUCUUGUCCGCAUGGUCCUCCGAAUGGAUCAAAAGUUGAUUCGGAUGAUUCUGCUGACUCGUCAAUUUUGUCGGUUUCUUCUUUCUUAUCUGACUUUUGUAAAUAGUCCAGAUAUUCUUUGAGUAGCCUUGGAUCUUGCAUCAUCUUUUUCAUUAAAAAGUCGUUUGAAGUUGCCUCGGAUACCAUCUCGGUAUCUUUUUCUUUCUUUAUUGGAGUAGUGGUUGGCGUUGGGGCCGUAGUGGUUGGAGUUGGUGAGGACUUUGUUGUAGUAGGUACAAAAGUUGUUGGAGUAGAUGUUGGUUUAGUCCAUUUGAGUUUAUCUCCGGUAGUUAGAAAUCUGAUGACAUUUACUUGAUCUCCAAAUUCUUGAUUGAAUCCUGUCCACCAUUUAAUUUUGAAUUCUCUGACUAAUGACAUUGGAAGUGGUUUUUCAAGCUCUUGAUGAAUUUUGAAUUCUUUUUUCAGUAUUUUCUUCAUCAUCAAAAUCUUCUUGUAAAUAUUUAUGAUUUAUUUUAUAUGGUUUAUUUAUAACAUUUAUUUCUCCUUUCAUUUGUGAAUGGGUAGGUGAAUAUUCUGAUUGAUAAUUGCUGUAAAACCUUUAUUCCAUCUAGGAGUAGAUGCUCCAAUACAUUUAGCAUUAAGAGAUACUAGACUCAAAAGAUAUAAAACUUCUUUACUUUCUAUGAUUCAAACUAAUGUUUGUAAUGAACCCAUAUAUUUUAACUGUGCUCCAAAUUUUUCAAUAGACUUAACAGACCCACAUAAUCUAAAUUCAGUUAUAUUAGAUAUUCAUUUACAAGGAAAUGAAUUUGAAAAACAUACAAAGAAUUUUGCAAUAAUAUACCGAAUAUAUUACAGACCUUUAUCUUCACAUUUAAAUCCAAAAUUUAUAAUGACUCCAACUCUUAAAGAAGAAACAACUUUAUUACAAGUAGAUGCAGAUAAACCUACAACUUAUACUCCAAAAAGAUUAAAAUGGAAUGAAAUAACCAUACCAAGUGAAUUUGAAAUUAAGAAUCCACAAAUAGCAAGAAAUAUAGAACAAACUACUGCCGAAGAUAUUAUAGAAAAGCCUGAUGGAAAUACUUUAAUAAGAUUUGCUUCAUUAAGAGAAAGACCUAGUUCAAGUUAUUCAUGGUUACCAGCUAGACAUUCUAAUUAUGAAUCUACUGAAAUAAAUUUUCCGGUAGAAAAUACUUCAACUUUUAAAUAUAAAACUCCUGUUCCAGAAGUAAUAAAUCAAAAUCAAUCAGAAUAUUCACCUACCCAUUCACAAAUGAAAGGAGAAAUAAAUGUUAUAAAUAAACCAUAUAAAAUAAAUCAUAAAUAUUUACAAGAAGAUUUUGAUGAUGAAGAAAAUACUGAAAAAAGAAUUUGGUUUUUUCAACUGGAAUCACAAUAUAAAGAAAAAUUAAUUAUAGAAUGGAAAAAUGAAAUAAAUAAACAAAAGUUUGAUUUUCCUUUCUUUACAUGGUUAACAUUUUAUACAUCAAAAUUAGGAAUAAACAAUGUUUAUAAUACACCAUAAAUAAAUGUUCAAACUAAUUUGUAUAAAAAAUGAAAACUAAAAGAUGAUCAAAUAUUAACCUCAAUACAUCCCCCAUUACAAGAAGUAAAAAUUAAUAUAGGACAAAGAGAUAUAAUAGCCUCACCUUUUAAAAAGGGUAGAGAAGCUGAAUCAAGUACAAAUAAUAAUGUAAAUUUAGAUGAUAUUAAAAAAGUUUAUCAACAAAAUAAUUAUACAAAUCAAAUCCUCAUACAAUAUCUCAACAUAUGGAAGUAUUAAAUACUAAGAUAGAUACAAUAAAUAAAUCAGAAUUAAAAUUCCCAAAUGAUAUUUCAGCACUCCAUUUUAAACCUAGAAGCCUGACAAGAGAAAAAGAGCAAGAUUUAGUACAAAAUAUUAAUAGUCAAAAAAUAAAUACUACAGAUUAUUUAUUAAAUAAAAUAUCUCAAGCCCUACAAAACUUAACUACAGAAUCUAAACCUUCCACUCCAAAAAUAAAUACAUUAGAUAGAAUAAUAGAAGAAAACUCAACGGAAGAAAUAGAAGAUUUAUCUGAAAAAUCAACAGAAUCAGAAACAGAAGAGGAAGAUAUAAUUUUACCAAUAGAAAAUCAAUUUGAAGAAAUAAAAGGAAAUCAAAUAAAUAGAAUAAAAAGAAAAAAUAAUAAAAAUAAUUGGAAGAUGGUAAGUUCAAAAAAUUAUUAUCCCAGACCUAACCCUCCAGAUAUUCAAUACAAAGAAAGAUCAAAAUUUAGAACUACGAAAUAUGAUAGAGAUUCAAUAUAUGAAUGGAAUAUAGAUGGCAAAACUGAAUAUGAAGUAUUAAACAAUUUGCAAGAAAUGUGAAUGGCCAGAUUAGCUUAUAAAAUUAAAAAUAUUCAAGAAAGAAAUAUUACAACAUUAUUAGUCUCAAGAUUUACUGGACAAUUAAAAAAUUGGUGGGAUAAUGCACUAACUUUACAAGAUAAAUUAUCAAUAUUAGAUCAUACACAAGAAAUAGAAGAUGAUCAAGGAAAUAUUCAAAUACAGUCAGAUGCUGCAGAAUUUUUAAUUGUAACAAUAGUUAUGUAGGAAAUCUAAAAGAAGAAUUAAAUUCUAAUAAAACAUUUUUAACGAAUUUAAGAUGUCCAACAUUAUCAGAUUUUAGAUGAUAUAAAGAUAUGUUUUUAACAAAUGUAUUAAGAAGACCAGAUUGUAAUGCUUCAUUCUGGAAAGAAAGAUUCAUAACAGGAUUACCAAGUUUAUUUUCACAAAGAAUAAUGGAUAAUUUACAAAAAGAAAUGGGAACAGAUGUCAUUUCAUUCGAGAAUAUUACUUUUGGACAAUUAUUUGCUUUUGUGAAAAAAGAAGGAUUAAUGUUAUGUUCAGAAUUAAGAUUACAAAUAAAAUAUGGAUCAAAAACAAAAGAAGUAGGAUCAUUCUGUGAUGCAUUUGGAAUUAAAAGAAUUAAGUCACCAUCAGCAUACAAAAAGAAAGUUAAAAAAUAUUCUAAAAAAAUAAGAUAUAAAAACCCUAAGGAAAAUGAACCAACUAAGAAGAGAAAAUUUAUUAAAAAGAAAAUUGUUUGUUAUAAAUGUGGAAAAAUAGGACAUAAAGCAAACAGAUGUAAAUUAAAAGAAAAAAUUACAGAAAUUUGUGCCAACGACGAAGAAAUUAAAAACAAGUUAAUAAAUUUAUUAAUAACUGAACAAGAUAACCAUUCUGAAAACGAAUAUUACGAUGAUAUAUCUAGUUCUGAAAGUGAAGAAGAUUGCAAUUGUACUCCAAAAUAUAUAAAUGUUAUAACUAAAAAAGAAGAUAAAGAAUUUUUAUUAGAUAUAAUAGAUAAAAUUGAAGAUCCAAUAGCUAAAAAAGAAUAUUUAGAAAGAUUAAAAAGCUUAAUUAUUCAAGAAGAUAAAAUGCCUAAGAUAAUAGAACCCUUUAGCAUUUCGAAAUUAAUAGAUAAAUAUCCAAAUAUAAAUAUAAUGAAAAAAGAAACUACUAAAGAUCUUCAAUCAGAAAUUAACAAUCUUAAAAUACAAGUAAAACAAUUACAACAAGAGAUUAUAGAGUUAAAGACAAAAGACUUAGAAAUAGAAGCCAAAAUAACAUUAAUAGAAAACAAUCAACCUUCAACUUCUAAUGUUAAAGCAAACGAAAUAUCAAUAGCAGAAAACCCAGUAAAAGAAGAUCAAUACUUAAAUACUAUAGAAAAAAUGACUUUUCAAAAAUGGUUUGCUUUAUUAACCAUCACAGUAGAAGAUUUCAAAGAAACAUUUGUAACUCUAAUAGAUAGUGGAGCUGAUACAAGUUGUAUUAAAGAAGGAAUAAUCCCCACUAAAUAUUGUGAAAGAACAAAAGAAAAACUAAUGGCCGCAAAUGGAGAAGAUUUAGAAGUAAAAUAUAAAUUUACCAAAGGAUCAAUAUGUAAUAAUGAAUAUUGUAUUAGACACAAUUUUAUAAUUGUAAAUAAUAUAAAUCAUGAUGUAAUAUUAGGAACACCCUUUUUAAUUCAAAUAUAUCCAUUUUCAGUAAGUAAUGAAGGAAUUUCAGUAAAUAUAAUGGGAAAAAUUGUUACCUUUAAAUUCUUAACUCCCAUAAGACAAAAGGAAUUACAAACAUUACAAACAUCUUCAAUAUAUAAAACAAUAGAUACUAUUACUAAAGUACAACAACAAAUAAAUUAUAUUAAAGAGGAAAAAUCUUAUUUAAAAAUUGAAGAAUAAUUAAAUGAUAUUAAAAUACAAAAAAGAAUAUUAGAAGUAGAAGAAUUAUUACAAAAAGAAAUUUGUGCAGAUAUUCCUAAUGCUUUUUGGGAUAGAAAACAACAUAUGAUAGAAUUACCAUAUGAAAAGGAUUUUAAUGAAAAAAAUAUUCCAACAAAAGCUAGACCAAUACAAAUGAAUUCUGAGCUACUAGAAUUUUAUAAAAAGGAAAUAAAAACAUUAAGAGAGAUUCAGAGAAAUACCAUUCGAAUCAAAGUUAUGAAAAGAAUUGAGAGAAGUGAGGAAUUUAUUCAAUAUCACAGAGAACAAAAUAAGCAAUUAUCUGACCAACUUAAAGAUAUUGUUUAUUAAUAUUGCAGGAUUAUGAAUUCAAAAGCAGGAAAUUCCACACCAAAGACUCCUCAAGAUUAUGAGAUGAGUCUAACUCCUGUUACUCAAAACAGAUUCCAACUCUUAUCAGAUUUUCCAGCACUGACUUAUAGUCAAGCUGCUUGUACUCCAACUUCCUCUCAAAUUAGACCACUUCAACAACUACCAAAAUCCCCAGAAAAAUCCACAGAAAAUACCUAUUUUACAAAGCUAUUUACUCAACAUAUCACUUUGACCAAAUUCCAAGAAGUACCUUUGUAUUCUACACUCAAUCAAAUUACCCAAAGAAUCUUUCCUCAAAAGUGCUUUUGGCAACCAGAUGAUCCCUCAAAAAAUUUGGAUUAUUAUGAAUUAAUUCUUACAGCACGCAGGCAAUAUAAGCACUAUAUUAUGAAUUAUUAUGAAUUAAUUCUGGUAGAAGUGGUAUCCAAUAGCAGAAAUAUUUGAUUCUGACUUUGAUAAUAUUCAUGACUAUUCAUAUAAUUUUGUAUAUAAUUUGAUACUUAAAAGAUCCGCUUAAUUCUGAUUUAAAUACUAUAGAAAUAAUCUGAUUUAUUCAAACCAAAUUCAUUGAUAUUUCAGAACAUAUCUAAAUUAACAGAAUUAAUUCAUAAUACUUAAAUACUUAAAUAUUGUAUCAGAAAAUGCAGAAUUAAUUCUUACAGAUACUCAAUCUGUAGAAAUAUUCCCCAUUCCAGACAGAAAAAAUCCAAAUAUGAUUAGCCACUCAAAAUGCAUAAUAAAGAAAGUUUGUUCUCCAAAUGAAUGGACUUCUCUUUAUUCUAAAAAAUCCUUUUCAGUAAGAUUCAUUCCAGAUGGAUUCACAUAUCAAGAUUACAAAAUGGCAUGGUAUCGUGCCUUCCUUUUUAGACCAUUCAAUCACUCAUGAUUCUUCACAUUUAAAGAAAAUUGCAGCAGAGAAUUUCCAAUUUGGUUCAAUCACUGGUGGAAAUGGUUUGGACCACAACCAGAGAUACUACCUCCUAAUGUGCUCAUGGGAUUUCAAACAUAUCUAAAAAUUAAUUCAAUAUAAUAUAAGCAUGCAAUAGUUUGCAAUAAGGAUAUAAGCUUGUAAUAAGCAAAAGAUUUGGACUUACAAUAAAAUUUUGAACUUGAGUUAUACACGGAAGUUUUGACAAAUUGAAUCUUCUUACAAUUGCUUGAAGUCAAGGGUGGUUGAGAGUGGUUGAGAUGAAGUUGAAAUUCAAAUGACAAAGUCCCGAGCCUCUAUAAAUUGAAGAAAGAUUGCAGAAUGAAGGCAUCGGCGAAAAUUAGCAGACUAGUUCUUUUAAAGCCUUAGAAAAAAUCUCUCAACCACUCUCUCUUAUUUUCAACUUCAUCUCAACCACUCUCAACCACUCUUGACUUCAAGCAAUUGUAAGAAGAUUCAAUUUGUCAAAUCUUCCGUGUGUAACUCAAGUUCAAAAUUUUAUUGUAAGUCCAAAUCUUUUGUUUAUUACAAGCUUAUAUCCUUAUUGCAAACUAUUGAAUGCUUAUAUUAUAUUGUUUGGGUAGAAGUGGUAUCAGAGCCACACCCAAAUUUAUAUGCACCUGCAUAUUUAAGAUUUUGAACUAUUAUUAUUUGGUUUGAAUUACGCUUUUAUUUUGAAUUUGCUAAUUCAUGCAUUUAUGUUUACAUAUAUUUAUUAAACUUUUGCUAAAAUCGUUGGUAAGACUUGAUGCCUUGUAAGACCGUUGGUAAGUCCAGGAUAGGGUGUUCCAGGCAUAGUGCUCGGUUGUUCCCGAUUAGGUAAAAAAUUUAAUUAAAUAUUAAACAUGGCUGCAUUUCUUAGACAAUUUAAAAUAGGAUCUAAUUCAAAACAAGCUAAUAUAGUACAAAGUCAUGAAUAUCAUAUGCCUAUAAAUAAUUCAGAUUGGACUAUUCCAAAAGAAAAAAUAGAACAUAUUUAUAGAAUAGGCCCUUUAGAUUUCAAAACAGCAUUAUCAGUUAAAACCCAUGAAGAAACAAUAUCUAUUCAAGAAGAAUAUCAAUCAAUUCCAUUAUUAAAUCAUAGUACAAUUCAAAAAUAUUUAAGUAAAGGAUAUCGAUAUAUUCAUAUAGGAUUAAUACAAAUUGCUGUAAAACCUUUAUUCCAUUUAGGAGUAGAUGCUCCAAUAUAUUUAGCAUUAAGAGAUACUAGACUCAAAAGAUAUAAAACUUCUUUACCUUCUAUGAUUCAAACUAAUGUUUGUAAUGGACCCAUAUAUUUUAACUGUGCUCCAAAUUUUUCAAUAGACUUAACAGACCCACAUAUUCUAAAUUCAGUUAUAUUAGAUAUUCAUUUACAAGGAAAUGAAUUUGAAAAACAUACAAAGAAUUUUGCAAUAAUAUACAGAAUAUAUUACAGACCUUUAUCUUCACAUUUAAAUCCAAAAUUUAUAAUGACUCCAACUCUUAAAGAAGAAACAACUUUAUUACAAGUAGAUGCAGAUAAACCUACAACUUAUACUCCAAAAAAGAUUAAAAUAGAAUGAAAUAACCAUACCAAGUGAAUUUGAAAUUAAGAAUCCACAAAUAGCAAGAAAUAUAGAACAAACUACUGCCGAAGAUAUUAUAGAAAAGUCUGAUGAAAAUACUUUAAUAAGAUUUGCUUCAUUAAGAGAAAGACCUAGUUCAAGUUAUUCAUGGUUACCAGCUAGACAUUCUAAUUAUGAAUCUGCUGAAAUAAAUUUUCCGGUAGAAAAUACUUCAACUUUUAAAUAUAAAACUCCUGUUCCAGAAGUAAUAAAUCAAAAUCAAUCAGAAUAUUCACCUACCCAUUCACAAAUGAAAGGAGAAAUAAAUGUUAUAAAUAAACCAUAUAAAAUAAAUCAUAAAUAUUUACAAGAAGAUUUUGAUGAUGAAGAAAAUACUGAAAAAAGAAUUUGGUUUUUUCAACUGGAAUCACAAUAUAAAGAAAAAUUAAUUAUAGAAUGGAAAAAUGAAAUAAAUAAACAAAAAUUUGAUUUUCCUUUCUUUACAUGGUUAACAUUUUAUACAUCAAAAUUAGAAAUAAACAAUGUUUAUAAUACACCACAAAUAAAUGUUCAAACUAGUUCAAGUUAUUCAUGGUUACCAGCUAGACAUUCUAAUUAUGAAUCUACUGAAAUAAAUUUUUCGGUAGAAAAUACUUCAACUUUUAAAUAUAAAACCCCUGUUCCAGAAGUAAUAAAUCAAAAUCAAUCAGAAUAUUCACCUACCCAUUCACAAAUGAAAGGAGAAAUAAAUGUUAUAAAUAAACCAUAUAAAAUAAAUCAUAAAUAUUUACAAGAAGAUUUUGAUGAUGAAGAAAAUACUGAAAAAAGAAUUUAAUUUUUUCAACUGGAAUCACAAUAUAAAGAAAAAUUAAUUAUAGAAUGGAAAAAUGAAAUAAAUAAACAAAAGUUUGAUUUUCCUUUCUUUACAUGGUUAACAUUUUAUACAUCAAAAUUAGGAAUAAACAAUGUUUAUAAUACACCACAAAUAAAUGUUCAAACUAAUUUGUAUAAAAAAUGGAAAUUAAAAGAUGAUCAAAUAUUAACCUCAAUACAUCCCCCAUUACAAGAAGUAAAAAUUAAUAUAGGACAAGGAGAUAUAAUAGCCUCACCUUUUAAAAAGGUGAUUACAAGAAUAUUCUUGUAAUAUUCUGGAAUAUUAUCAUAAUAAUUCAUAAUAUAGUUUGAUUCUCGGAAUAUUAUUUCAGCACCUUAUAUUGAUAUUCGGAAUAAUAGCCUCUUCUGGAAUAUUAUAUCAAAGGAGAUAUAAUAGCCUCACCUUUUAAAAAAGUGAUUACAAGAAUAUUCUUGUAAUAUUCUGUUUCUGAUUCUUGAUUGGUAAAAUUUUGUAAUCUUGAUAUGUGAAUCCAUCUGGAAUGAAUCUUACUGAAAAGGAUUUUUUAGAAUAAAGAGAAGUCCAUUCAUUUGGAGAACAAACUUUCUUUAUUAUGCAUUUUGAGUGGCUAAUCAUAUUUGGAUUUUUUCUGUUUGGAAUGGGGAAUAUUUCUACAGAUUGAGUAUCUGUAAGAAUUAAUUCAUAAUAAUUCAAAUUUUUUGAGGGAUCAUCUGGUUGCCAAAAGUUCUUUUGAGGAAAGAUUUUUUGGGUAAUUUGAUUGAGUGUAGAAUACAAAGGUACUUCUUGGAAUUUGGUCAAAGUGAUAUGUUGAGUAAAUGGCUUUGUAAAAUAGGUAUUUUCUGUGGAUUUUUCUGGGGAUUUUGGUAGUUGUUGAAGUGGUCUAAUUUGAGAGGAAGUUGGAGUACAAGCAGCUUGACUAUAAGUCAGUGCUGGAAAAUCUGAUAAGAGUUGGAAUCUGUUUUGAGUAACAGGAGUUAGACUCAUCUCAUAAUCUUGAGGAGUCUUUGGUCUGAAAUUUCCUGCUUUUGAAUCCAUAAUCCUGCAAUAUUAAUAAACAAUAUCUUUAAGUUGGUCAGAUAAUUGCUUAUUUUGUUCUCUGUGAUAUUGAAUAAAUUCCUCACUUCUCUCAAUUCUUUUCAUAACUUUGAUCCGAAUGGUAUUUCUCUGAAUCUCUCUUUGAAUAAGAAAGGCUCUUUCUUGAGGAGUAAUAGUAGUAAAAGGGCUUUUUCGAAUAUGUAUAGUGUCAUAUUUAGGAAUUUGAUGAGUUGGAAUACAUUGUAUGCCAUAGCUAGUUUGGGCAAAGUAUUGAUAUCCUCUGGAUUGGAUAUCUUUUUCUUUGUUUUGAAAUAUGGGAGAAUCCCUUUUAACAUUAGAAGUUGAAGGUUGAUUGUUUUCUAUUAAUGUUAUUUUGGAAGAAGAUCAAUACUUAAAUACUAUAGAAAAAACAAUAAAUACUAUUACUAAAGUACAACAACAAAUAAAUUAUAUUAAAGAGGAAAAAUCUUAUUUAAAAAUUGAAGAACAAUUAAAUGAUAUUAAAAUACAAAAAAGAAUAUUAGAAGUAGAAGAAUUAUUACAAAAAGAAAUUUGUGCAGAUAUUCCUAAUACUUUUUGGGAUAGAAAACAACAUAUGAUAGAAUUACCAUAUGAAAAGGAUUUUAAUGAAAAAAAUAUUUCAACAAUAGCUAGACCAAUACAAAUGAAUUCUGAGCUACUAGAAUUUUGUAAAAAGGAAAUAAAAACAUUAAUAGAUAAAGGAUUAAUAAUACCUUCAAAAUCACCUUGGAGUUGUGCUGCAUUUUAUGUUAUGAAUCAAGCUGAAAAAGAAAGAGGAGUUCCAAGAUUAGUAAUAAAUUAUAAACCUUUAAAUAAAGUAUUACAAUGGAUUAGAUAUCCUAUUCCUAAUAAAAAAGAUUUACUCAACAGAUUAUUUAAUGCCAAGAUAUUUUCAAAGUUUGAUUUAAAAUCAGGAUAUUGGCAAAUACUAAUAAAACCAAAAGACAGAUAUAAAACAGCAUUUACAACACCUUUCGGAUAUUAUGAAUGGAAAGUUAUGCCAUUUGGAUUAAAAAAUGCACCAUCAGAAUUUCAAAAUAUAAUGAAUGAUAUUUUUAAUCCUUACAGUUCAUUCAGUAUAGUAUAUAUAGAUGAUGUAUUAAUAUUUUCAGAAUCAAUAGAACAACAUUUUAAACAUUUAAGUAUAUUUUUAAAAAUAGUUAAGAAAAAUGGAUUAGUUGUUUCUGCUCCAAAAAUGAAAUUAUUUCAAACAGUCUUUCUCUUAAUGAAGCAAAUCUUAUUAAAGUAUUUCCAUCAGGCUUUUCUAUAAUAUCUUCGGCAGUAGUUUGUUCUAUAUUUCUUGCUAUUUGUGGAUUCUUAAUUUCAAAUUCACUUGGUAUGGUUAUUUCAUUUCAUUUUAAUCUUUUUGGAGUAUAAGUUGUAGGUUUAUCUGCAUCUACUUGUAAUAAAGUUGUUUCUUCUUUAAGAGUUGGAGUCAUUAUAAAUUUUGGAUUUAAAUGUGAAGAUAAAGGUCUGUAAUAUAUUCUGUAUAUUAUUGCAAAAUUCUUUGUAUGUUUUUCAAAUUCAUUUCCUUGUAAAUGAAUAUCUAAUAUAACUGAAUUUAGAAUAUGUGGGUCUGUUAAGUCUAUUGAAAAAUUUGGAGCACAGUUAAAAUAUAUGAGUUCAUUACAAACAUUAGUUUGAAUCAUAGAAAGUAAAGAAGUUUUAUAUCUUUUGAGUCUAGUAUCUCUUAAUGCUAAAUAUAUUGGAGCAUCUACUUCUAGAUGGAAUAAAGGUUUUACAGCAAUUAUCAAUCAGAAUAUUCACCUACCCAUUCACAAAUGAAAGGAGAAAUAAAUGUUAUAAAUAAACCAUAUAAAAUAAAUCAUAAAUAUUUACAAGAAGAUUUUGAUGAUGAAGAAAAUACUGAAAAAGAAUUCAAAAUUCAUCAAGAGCUUGAAAAACCACUUCCAAUGUCAUUAGUCAGAGAAUUCAAAAUUAAAUGGUGGACAGGAUUCAAUCAAGAAUUUGGAGAUCAAGUAAAUGUCAUCAGAUUUCUAACUACCGGAGAUAAACUCAAAUGGACUAAACCAACAUCUACUCCAACAACUUUUGUACCUACUACAACAAAGUCCUCACCAACUCCAACCACUACGGCCCCAACGCCAACCACUACUCCAAUAAAGAAAGAAAAAGAUACCGAGAUGGUAUCCGAGGCAACUUCAAACGACUUUUUAAUGAAAAAGAUGAUGCAAGAUCCAAGACUACUCAAAGAAUAUCUGGACUAUUUACAAAAGUCAGAUAAGAAAGAAGAAACCGACAAAAUUGACGAGUCAGCAGAAUCAUCCGAAUCAACUUUUGAUCCAUUCGGAGGACCAUGCGGACAAGAUCCAAACGACUUUUGAAAAAGCAGUUGAUCAUUUCAAAAAAGAUGUCGGCCACAAAAUAAAAGAAGAUGAAAUGCAAAUGAAGAUGAAAUGAAAUUCAAAUAACAAAGUCCCGAGCCUCUAUAAAUUGGAGAAAAAUUGCAGAAUGAAGGCAUCGGCGAAAAUUAGCAGACUAGUUCUUUUAAAGCCUUAGAAAAAAUCUCUCAACCGCUCUCUCUUAUUUUCAACUUCAUCUCAACCACUCUCAACCACCCUUGACUUCAAGCAAUUGUAAGAAGAUUCAAUUUGUCAAAGCUUCCGUGUGUAACUCAAGUUCAAAAUUUUAUUGUAAGUCCAAAUCUUUUGCUUAUUACAAGCUUAUAUCCUUAUUGCAAACUAUUGCAUGCUUAUAUUAUAUUGCCUGGGUAGAAGUGGUAUCAGAGCUACACCCAAAUUUAUAUGCACCUGCAUAUUUAAGAUUUUGAACUAUUAUUAUUUGGUUUGAAUUACGCUUUUAUUUUGAAUUUGCUAAUUCAUGCAUUUAUGUUUACAUAUAUUUAUUAAACUUUUGCUAAAAUCGUUGGUAAGACUUGAUGCCUUGUAAGACCGUUGGUAAGUCCAGGAUAGGGUGUUCCAGGCAUAGUGCUCGGUUGUUCCCGAUUAGGUAAAAAAUUUAAUUAAAUAUUAAACAUGGCUGCAUUUCUUAGACAAUUUAAAAUAGGAUCUAAUUCAAAACAAGCUAAUAUAGUACAAAGUUAUGAAUAUCAUAUGCCUAUAAAUAAUUCAGAUUGGACUAUUCCAGAAGAAAAAAUAGAACAUAUUUAUAGAAUAGGCCCUUUAGAUUUCAAAACAGCAUUAUCAGUUAAAACCCAUGAAGAAACAAUAUCUAUUCAAGAAGAAUAUCAAUCAAUUCCAUUAUUAAAUCAUAGUACAAUUCAAAAAUACUUAAGUAAAGGAUAUCGAUAUAUUCAUAUAGGAUUAAUACAAAUUACUGUAAAACCUUUAUUCCAUCUAGGAGUAGAUGCUCCAAUAUAUUUAGCAUUAAGAGAUACUAGACUCAAAAGAUAUAAAACUUCUUUACUCAAAAGAAAGAGGUUGAUAUGGAGUGAUUUUGGGAAAAAAAAGGUUGUGCUUUGCUACUCUCCUUAGGGAUUAAAGGUACUCUGGGCAAGGAACUACUUUUUUCCCUUUAAUCUUACAUUUUAGUGGAUAUAUUACUUGAAUAUGGAAGUUUUGUGGAAGAUUUCAUGGGUUGUGAAGUUGGUGGAUUUUUUCCAACUUUGAUUUUGAUUUUUCCAACCAUGAAAUGAGAAUUUCUAAUCUUGAUAUGGACUUCUGUAGCUUUGAUAUUAAGAUUUCUAGUUGGAUAUGCAUUUUUAGCUUGGUUGUCCGAUUUUUCUAGCUCUUGUAGUUAAUUUCCAAUUUUGCUAUGUUAAUUUGUAGCCUUGGGAUACCAUUUCAGCUUUGUAUGACCUUUUUAGGUCUUAACAUGGGAAUUUUCAAUUUUAUUAUAAAGUUUUAGCCUUGUUAUAGAAUUUUCUAACUUUAGUUACAAUUUUCAACUUAGGUUGUGAAAUUUCAAACUUAGGUAUAUGAUGAAGAUAUAAUUGGUACAUGGCUAAUUUAGUUGGUUUUGUGGUCUAGAAUAAGAACCUCUUGUAUCUUAUCACUUGUGGACUUAUUUGGGGCUGUUUGAUUAUGAAAUUUAGCUUUGAAAUUGGAGGGAAAAUGUAAGAAAAAAACAGGAGAAAUGCUACCCGUUUCAUUUCUUGUAGUAUAAGCGAGUGAAAGUGAGAGUAGAAGGAUGAUUUUUGGAUGAUUUGGACUUAGUUUGUUUAGGGAUGCUUGAGUCCACUUUGGUGGUGAUAUAUAAACUGGAAUUUUGCUAAAACCCAUCCAUUUUGCAAGGAAGCGUAAUGACCUGUUUAAAAAUGAUUUCUAGUUGCAUAUGUCAAGUUUUAAAUUCAAAGGUUUUAAUCAUAUUUUUUCAAAAACAAAAAAAAGAGUGUGCAUGUAUCUUGCGUAAGGUUUACUAAAUCUCAUGAGUCUAUUUAUAUAAGUUCGAUUUACAUGAUCUUCCAUUGAUAGUCACAAGUGAGGGAUUGGAUUUUGAAACCCUAUUUGAUUGUAUUUGGUCAUAUGACAUUUGAUCGCAGAUUUUGAAUCCGGCUAGAGAGCUAGGGCUGAACCCGAUUUAGAUAAACAAUAAUCAUUAGGGAGUGUUCCUUGCAUGUUGUGCUUCCAAUGACUAUGUGGAAUGUUGUGAAUGUUUACUUGAAUGUUAAAUGCUUUUCAAUGAUUGUUAAAUGGAUUUUCAAAGGAUGAGUAUGUACAUUGUCGCACUCGACCUAAGUAAAUGUGAAUUUUCAAUGAUCAAAUGAUUUAUGCAUGAAUGUAAGCCUUUGGCUGAACCGGGCCCUUGCCCUUCGUUACCAGUCGACUUGAGCCAGAAGCGGAUUUGGUUAGGCGACUGGUGACCCUAGAAUAGUGUUAGGUAUACUCGAGUAUGACCAUGAAGUCGGGUAGAGUAUUGGCCAGUAGAUAUAAUACAAUGAUUGAAAUGAAUGAAUGAAAUGAACACUAAAGGAUUUCACUUUUAAAUGCUUUCAAAUGUCCGAUGUAUAAGGGAUAUGGACGGCGACUGAGUAAAUGGUUCCAAGUGAGCUCCUAUCCUUCUAAUGAUUGAAUGUUUAUUUCUUGAAUGACUGCUUAUUGCUGUGCAAAGUGUGUGAAGUGUUAAAUAUAAUAUUUCCUUACUUUACCUACUUGACUGUUUGUUUGGGAACCUCACUGGAUUAUUAGUUUAUUACUUUAGUUUUGUUUUUCUUAUAGGAGUGGAGGCCGGAGUAAGUAAGUGUGAAUUAGUGUGUAUAAUGUUAUGUACUUGUACUUUUAUAAAUGAAAUGUAUUUGAGAUCUUUGGUAAUGUACCCCUAUGUUUCACUUUUGGAUUGAAGUUAAGUUGAAAUUUUUGGUUGAAUUGGGAACUUUUAUGUUAAUCUAGAGGCAUGAAAGACUAUUCCAAGAAUGUUAGUGAGUGAGUCCUGACAAGAGUUGGACAAGCGAUCCGUCAAAUCCUUGGGUAUGCCCUAAGCGGAGGUGGGGUCGUUACAUAUUUCUCAUCCACUGAUUUUGGCCAUUUAAACAUUGCUUCCACCUUCUUGGGAUCUGCCUUCACUCCUUUCCCGAUGAUUACACGACCAAGAUAUUUCACCUGUGGUUGAGCAAAGACACACUUACUCUUUUUAGCAAACAGUUGGUUCUAUUUCAAAAUAAUCCGCACCUCUCUUACAUGCUCCUAAUGACCCUCUAGUAUAGAACUAUACACCAGAAUGUCAUCAAAGAGCACUAGCACAAACCUCUUUAACCGAUCCUUGAACAUCUUAUUCAUUAGAGACUGGAAAGUUGUUGGAGCAUUUGUAAGUCCAAUGGCAUUACCUUGAACUCAUACAGUCCUUGAUGAGUUCUAAAUGCAAUUUUGUACUCAUCCGCAACCUUAAUACAUAUUUGAUGGUAACUUGCCCUCAAGUCUAUCUUAGUGAAGUACUUAGAUCUGUGAACUCAUCUAUCAAUUCAUCAAUAAGAGGUAUUAGGAAUUUAUCCUUAUUUGUUAGCUUAUUCAACUGCCUAUAGUCUCCGUAAAAUCUCCAACUACUAUUCUUUUUCUUAACUAAUAGCAUAAGGGAAGCAAAUGGACUACAACCAAGCUGGAUAAUACCAGUUUUCAGCAUUUCCUUAACUAAUCUCUCAAUUUUAGACUUCUAUACAUAAGGGCAUUUAUAGAUCCUCAUUUGAAUAGCUUUGGCCCUCUUCUUAAGUUGGAUGUGAUGGUCAUGUCUUAUAGGUGGAGACAAUCUAAUUGGUUCAGCAAAAACUUCCUCAAAGUAACCCAAUACCUUUUGAACUUCCUCAGGUGUUUUGGCUGGUUCUUCCACCCCUUAUUCUAUGGAGUUGAUAUGAGCUAGAAUGCCAUAUGCUUGUUUCUUUAUCUAUUUUAUCAUCCUACUUCCCUUGAUUAAAUUCAGUUGAACUUCAUCUAGAUUUCCUUGUAAAGCUCAACUUCUUGAACUCAAACUCCAUGGAGCUAUAUUUGGCUAAACAGUCCACCCCCAACACCAUAUCACCUCCUCCCAACUUGAGAGCACACAUUUUAUCCUAGAAUUCAUAUCCUUCUAUCUGCCAUAUGAGUUGUUUAAGAGGAAGGGAAGAAAGUGUUCAAGAGGAAGGAAACUUGAGGAAAAGGAAAGGUCUAACUCACAAGAGCAAAAUCCAAAUAAUAAAUCACAAAAAUUACGUGAUCUGGAAAUGUACCACUACUACCUAUUUAUAGUUAGAGUUUCUUAUAGAAUUUUGUACGGCCUUCUAUCAUGUCGCCAAGUGUCCCUUCCACUAGCUUCUCCUCUACUGAUUGGAACUUCACUCGUGCAAAUGAAAUUGUGAAAACACGGUUCCCAAUUCUGUCUCCAUUGAAAUCAUGCCCUCUACUACUAUUUUCCCUUCUACGCUCUUUACCGCCCAAUGACAAAAUUGAAAUUAAAGUAAAUUAUCUAACUAUAACAUGGUAUAGUUUUUAGCAACUUAAUCAAAACCAGACUUGGAGUCACCAUUGUUGAGUGGCAUGUCAUGUUUGCUUAUUCACUAUACUCGACUAAAGUCCUUGUUAGCUUUCUAUCAUAGGAUUGGUACUUGAAUCUUGAUUAUCAUUCUUUCUAACUUUCUUGAACUCUGACCAUUCUAUCACAAGAUUAUUGGAGAUUUUAGUGUUGUCUUCUCUUACUUUUCAAACUUGCUAGAGAAAAUUAGUCAUGAUUUAGUAUUUUUUUUGUAGUAACAAAAACAAGUGCCUAAUAUUUAGUUCUAUGAGUUGAUUGAUGGCCAUGUGAUUGCCCAUGACUAUUCUAUAAGCAUUUUCAAAAAUCCAUUAACCAUCUUACUUUGCCUAAAUUUAAAAGGUUCAAUCACCACAUUUUUUUUUGAUAAAAAUAAGGGUAAAAUACCAAAAACUCCUUUGUGGUUUGCGAAUGUUCAAUUUACUUCUCUCUUGUUUACAAAUCUACACUUUAACUCCUUGUGAUUUUCAAAUAAAUUGAAAUGGGAUAGGAAACAUCUAAACUAAUGAUAUUUGACUGUUAUGCGCUUUUGAUGAGUUUUGCUUGUGAUAAAUAAUAUCUAACAAAAAAAUAAUAUUUUUAGUUGUUAAACGUACAUCUGUGUGUAUAUCAAGACCUGAAAGAAUGUGAUGUUCUUAAUCUCUUCUUCUCUAAACCCUAAAUUGGGCAGGAGAUUAGAAGCAAAAUUGGUGACUUUGGAUCCUUGAAUUGCCUGCAAUCGAUUUGGGAGCAGAUGUAAGAACUCUAUAUUGAUUAUUUCGAGAUGUCUUCAGGGAUGUCUUUCUUAAGUUAUAGAAGUGGUAGUAGAAAUAAGGAUUUGAAAUAUCAGUAGAGGUUAUGUGAUUGUGGAAGGAAGGCCAAGGUAAAAAUCAUUGAAUCAAAAAAAUCAGCUAAAGGCAUAUUAUAUUUUGUAUGUGAAAGAGAUGAAUGCGCCUUUUGGUAUUAGUGUAACCCAACUAGUCAAGAGUCGCUAAGGUGGGAAGCUGGAAUUGGAAAACCAAUAGAGGAAGAACAACCAAGUAUGUAAGCUAGCAUGAUGUCGAGAUGGCAAAAAGUGGACAAUGAAUUGAAAAGUUUGAAGUUGCUGGUUUGCUGUUGUCUAAUGGGGUUUGUGUUUUCACUCUUGAUGUUGAUGUCCAAGAUGUGAAUUUGAUGUGUGAAUCUUUUGCUUAGUUUAGGUAGUAGAUGAUGAAUAGGGUAGGAAAAGUGUAAGGAAUAUCCAUAUGUAGAAUGAUGAUUUCAUGUUUUGCUUUGUAGAAAUGAAAAGUAUCCGAUUGUCUUUUAGAUAGCUAUGGUUAAAUGUAGAACCCCUACUAUAAUUGAUAUAGGGUAUAUCCCUUUUUUUUUUUAUCAAUUGUUGUGGUAAAUGAAACUGAAGAACGUGAAAAAGAGAAAUGAAAUGGCUAUGACAAAUGAAACUAGAUAACUUAAAAAAGAGAAAUGAAAUGCUGCAAAAUAAUAUCCAUCAACAAUUUAACAAAAAGAUUAAUAAAUUGCUACAAAAUAUUGUCCAUCCUUCUAUUCAUUCAAAAAUAGCCAUUUAGAUCAUCUAUACAAAAGUAGUACACAUCAUUUUCAGUUUACAUCAGGUUCAACACCUAAAAAAAUAACAGAAAAAUAAGUAAUUUGUCCAGAUUUGCACUAUCUGAGUCUAACUCAGUCACCAAAAUAUGCCAGUUUACAUAACUCAAGCUAACUACAAAUUAGACAUACAUACAAUUUAGGAGAAUGACUUUAUUCUUGUUCUCUUGGCCCUUAUUUUAUGCAGCACGUCUGUAACUAUUGGAGGCCUAAUUCAUCCACUAGCCGUAUUGGAAACAAGUCCACCAUCACAGCAAGUUGCAAAAUAGAGGGUUGUUAAGAACAUGACACAUGUUUCAAGUAUUAUCUCUAAUGUUCAUGAAUAAUACCUGAGAAGCAACGUUUUUCUGAGUGGUAACCUAGUUUACGCUAGACUAUGUUGAUUGAGUAUAUGUCUUUCUCUUUGAAACUUUUAAUUUAGAUGGACUGGCAUGAUCAAUAAGCUUUUCUUAAGGGGCUAGUUUUAACAUUGCCUCUUGUCAUGGUACUGAAAUGCUCGCAGUAGAGUGUUUAGCAACUUGUGAUUCUGAAGUGUUAAUAAAGAAGUACAUAUGCCAUGAAUAAAAAAGAUUAUACCCUAUGAAAUUUGGAAUUUAGAUGGAUAGGACUCUUGUAACUUCCUGAAUUGUGUCCAAGUUUGAAGCAUCUGUUGCAAUGCAUGGUUAGGCCCUUUCUUAAUUGAUACUUGACCCUUAUUUGGUUCAUCAAGUGCUUUCCUCCGUAUCUUCUUUGGUCUUUCAGGCAUCUUUCUUAUUAUUGGAAUCAUAUUGUCAUUACCAUCUCUCUCUAAGACAUAUAGUAAUUGACCACCUAAUGCACUCUUUAAAAAGCAUCCAUCUAGACCUAUAAAUGGUCUAUAUCCACCAAGGAAUCCCUACUUGGAAGCAUCAAGACAGAAGUACAUUCUUUCAAAUAUACCUCUAGAUUCCGGUGAAGGCUUGUCUAUUUGAAUCUAGACGGUGCUACCAGGAUUAUACUUCGAGAUAGUGGUUGCAUAAUGCCAAAUAUCAUGGUAUUGCUCUAUUUCUGAUCCCUGUAUAUUCUCUCUUGCCUUCCUUUUGGCUCUAUACACGUCAGAUGAAGUGACAUGACCAUUAAAUCACUUUUAACAUCAUUUUGAAAACCAAUUAAGUUACACUUAAGAUCAUCCCUAACCUUAAAUUGGUAUCUUUGGCUAAGGUACCUUGCUGUAACAUGUUUGUUAUUGUACUCUCUACUGCAAACAUGCUCUCCCUUCAAAAUCUUGAUCUAGAAGGUACUAGUCUCCUAAACUUUUGUUGCAUGGAUCCUCCAUGAUCAACCCCUUUUCAUACCUAAUUGUUAUUCUAUAAGAGUUAUUUUUUAUCCAUUUCGUUUCAUAGCCCUCUCUUAUAUUCCAUUCCAACAAAGCCAUCCUGAAUAAUCUGAAAUCUAUAAAAUUAAGGCCCACUUUAAGUUAAAAUUAAGGUUUCUUAAGCUCAACUUCUGGAUAUAAGUCUAGAUAUUCUUAAAACUCUUCACUAUCAGAACCAGUCCUCUCCAGCAGCUCCUUAUCUGGGAUUGCAAGUUCAUUCCAAUUGGCUUCCACUCUAACUUCAUUGUUCAAGCCUUUAACAUCUUUUUCAAUCUGUUGUUGUACAUGACUUCCACUAUCAUUUAGGUAUGAACAUAUAGAGUAGUAUUCUGCUAUUGUUUCCCUAGACUAAAUAGUAGGCUUGUCAAUUGUAACCUUUUUCUUUGGACUUUUGAGAUCAUCUUUCAGAGCAAACACAUGCACUUUGAGGUUAGGACAAUUUUUGGCUUGGCAGCCAUAUUCUUAUGUGGCAUCACAGCAAAAAUAUUUUCGUCCUAUAUAGUCUUAAGUCCCUCAUCUAACCAAUGAGGCUUAGCAUUUUUUGAUUUUCUUGCUUUGUCCACUGCAACCCCUAUUUUGUUGUCCAUAUUUGAUCCAACUAUAAUCUUUGUAACCCCUUAUCCGCAGUUUCUUCACAUGUAUAGUUAGCCUCUACACCCUCUUUUUGCAAUAUGCUGACCCUAUCACCAUAGUGGGAAGGCUCUUCAAAUGCUUGGUCCCCACUUCCACUGUAUAUCACCCUUGCGGGAAAAUGUAGAUGGGAAUUAUUCAUCAAAUUAAUGUCAUCAUUCCCUCUAAUUGGUAGCAAUCCAAUCUCCAUAUCCAAAUCAGGCACACACCACCAAAAAAUGACCCUAGUUCUGUCCUUGUCCAUUACCUUAAACAUUCUACACAGUCUAACUAUGAACAGCUUACUUGGAUCUCUAUCUUUCCAUAUAACUAGCUUAUAGUCUCCUACAUAGACUAUGCUUGGCUCAUUUCUAAAAAUCCUAUCAAAGUACAAGUGUAUCUCAACCAUUUCUUUUUCUUUUUCUUGUUUGUUGUCUUUUGUUGAUAAAACAAAUGCAAUAUAUAUAUACACAUACAUAUAUAUAUGUAGUGUAGUUUAGUCACCCAAGUAUGUUGUCUAUACUUUAUGUAAAGAAAGCAGAUAUGAUAAGAACACAUGUUUACAACUACACACAAGAAUUUGGCUCCAAUUUGACUGUUGAAUUGCCAAGGAUGAUGACAAUCUAACUAGAAUAAUUAGGGGUGUGCAAAGUCGAAAAAUUUCGAUUUCAAGAUUGAUUUCGAAUUGAAUUCGAAAUUUUGGUAAUUCGGAAGUGAAUUCGGUAAUUCCGAUUUCGAAUUGGUCGAAAUCGGGUCGAAUUCAAAAAUAUAUUUUGCGAAAUCGGAAUUGUAAACUAAGCAAAAAGGAGAAAAUACUCUUCUUCAUAUAUCUUUGGAUUACACUGUAUACAAAUAUAUAUACAUAAGUGUAACCUAAUUUAGAUCUUAAAAUAAUGCUAAUCUAUAUCAAUCUACUACAUAAUUAAUAUAUGAUACUAUAAUCAUAUGAUACCUAAUUAAUAUAUGAUACUAUAAUCAUAUGAUAUUAUAAUCAAAUCUUUUCUAAUAUUUACAAUAUUAAAUCUUUUCAUAAUAUCAGAUCACAUAUCUUCAACACUCCCCCUCAAGAUGGAGCAUAGAUGUUAAUCAUGCCCAUCUUGCCACAAAUGUAAUCAAUUCUUGGACCAUUUAGAAGUUUAGUGAAAAUAUCAGUUAACUGUUCUCCAGUUCUCACAUGACUGGUUGAGAUCAAGUUUUGCUAGAUUUUUUUCACGAAUAAAGUGGCAAUCAAUUUCGAUAUGCUUUGUUCUCUCCAUUUGAAAAAUAGUUUUACAUCUUCCCUUAGCCAAACCUUCUUUUCUUCCCCAUCAACGGGUGAGUCAUCAGUGAGAUGAUCAUCUCUAUCGAUGCUGCACAGAUAUAUCCGAAUAGUUUUACUCCAAUCCAAAAAAUUUUUUCACUCAAUUUGUGUUCAGUAAUUUUUGAUGUUGUAGGAAUAACAUCAGAAAUUACUGUUUUCAUCUCUCUACUACUACUUUUCAUAUUUGCCAUUAUAAUUCACACAAGAAAGACCUAAAAGUGACUUAAUAGGGUCACGUCAAAAGACAAACUGUUAUAUAUCUGUCAUUAGGAUCCUAACAAUUUCUUUGCUCAGAAACGACAAGUUGAAAUACCUCCUCAAGUCGAGCAAGAGGAGCUGAUGUUCAUGAAUUGUGUUAUAAAAAUGAAUAGGCUUCAAAAGGGGUGGCAAAAGGCAAGAAUACAAAUAAUUGAUUGUAUCCAAGUUCGCAAUUAUAAAGGGGAACAAGACGGAACAAUGAUGCUAUCAGGAAUGUGUCAUCCCACGGAGUUUUUUUCAUCAAUAAAUAUAAGUCUGAGUUACCUCUGAUUUCUUUGCGGUUUCGUUUGAUUUACCUUGUUCGUCCUUUAUGGCUCACCGAAGUACGCCUGAACUAAACAGAUGUGCCGGAAAGAUUGGAGAGUAUCUAGGUGUGUUGAAAUCCGUAACGGAUAAAACUAAAGAAAGACGGGAAAUGGAGGAAGAGAUCAUGGCGAGAGAAUUCGUGCUCCUCGGUUGUGUCCAAGAUUGCGACAUCAUGAAGAAGGUUAUCAAGAACUCUCGACGCACUUAUGAAGGUAAAGUCAUCACCAAAGGAGUUGAUGUAUUUGAGAAAACAACUAAUGUAGGGCUGAACCCCAUAGAUAUUGAUUCUGCGAAGGGUGCACGGUACAAAAGCGCUUUUAGGAUUCAUCGACAUCUUGAGUACGACCCGUCAGCCUUCCGCCAACCUUGAUGAGGGUUUCUUGAUUUUGAGGAUUUUGUUAGUGUUGUCUUUUUAUUCAUGGGUUUGAGUUAUACGUAAUAGUUCACGGAUUGCUUUAAUUACUUUUUUUCCCUGAUUGUUUGUUUACUUCAUGGUUACGUUUAUGUCUUCUCCGUUGUCAAAGGAGUAAAUAUUCAUAUUUCUAUUAAAUAAAAUUAAUGGACAAUUCGGGUUUCUCUCCGUGGAUGUAGACUCAAUGAUGGAACCGAACCACGUUAAAUAUUGUGUGUCGUCUAUCUUUCAUGCUUGUGGCUUAUUUGUCAUUAAAUUGUUGUGCACUUGAUAUCUCAAUAGUUGUUUAUUCCGCAUUUGGAUCCUAACAAGUGGUAUCAGAGUUUGGUUGUGAGACUGGGCUGCUCAAGGUUCGUAGUUGGAUCCUAGUUAACUAUUGAGAUCAAGUGGAUUGGUAGCUGUUACCAAUUGAACAAUUUAAUGAGUGGUAUCCUUGUUUCAAUGGUUUGGCAAAAAGCAUUGAUGGUGAAGGAUGGAAAGUCAAAAAGCAUGAAAAUACUUGACGGUGAAUCUAGGUAGAUAAUUCAAGGGUCAAGUAAAAAGUGGAGUCCAAUUUUGAUUUUGGACAUGAAUCGGUGGAGAUUUUCUCACACCUCCAACGGUUGAUACUUUAUCUCGGUGGAUUUUAGAUUUUGGUUAUAUUCUUUGGGUGGUGUAGCACAUGUCCCAAAGAAAUAAAGAAAUAUAAUUUCCAUGUGCCAGAAGACUCUGAAAGUUACGAGUUUUUUAUUUUAAGUGGAGUCUUGAAAAUCACACAUGGCAAGACAGUCCUGAGAAUGAGAAGAAAUAUGGUAAUUUUACGACUUAGGUGCCGCAAUGGUUAGAGUUAGAGCUCACAGAAGGAGAUUUCGGAUUGCAAGUGGUGGUGAGAAGAAAUCCUGCAAAGGGAGAUGGUGAAUUGAGGCACCUUCUCACGAGUCAAUUGGAGGUUGGACUCAGGGUAACUAUACAUGUUCGUUUGCCGAUUGAAUCAAUUUGGUGUCAGGACUGUAUUGAUUCGAGUGUGUAGUUUGGUACUAUAUUAUUUGGUAGUUGAAGGCAAAAAGUUGUUAAAAGAAAUUUUUGACAAAGUGGAGAUUUGUUAGGAAAUUGACUUAAUUUCUUUUAGUCAAAAUUCCUAUUUGGUGUGGGAAGUAACUAGUUUUCUAAUUGGAUUUAGUUACUUGAAAUAGUAGUCAAGUAAAGCCUUAUUUAGCUAGAAUUAGAUGUUAUUUUUUACUCUAUAUGAGUUUAGGAAAUAGUAUUGGUUUUCAAUUAUUAUUUGGUUUUUUGGCAGUAAUGUUCUCUAUAAAUAGGUAGAUUGGCAUACUACAGAUACACACAAGGGCACACAAGGGCAUCAUGUAGCCUUAUACAUGGAGUGUGAGAGAGGGUUCUUGGGAGAUAAGAGAUGGUAUACAAUGGUUGAUCUUGGGUUCAAGUUGUAUUCUUGUAUAGGAUUUUUCUUUCAUAAUAAAGAACGGGUUUCUCUCCGUAGAUGUAGAUUCAAUGGUGGAUCCGAACCACGUUAAAUAUUGUGUAUCAUCUAUCUUUCAUGCUUGUGGCUUAUUUGCCAUUAAAUUGUUGUGCACUUGAUAUCUCAAUAGUUGUUUAUUCACACAAGAAAGACGUAAAAGUGACUCAAUAGGGUCACGUCAAAAGACAAACUGAUAACAGAGCCUGAAGCUCUGAUACCAUAUAAACUAAGAAAAAGAGAGAGAAAAUACUCUUUUUCAUAUAUCUUUGGACUACACAAUAUACAAAUAUAUAUACACAAGUGUAAUCUAAUUUAGAUCCUAAAAUAAUGCUAAUCUAAAUCAACCUACUACCUAAUUAAUAUAUGAUACUAUAAUCAUAUGAUACCUAAUUAAUAUAUGAUACUAUAAUCAUAUGAUACUAUAAUCAAAUCUUUCCUAAUAUUUAUAAUAUCAAAUCUUUCCAUAAUACCAGAUCGCAUAUCUUUAACAGAAAUUACCAAUUUCGAAUUGGGGAAUUCAAAAUAGGAAUUCGAAAUCGGAACUAUGAUUUUGAUUUCGUUUAAUAAUAUUUAUAUAUAAUAUAAUAAUUUUUUACAAUACAUAUAUAAUAUAUAUUAUAUAACAUAAUAAGUUAAUAACAAUAAUACUGAUACAUGAUACAUCUAACAAUUGAAAUUUCAAAAACCCUUCUGUUAACUCUUGUUACUCUUCCACCGUCUCUUCCUCAUCGUCUCUCAUUCACUCUCAAGACUCACUGUCUCUCACCUUCCUUCCUCCGCCUCCACCACCUGACUCACUGUCUCAUCUUCCUUCCUCCGCCUUCGACUCACUGCGAUUUCCUACUUCCUCAGCUUACUCUCUCUCACUCUCGGUUUCACCUUCAUCUUCAUGCCAUCUUCAAGUCCGACAGAGACAUCUUCACUCUUCAUUUUCAAGCCAUCAUCAGCCUUCAUCUUCAAGGACAAAUUGAGGUACGUGAGUGAUUUUACUUAGCUUUCGUCUAUAUUUCUAGUUUAUUUUUUUUAGGCAUUUCAUCAAACAGCUUCCAUAGUUUGGCCUUUUGUUUUUGAGUUUUGUGAUGUUUGAUGUGUUCUUAGAUAUGUUUCUUCUCCAGUAGGUUGCUGUUUAAAAAGGUGAAUAAUGAUGAAAGAUUGUAUAGCUGGAGACUUAAAAACUCCAAGCAUGCAGUAUAGGUUCUGGAUGAAUUAGGCGGUGGCUAUUAUGUUUGUUGUUCCUGUGUUCCUGCAUUUUUUAUUAGUGAUGGGCUUGUCGUGCCCCAUUUUUAAAAAUAACGUAUAACGUGUUUUAUAAAAAAUGAAUUUUGGUUUGUUUUUUAUUGAAAAAUGAGUUUUUGAAUUUUUUUAGAAAAUGAAUAAAAAAAAGGGUCUAAAUGGGACUUAAAAGUGCGACGAUUUUGACCCAAAAUAAUAGUUUAAAAAGGGUUUUUAAUGAAAAAUAGGAGUCGCAACUUGGUAUUGAGUUAAGGUGUAUCAAGUCACCUAAAAAUGAAUUUUUAAAUGAAAAAAGUAGAAAAAAAAAUCUUUUUUAAACGACUCCAAAUCUACAAAAAUCAGAGAAAAGUGUUCGGGAGUCACAUUUGAAGAAAGGGAGUUGGGCAUAAUGGUAGAUUUGAAAAAAAAACUACUAAAUGUUAUUUCAAAAGAUGGAAAAGAAGCCCAACAACUACUAGUCUUCUCCCUUUUUUCAAGUCACCAAGGAGCCUAUCAAGAAAAUAUUUCCAAUCGUAAGUUGAUUUGUUUCCUUUAUUUUCUCUCCUAAUCAACUUCAAAAACUUAUAUGAAACUAACUUAUCCCAAAAUAAAAUACUAACUAAGCAAGUUCCCUGUUCUGAUAAAACUCUUAACAAAACAUCCAAAAGAUAAUUCUAAAUAUCAGAGAUAAUUUCCGGGUCCCAUCUCCAAUUUUCAACUUCUCAAUCUCUGGCUUGGGCACGUUUUGAAGCAAAUAGUCUUCUGAAAAUUUUAACUUGAAGUGCCAUUUUCUGCUCUAAAUUCCUAUAACAACACAAACAUCAAAUAUAAGCAAAAUCUAUCAAUUAACAUAAUAUUAGGUGAAAAUUAAGAUAGAAUAUUAGUAAAUAAUAUGCACAAUUAUCUUGCUAUCAUUAUGUCUUCCUACGGUUUCCUCCAAAGCUUCACCUCUCUCUCUCUCUCUCUCUAUUCUUUGAAUUGCCAAAAUGACGUAACAUUCCGUUGAUGUAUUCAUUUAUAUAAGGGCAACUAUGACAUUUUCCAUUCAAUUGUUAGUUUAGAUAUUUUUUGUCUCACUUUCCGUUUAGUUGAAAACAUAGAGUUAAAGUGUAGAAUUUCAAAUCAAAGGGGGAUAAAUUGAACAUUUAGCAAACCACAUAAGAGUUUUUGGCAUUUUACCCUAAAAACAAUAAGGAUUACUUUAUAUACAAACCAAAUGUGCGAGAAUUAUAGUCCUGGUCCUUGAUAUUUGGCUUGUGUGCCAAAUUGGUUCCUAAUGUUUCGUUCAAAAUAAAUCUAGCCCUCAAAAUUUGCAAUUUUAUGCAGAUUUAGGACAAUUAAUAGAAAUAGAACAAUGACUAAUGGUAAUAUCAAAUUGCCAUUAAUCAGAAACUUUGUAGGAAAUCCAAAAGAAGAAUUAAAUGCUAAUAAAGCAUUUUUAACAAAUUUAAUAUGACCAACUUUAUCAGAUUUUAGAUGAUAUAAAGAUAUGUUUUUAACCAAUGUAUUAAGAAAACCAAAUUGUAAUACUUCAUUUUGGAAAAAAAGAUUUAUAACUGGAUUACUAAAUUUAUUCUCCCAACAAAUUAUGAAAAAUUUACAAAAGGAAAUGAGAAUUGAAGUAAUUUCAUUCGAAAAUAUUUUUAUUGGACAAUUGUUUGCUCUUUGUCAAAAAGGAAGGAUUAGCUUUAUGUUCUGAAUUAAAACUUCAAAUAAAAUAUGGAUCGGAAAGAAAAGAAGUAGGAUCAUUCUGUGAAACCUUUGGAAUUAAAUGAAUCAACUCCCCAUCAUCAAGCAAUAAGAAGAAUGAUAAAAGAAGUAAAAAAAUAUAGAAAAAUUUUAAUAAUGAAUAUUAUGAUAAAAAUAAAUACAAAAGAAAAUUUUGAAAAACUAAAAUAGUAUGUUGGAAAUAUGGAAGAAUGGGGCAUAAAGUAGAUAAAUGUAAACUGAAAGAAAAAAUAAAUGAAAUAUGUGCUGAGGGAGAUGAAAUAAAAAAUAAGUUAAUAACACUACUAAUAAAUGAAAAGGAACAAAAUACAGAAGAUGACUAUUAUAACGAUUUAUCUAGUUCAGAAGAACAAGAAGAUUGUAAUUGUUCAAAGGUCUCAAAAUAUAUAAAUGUCAUUACAAAAAAGGAAGAUAAAGAAUUUUUAUUAGAUAUUGUAGAAAAAAUAGAUGACCCUAAAACUAAAAACGAAUUUUUAGAAAGAUUAAAAUAUAUAAUUUUACAAGAAGAUAAAAUGCCAAAAAUAAUAGAACCUUUUAGUAUUUCAAAACUAAUAGAUAAAUGCCCAAAUAUGAACAACAUAAGAAAAGAAACUACUAAAGAUCUUCAAAUAGAAAUUAAUAAUCUAAAAACACAAGUAAAACAAUUACAAAAUGAAAUAUUAGAAAUAAAAACAAAAGAUUUAGAAAUUGAAGCAAGAAUAUCAUUAAUAAAAACUAUAGAUCAACCUUCUAUAUCUAAGACAGAUGAAAUAGUUAUUUCGAAAAAUCCAUCAGAUGAAAAAUAAUAUUUAAAUACAAUUGAAAAAAUAACAUUUCAAAAAUGGUAUGCAUUAGUUACAGUAAUGAUAGAAGAUUUUAAAGAAACGUUUGUAGCUUUAUUAGAUAGUGGAGCAGAUCAGAGUUGCAUAAAAGAAGAAUUAAUCCCAACAAAAUAUUAUGAAAGAACAAAUGAAGAAUUAAGAGCUGCAAAUGGAGAAAAUUUACAAGUAAAAUAUAAUUUACCAAGGGAUCAAUAUGCAAUAAUAAUUAUUGUAUAAGACGUAAUUUCAUUGUAGUAAAAAAUAUUCACAUAGAUGUAAUUCUAGGAACACCCUUUUUUAUUCAAAUAUAUCCUUUUGCUGUAAAUAGUGAAGGAGUUCACGUAAAUAUUAUGGGAAAAACUAUAAUUUUCAAAUUUAUAACACCAAUAAAACAAAAAUAAUUACUAGUAUUACAAUCCUCUUCUAUUUAUAAAACAAUAAAUACUAUUCAAUACGUUAAACAACAAAUAAAUUAUAUUAAAGAAGAAAAAUCAUAUUUAAAAAUAGAAGAACAAUUAAAAAGGGAAGUAUGUGUAAAUUUUUUUUUAAUUAGAACAAAUAAUAAAAAGGGAAGUAUGUGCAGAAUUACCAAAUGCAUUUUGGAAUAGAAAAAAGCAUAUAAUCAAUUUACCCUAUGAAAAGGAUUUUAAUGAGAAAAAUAUCUGAACAAAAUAGUUCAAUAUUUAGAUUUAAAACCCUCGUACCAGAGGUAAUACAUCAAAAUCAAUCUAAAUAUUCACCAACACAUUCGCAAGAAAGACAAAAUAAAUGUAAUAAACAAAGUUAAAUGUUAAAACCUUGAUUAUCUAACAUCAAUUAGCAUAAUAUUUGGCCAAAAUUAAGAUAGAAUAUUAAUAAAUAACUUGCACAAUUAUCUCACUAUCAUUAUGUUUUCUUACGGUUUCCUCCAAAGCUGCACCUCCCUCCCUCCCUCCCUCCCUCCCUCUCUCUCUCUCUCCAUUCUUUGAAUUGCCAAAAUGACAAAACAUUCUGUUGAUGUAUUCAUUUAUACAAGGGCAACUGUGACAUUUUCCAUUCAAUGGUUAGUUUAGAUAUUUUUCGUCUCAUUUUCGAUUUAGUUGAAAGCACAGUAGUUAAAGUGUAGAAUUUCAAAUACAAAGGGAGAUAAAUUGAACAUUUGGCAAACUACAUAAGGGUUUUUGGCAUUUUACCCUAAAAACAAUAAGGACUACUUUAUAUACAAACCAAAUGUGCGAGAAUUAUAGUCCUAGUCCCUGAUAUUUGGCUUGUGUGCCAAAUUGGUUCCUAAUGUUUCGUUCAAAAUAAAUCUAGCCCUCAAAAUUUGUAAUUUUAUGCAGAUUUAGGACAAUUAAUAGAAAUAGAACAAUGACUAACAGCAAUAUCAAAUUGCAGAAACUUUGACAUUGCACAUUUGGUUCCCAAUAUUUUGAUUUUGAAUCAUUAUAUAGUUUUUUAAAUUUUAAAUAGUGAUAUUAAGGAUUUUAGCAUGAAUUGAGAUGCAAAUUAGGCAAAAAUAUUGCUAAAUGGGUAAUAAAAAUUCUAAUUAUACUUCUUUUUCUUCUUUUUUAUUUAUUCAUUCUAAUAAUGUAUCAUAUGUUUAUUUCUUUUGCAUAGUUGGUCUCAAAUUUAGUAUAAUAUGUUGAUAUUAUUAUUUCUUAUAAUAAUUAAUUCAUAAUAAGUUUUUAUUUUUGUAAUAAUAAAAAAAAUUUAAUUAAUUAUCUUUGUUAAAUAUAAGAAAUAUAUCCUUUUCGUAAAUUAAGUUGAUUUUUUUUUGGAAUUUUAAUAGGUUAUCAAUUGAGUUUGAAAUGAAGUUGACAUUUUAUACACAUUAUAUGAACUAUUAAAUGAUUAUCAAGGUACAUAGAUAUUAAAAUAAAUGCUUUAAAACUAUAAUAUGGACUUUUAGUUUUAUGGCAAGAAAGAAGAAAAAAGCGGAUAGAUUUCUUAACAAUUCUUUAAGUCACUUCAUAUUGAUACUUAUCAUCACUAGUUUUUAUAAGUGCAAUGACCAACUACAAGAAUAUGAGACUUAUGUGCACAAGACAUGUAAUAAUUUUUAUAAAAGUAUCUAUAAUAAUCUAAGUUUAUAAUAGUUUUCUCCCUAUAAUCUAAGUUUAUUAUCAUAAGUUUUCUCCCUAUAAUCUAAUUUUAUAAUAAUUACUACUACAAAAAUUGUUGUGCCUUGUACACGUACACUUUAAAUUUUUGUAGAUACCCAUUUUACUUAUAAAAACUAGUGAUGUUGAGUAUCAAUGUGAAGUAAUUUUAAAAAUUCUUAAGAUAAUUAUCUUUUAUUUUUUGUUGUCUUUCUUGCCACUUAAAAUCUAACAUUUAGAUUUAAAACCUUGAUUAUCUUGUACUGAUAUAUCAGAAGUAUUAACUUCUAGGUUACCACUUUAUGCUUCUAACAUAUUGAAGUAUUAAGUACUAAAGUAGACAAUAUUCCAAAACCUUUAACUAGUUUUCCAAAUGAUAUAUCAGCACCUCAUUUUCAACCCAGAAGUCUUCCAAGAAAUAGUGGAUAAGAGUUAGUACAAAAUAUAAGUCCAACUAAUACUGUACUUAAUAGAAUAUCACAAUCAUUACAAUCCUUAACUAAUACACCAAGAAUUAAUACAAUAGAUAGUGGAAUUACUAAUGAACAAUUAACAUCUGCAUCCUCAGAAGAAGAAUCUGAAUCCUCAGAAGAAGAAAUAGAAGUAAUAACUCUAAUAGAGCAACAAUUUAAAGAGGAAAUAGAUAAUCAAAUCAAUAAAAUAAAACGAAGAAAGAAUUAUAGGAAAAAUUGGAAAAUAGUUGAUACAAGAAAUUAUUACUCUUGACCAACUCCUCCAGAUAUUCAAUGUGAAGAAAGAUCAAAAUUUCGUACUACAAAAUAUGAUGGAGAUUCAAUAUAUGAAUGGAAUAUAGAUGGAAAAAUAUGAUAUGAAAUAUUAAACACACUCCAAGAAAUGGGAAUGGCAAGAUUAGCUUAUAAAUUAAAAAAUAUUCAAGAAAGAAACGCAGCAACUUUAUUAGUAUCCGGAUUCACAGGACAACUAAAAAAUUGGUGGGAUAAUACUCUAAGUCUCCAAGAUAAACUUGCAAUUUUUAAUCAUACAAUAGAAGUUGAGGACACAGAAGGAAAGAUUCAACCUCAAUCAGAUGCAGCAGAAUUUUUAAUAGUAACAUUAGCCAUGUAUUUUGUAGGAAAUCCAAAAGAAGAAUUAAAUGCUAAUAAAGCAUUUUUAACAAAUUUAAUAUGUCCAACUUUAUCAGAUUUUAGAUGGUAUAAAGAUAUGUUUCUAACCAAUGUAUUAAGUGUGAGAGCCCGUAAAUUUUUCCAUUUUCUAGGGUUUUAUCCUAUUUAAUGGCAUGUUUUUCUGCAUUUCUUUAUUAGGAAAAAUUUUCUAGAUAAUUUUUAUGAGUAAAUAUAGUUUUUAGAUGAUUUUUCUAGUAUCGGUUGGUUUUUGAGAAAUUAAGAGCGUAUAUCGGACGUGGGACCCGCUAGUGCGGAAAGUUCGAAAAAAUUCGGCCAAUUAGGUUAAGUUUUGGAUACCGGGUUUACUUUAGCAGGUGUUAAGAGAUAACUAGAGGUUACCAAAUGGAUGAGAGUGGAGAGACAAAAGGAUAACCAUGCAUUUAAUGAAAGUGACAAGUGUCACUUGGAGAUUAAUUCUUACUUUUGACCACUAUUCACCAUUUUACCAAAUAAACCAAAAAUUGACCAAAAAUCUCUUCAUUUCAAGCUUCUCAUGGCCGGCUAUCUUCAAAGGAAAAUGAAGGAAAAGUUUUCAAUUUUCUAGUCUCCAAUCUUGCUCAAUCCAACAAAUCAACCGAUUAAUCUUGUAUUUGCUCCAUAAAACCCCUUAAGUUAGUGAUUGUGAGGUGAUUAGUGAAGUGGUUUGGAAGGCUAAGGUGCUAAGUUGUCUCUUUUCCUUGGUUGCUAAGGUGAGUGGUUAAGGAACCUCUCUUUUCUCUCUAAUGAUGUCAAAUUAAUGACUUGCGUUGGUUAAAUGUGUGAUUGGGUGAAAGAUUUCUUGAUUUUGGUUGAAGUUGGUGAAGUUUUAUAUUUAUUCAUGAUUUUUCUGUUUUAAUAUGAUUCAUGUGGUGUGGCCAUGAAUGAUGGUCUAGUAUGAGUUAGAAUGAAGCUUUGGUAUGAUAGUUGUAAUGAUUAGUGGAAAAUUCCUGGUUUGAAGCAAAAAUUUCCAGAUUAGGGUUUCCAUUUUUUUCCCUUCUGCCCGGUACUAUUUCACCUUGUUAGAGGCUGAACUAGCCUUAGCACAAAACAUGAAAGUUGUAGAGAAUGAUGUUUUAUAGUUUCCUGCAAAAUUUCAGCUCAAUCGGAGCAACGUAGCCUAUGAAAAGAUCAAAAUACCCCUGCUGCCCUGUUUCUACCCGAACAUGCUAAUCAGCUUCUGUAAUUAGUUGUUUUGACCAGGAAUGCUACUGAUUUGGUUGUUGAUGUCUUCUUAAGACUUAUAGCCUUGUGUCUUAGCUUUCAAAUGUCUUUGGAAUCACUUGAAUUGGAGUUGUAUAUGCUGAGAUAUGACUGAAUGAAUCCGGACGGCCACAGUACAUUUCGAACUGGGAAAUCUGGGGUUGUUUUGGGUAAAUUUGACCUCUAUAUAUUGCAAACUGGACUGAGUGGCCUUCUUCAACAUUGUAUCCUUUUCUCUUAGCUUCGAAACGGUGUAAAUUACACCUCAAUCCGACGAGGAUAGCUUCAGUUGUGUUAAUUCCGCUAAGCAACAGCAAAUCUGUCUUUUGUUUUCCAACCCAAACUCCGUUUCCGCAUAUGUCCUAAUUUGAUUUUGCACUUAUACAUUCCAUAUGAUUUUACUCUAGUGAUAUGUGGACUCGGUUUAUGACUCGUAUUCGAGCCUUAUUGUGGCUCUAACUAAAGGUGUUUGAUAGCUUGUGAUUUGUGGGUGUUGAGGUUUGGUUGGAAAGUAAAGAAAGACAAGGGAAAUGCUGUCAAAAAUUUCGCGGGAGCUUCUGCGCAGUCUUGGGAGAUUUGCUAUAUCUUGAUGUAGAAAUGUCAGAAUUGAGUUCUGUUUAUUGUGCUUUAAACUAGAUUCAUAGGGCUAUAAACCAUGUAAAUUUUAGACCCUGUUUCUAUCUGUGUAAUUUAUGGUGAUUUUUCAAAGUUGACUAAAAUAUUGUACCUGUUCUGUCUUCCACUGGAUAAAGCAGCAACUUGCAGCUUGAAUUCGACUGACUUGCGUUCCGAAUCUUACCAUGGUGUUUUCUAGCAAGUUAUAGCCCUUUGAAUGUAUUUUCCAACGGUAUAACUUUUAAUUUUGGACUUACAAAACUUGAGAUAUGAUUUUUCAUAUAGGGUUGCGCGAAACUGGAAAAUCCUGUUUUUCUAGUAUUAACCUUACUUUCGUUUUCUACUUCAAAUUUGGAGUUGGUCAAUCAUUGUAGGUAGAGUUUUGAGGUUAUUCAUGCCUUUAGAACUAAUUGUUACCUUUUCACUCCGAGGUCACCUCUUUGCUUUGCAUUAAUAGUUCUUUUGACUAGGCAUAUGGCUCGUAACCGAGUCUCACUUGCGAAUUCCAUACUAGGUCUUGGAGUCGAGUCUUAAGUGUUUGCCUUGAUUGUUCUAGGAGGUGCCGACGAUUAAAGCCAGUUUGAAGUGAAAUUUUUUGAAGCACCCGUACUUGAAUCGGUGAGUGUACCACUCCCCUCACUUGUUAUUUAACUCGGUUUCUGUACAUGCAAUCUGUGAUAUGAACGUCUGAACUAUCUGUUUAUUUUGUUGGAGACGAGGGUGUACUUUAUCACACUCGUUCUCUUCUCUGUUCAUAUGCCAAUUUUGGUGCGAAUCUGAAUCUGUUAUCUGUAUCUGUAUCUGUAUCUGUAUCUGUAUAUGUUAUCUGUAUCUGUAUCUGUAUCUGUUCUGAUGUCGUUUGGAAGCUGGUAUCCAACGACCUUUCUGUGACCUCUGAGUUCAACACCUGUGGUUAGUUACUCGAGUCGGACCGGCAAGGGUCUGAUCGAUUAGAUAACGAACCACGGUAGUCUGUUUUGGGAUCUUUGGGUAUUGAGACCCUUAAUUCCGGUAUACUCGAGUAUUACCAUUUCUGAACUGAUUGGAGUUCGGGCCCGGUAGGGGUAUGUGAGGUGGAAAGAAUCGGAGAAAGUGGAGUCUACGGUAUUGGUUACUCUUUUAGUGUUGACGGAGUGUCAACUAUUAUUUCGAUCAAGUUUCGGUGAAGCAAAUGGGAAUUUGGCUCCUGAGAGCCACCCGUAUCCUUUCUGUCUAUGGUGUUUGUUCAUUUCUUUAUUUGAUUCGCAUGUGUGAUUAAUUGAAUAUGAAGUUCCACGUUUCUUACUUGCUAUUAUUUUGGUACCUCAUUGAGCGUAAGCUCACCCCCUUCCCGUUAUCUUUGUUUUCCUUACAGGGAACCAUUUUUGGGGCUAAGAUGUUUCGAAACACGAGUCGAGCUAGUUUUAAUAUAUUUUUGCAAAGCUCACCCUAAAUGUAUUUUGAUCUAAUUAUUUUCUUUUAUUUCGUAAAUUACAAACGUAUGUGUAUAAAACUAUUUACCCUGUUCAUGUAUGCUAUUUGGAUUGGAAAUGUUUUCCCGAGUUAUAAGGCCAUAUCUGUAUUCGUUUGGCUCCUGGUUGGAUGGUGAUGUGGCAACCACUAUUCAUUGUGGUUUCGAUUUUCGUUUUGCCAUUUGGCGACAUCGAAUCGUUUGAGCGCGCUAUUACCUUCCUGAACGUUUUCGAUUUCAUUUAACUGCUCGAUAGUUCUGGCGAGAGUUGGGCAGGCAGUCCGCUAACCCGUUUAGUACGCCUUAGGGGAAGGUGGCGCUGUCACAUUAAGAAGACCAGAUUGUAAUGCUUCAUUUUGGAAAGAAAGAUUUAUAACUGGAUUACCAAAUUUAUUCUCCCAACAAAUUAUGAAAAAUUUACAAAAGGAAAUGGGAAUUGAAGUAAUUUCAUUCGAAAAUAUUUUUAUUGGACAAUUGUUUGCUCUUUGUCAAAAAGGAAGGAUUAGCUUUAUGUUCUGAAUUAAAACUUCAAAUAAAAUAUGGAUCGGAAAGAAAAGAAGUAGGAUCAUUCUAUGAAACCUUUGGAAUUAAAUGAAUCAACUCCCCAUCAUCAAGCAAUAAGAAGAAUGAUAAAAGAAGUAAAAAAUAUAGAAAAAUUUUAAUAAUGAAUAUUAUGAUAAAAAUAAAUACAAAAGAAAAUUUCGAAAAAAUAAAAGAGUAUGUUGGAAAUGUGGAAGAAUGGGGCAUAAAGUAGAUAAAUGUAAACUGAAAGAAAAAAUAAAUGAAAUAUGUGCUGAGGAAGAUGAAAUAAAAAAUAAGUUAAUAACACUACUAAUAAAUGAAAAAGAACAAAAUACGGAAGAUGACUAUUAUAAUGAUUUAUCUAGUUCAGAAGAACAAGAAGAUUGUAAUUGUUCAAAGGUCUCAAAAUAUAUAAAUGUCAUUAAAAAAAAGGAAGAUAAAGAAUUUUUAUUAGAUAUUAUAGAAAACAUAGAUGACCCUAAAACUAAAAACGAAUUUUUAGAAAGAUUAAAAUAUAUAAUUUUACAAGAAGAUAAAAUGCCAAAAAUAAUAGAACCUUUUAGUAUUUCAAAACUAAUAGAUAAAUGCCCAAAUAUGAACAACAUAAGAAAAGAAACUACAAAAGAUCUUCAAAUAGAAAUUAAUAAUCUAAAAACACAAGUAAAACAAUUACAAAAUGAAAUAUUAGAAAUAAAAACAAAAGACUUAGAAAUUGAAGCAAGAAUAUCAUUAAUAAAAACUAUAGAUCAACCUUCUAUAUCUAAGACAGAUGAAAUAGUUAUUUCGAAAAACCCAUCAGAUGAAAAACAAUAUUUAAAUACAAUUGAAAAAAUAACAUUUCAAAAAUGGUAUGUAUUAGUUACUGCAAUGAUAGAAGAUUUUAAAGAAACGUUUGUAGCUUUAUUAGAUAGUGGAGCAGAUCAGAGUUGCAUAAAAGAAGGAUUAAUCCCAACAAAAUAUUGUGAGAACAAAUGAAGAAUUAAGAGCUGCAAAUGGAGAAAAAUUACAAGUAAAAUAUAAAUUUACCAAGGGAUCAAUAUGCAAUAAUAAUUAUUGUAUAAGACGUAAUUUCAUUGUAGUAAAAAAUAUUCACAUAGAUGUAAUUCUAGGAACACCCUUUUUUAUUCAAAUAUAUCCUUUUGCUGUAAAUAGUGAAGGAGUUCACGUAAAUAUUAUGGGAAAAACUAUAAUUUUCAAAUUUAUAACACCAAUAAAACAAAAAUAAUUACUAGUAUUACAAUCCUCUUCUAUUUAUAAAACAAUAAAUACUAUUCAAUACGUUAAACAACAAAUAAAUUAUAUUAAAGAAGAAAAAUCAUAUUUAAAAAUAGAAGAACAAUUAAAAAGGGAAGUAUGUGUAAAAAUUUUUUUUAAUUAGAACAAAUAAUAAAAAGGGAAGUAUGUGCAGAAAUACCAAAUGCAUUUUGGAAUAGAAAAAAGCAUAUAAUCAAUUUACCCUAUGAAAAGGAUUUUAAUGAGAAAAAUAUCCGAACAAAAUAGUUCAAUAUUUAGAUUUAAAACCCCCGUACCAGAGGUAAUACAUCAAAAUCAAUCUGAAUAUUCACCAACACAUUCGCAAGAAAGACAAAAUAAAUGUAAUAAACAAAGUUAAAUGUUAAAACCUUGCUUUUCUAACAUCAAUUAGCAUAAUAUUUGGCCAAAAUUAAGAUAGAAUAUUAAUAAAUAACUUGCACAAUUAUCUUGCUAUCAUUAUGUUUUCUUACGGUUUCCUCCAAAGCUUCACCUCCCUCCCUCCCUCCCUCUCUCUCUCUCCCUCCCUCUCUCUCUCUCUCUCUCUCUCUCUCUCCAUUCUUUGAAUUGCCAAAAUGACAAAACAUUCCGUUGAUGUAUUCAUUUAUACAAGGGCAACUGUGACAUUUUCCAUUCAAUGGUUAGUUUAGAUAUUUUUCGUCUCAUUUUCGAUUUAGUUGAAAACACAGGAGUUAAAGUGUAGAAUUUCAAAUACAAAGGGAGAUAAAUUGAACAUUUGGCAAACUACAUAAGGGUUUUUGGCAUUUUACCCUAAAAACAAUAAGGACUACUUUAUAUACAAACCAAAUGUGCGAGAAUUAUAGUCCUAGUCCCUAAUAUUUGGCUUGUGUGCCAAAUUGGUUCCUAAUGUUUCGUUCAAAAUAAAUCUAGCCCUCAAAAUUUGUAAUUUUAUGCAGAUUUAGGACAAUUAAUAGAAAUAGAACAAUGACUAACAGCAAUAUCAAAUUGCAGAAACUUUGACUUUGCACAUUUGGUUCCCAAUAUUUUGAUUUUGAAUCAUUAUAUAGUUUUUAAAAUUUUAAAUAGUGAUAUUAAGGAUUUUAGCAUGAAUUGAGAUGCAAAUUAGACUAAAAUAGUGUUAAGUAGGUAAUAAAAAUUCUAAUUAUACUUCUUUUUCUUCUUUUUUUAUUUAUUCAUUCUAAUAAUGUAUCAUAUGUUUAUUUCUUUUGCAUAGGUGGUCUCAAAUUUAGUAUAAUAUGUUUAUAUUAUUAUUUCUUAUAAUAAUUAAUUCAUAAUAAGUUUUAUUUUUCUAAUAAUAAUUAAAAAAUUAAUUAUUUAUCUCUUUUAAAUAUAAGAAAUAUAUCCUUUUCAUAAAUUAAAUUGAUAUUUUUUUGGAAUUUUAAUAGGUUAUCAAUCGAGUUUGAAAUGAAGUUGACAUUUUAUACAUAUUAUAUGAACUAUUAAAUGAUUAUCAAGAUACAUAGAUAUUAAAAUAAAUGAUUUAAAACUAUAAUAUGGACUUUUAGUUUUAUGGCAAGAAAAAAGAAAAAAAAAGGAUAGAUUUCUUAACAAUUCUUUAAAUCACUUCAUAUUGAUACUUAUCAUCACUAGUUUUUAUAAGUGCAAUGGCUAACUACAAGAAUAUGAGACUUAUGCGUACAAGAUAUGUAUUAAUUUUUGUAAAAGUAACUAUAAUAAUCUAAGUUAAUAAUAGUUUUCUCCCUAUAAUCUAAGUUUAUUAUCAUAAGUUUUAUCCCUAUAAUCUAAUUUUAUUAUAGUUACUACUACAAAAAUUGUUGUGCCUUGUACACGUACACUUUAAAUUUUUGUAGAUACCCAUUUUACUUAUAAAAACUAGUGAUGGUAAUUAGGGAUGACAACGGGGACGGGUACCCGCGGGCAUCCGAGGGGGUCAUUGGGGCGGGUCCCCGCCCCGCCACCUGUUUGAAAAAAAUAUAUAUGUACAUAAUUAUAUAUACAUAAUGAUAUUAUCAAUUAUACUACUAAUUAUACAUAUCUAUUAAUAAAAAAUAUUAAUUAUUUAUACUAAAUUUAUUAAUACAUUUAUGUUAAAUUUCUAACUACACUUAAUACAAUAACACUUUUUUCUAAAAAAAUACAAUAAUAAUUUAGUGAUUGUAUUUGUAUUAAAAGUGAAAACUUGAUUAUUUUAGUUAUAUUUGUUUUAUCAUAUUAGAUUGUAUUCAAAUAACCUUUGUUUAAUUAUUUUUAUGAGUUUCAAUUGUGAAGUUACAAUGAAUAAUAAUUUGGCGAUGCGUUGAUAUUUUAGUACUUGAUUAUUUGUUCAAAUUUAAUUAUAAUAAAAUUAUAUAAUAAAAUUUUUUUAACCCCACAGGUGCCCCCGCGGGGAAAGCGGGAUGGGGGGGGACGGGGCGGGGGCGGGGGCGGGGGGAAUUAAAAUGUAACGGGGCGGGGGUUGGGGGAGGUGUCCCUCGCCCCAUUGCCACACCCUAAUGGUGAUGAGAACAUGAAGAUGAAUCGGUUCGCAUUAGAUGGUGAGCAUUAAUGUGAAGUAAUUUUAAAAAUUCUUAAGAAAAUUAUCUUUUAUUUUUUGUUGUCUUUCUUGCCACCUAAAAUCUAACAUUUCAAUAUUGUAGUUUUAAAGCAUUUAUUUUAAUAUCUAUUUACCUUGAUAAUCAUUUAAUGGUUCGUAUAAUGUGUAUAAAAUGCUGACUUCAUUUCAAACUCAAUUGAUAACUUAUUAAUGUUAAAAAGAAAGCAACUUAAUUUACAAAAAGCUUAUCACCUUAAUUUACAAAAAGCAUACAUUCCUUAUAUUUAAAGGGAUAUUUAAUAAAGUUUUAAUUAUUAUUAGAAAUAAAGAUAAUAAAACUCAUUUUCAAUUAAUUAUGAAUAGUGAGAAACAAUAAUAUACAUUUAUUAUAGCAAAUUUGAGACUAAAUAUAUACAAAAAUAACCAUUUGAUAUAUUAUUAGCAUGAAUAAAUAAAUAAAAAUAAAAAUAAGAAGAAAAGGAAGUUUAAUUAGCAUUCUUGUUACCCAUUUAAUGUUAUAUCAUUCUAAUUUGCAUCUCAAUGAAUGCUAAAACAUUUAAUAUCACUAUUUAAAAUUUAGGGAAAUAUAAUGAUUUAAAAUUAAAACAUUUGAGACCAAAAGUGUAAAAACAAAGUUGUUGACUAAUAGCAGUUGAUUGAUCAUCAAUCAUUUUUUCAUUUCUGUUAGUUACUCGAAAUCUGUCUUAAAAUCACAAAGUUUGGGGACUAAAGUGACUUUAAUCAAAAUAUUAAGGACUAAGUUGAUACAUAGGCCAAAUAUUAGAUACCAAAGCUGCAAUUCUCCCGCAGCGAAUUUGAUUCUUAUCAACGUGCAUCCUUGACACAAAAGUUGGACUUUAGUGAGCUUUCAUUUUCAAUUGGAGCUUUCGUUUUCCAAGAAAAGAAAAGAAAGAAGUAAUGGCUGCAGCAGGAGCAGAACAUGAGGUACUCAAACAAGAAGAGUACCUUGAUGUCCUCACUAAAACUCGUCAGAAAACUGGCAUUUCAAAACCCAGGUGAUUAAUUCCUCCCUCUCUUCAUAUCAACAAAGAAGUGAAGAAUCCUAAGAAAUCAAGAAUUCAAUGAACUUAUUGGCUUUUGUGGAAAUCGCAGAUCAGAAAAGUGAAAUAACAAUAAGAAAAUCAACUGAAAACUUUGAUUGCAAUUGUUUAAAUUAUGGUAAUAAAGUUGCUGGAUAGUGCCAAAAAGGAAAACUUUUAGAUGUUCUUAGCGUUUAAUGGCUGGAGUAACGUUAACUUGGUUAUUGUUUACUCUACCACAUAUAUUCCUGUAUUUGGAUUUCUGAUGGGGCAGAAAUGAUGGAGUCUUUGGUUUUUUGAAGUGGGAGAUAAUAUAUUUGACAAGGGAGGUCUUUGAUGGCUAUUUUAAGUUGUUUUAAUUUCCUGAACGACAUGGUUUUGUCGAUGCUUUACUAUAAGCACCAAAGAAGAGGGAGACAUAAUUGUGUGUAUGUAGCAGGGUUCUUGUGAAAUUUGUGGACAGUUAUUCUUAGAUUAUCUAGCACUUAAUAUUUGUUAUUGCUUAAGUUCUGGGUCAGGAAACAAUACCAUGUUUCUUUUUCCGUGUAAAUCUGAAAUUUUAUUUAUUCAUAUCCGUUAGUUUUGCACUUGAAUUGCUGGUGGUAGUAGAAUGAUAUGGGCGGAUUACUUCUCAUCAAUCCUCCAGAACAUGCCAUUAAAGUUUAUGUUAUAGGUUACAUCACCUGAGUGUGAGAAUGUAUUGGUUAGGUACUGAUGGAGUUUAGUGGCAUUUUGACUGCUUUCGGAUUGUCAGAAGCUUGUUAUGAACACAUUUGAAUCAACCGAACAAAAUCCUUAUUCCACAUUAUCUGGCUAUAUGUACGCAAAGAGAUUCUUAGAUACAUGCAUUUACCAAUGGAAGCACAGAGGAAGUAGGAUGUCUAAAUUUACACAAUGAUCAAGGAAUUUGUAAUUUUUAUAAUUCUUUUCUGAUGUCUUGGGAUUAAGGUUUUGUUACUUGCAUAGGGGAGAUGUUCAUAGAGACGGGGACUACCAUGGAGCUGUUCAUGUGUGGAUAUAUUCCGAGAGUACUCAUGAAUUACUUCUUCAACAACGUGCUGACUGUAAGGAUUCAUGGCCUGGGUUGUGGGAUAUAUCUAGUGCUGGUCAUGUAUCUGCUGGCGAUUCUUCCCUAGUCUCAGCAAUGUAUGUUAAUGAAUUUAUAUUCAUGCUAUAGGCAUGCGCCUACACACAAUACUCAUUCUACUUAUCGAAAUUUAUGUUAAUUCCAAGCUUCCCUGAGUUUCUAUUGCUACACUGGCACAAAACUGGCCUAACAUGGGCUCUUUUAUAUUCCAGAUAGUCACUCCCCAUUUUCAUUCUCUGAGUCUGGGAUCCACCACUUUCUGACUGACAUGUUUGACAACCUACAUGAUCUUCCAUUAAAUCUUAUAAAACAAUUAGAGUUCUCAUUCGACAACUUUAAGUCAUACGUUAUUUGCAGCUCAAGUGCUUGAUGUGGAAUAUAACUAAUUCAUUUGUUUUUUCAUUUUGGAGUAUGAGGGUAACCUGCUAAUUUUAGAUCUGAUGAAAGAAAGAAGUUGCUAUAGGAUCAACAUCAAAGUAAACAUGAGAAAAUAAUCAACUAGGUAAUGUGUUAUUUUAGAGAACUUUUGUAUUAGCAGCAAAGCUGUUAAAAAUAUCAGGAGAACAAGUUUAAAGCCUAAUUUGGUUGGAAUCUAUAGCUUGUUUUUCCACAGAGAUUACAAUUUAUUGGAGAAUUCCAACCAGGAAUGCUUUAAGUGCACUCCUCCAAGGGCCAAACAUAAGACUGCCAAAGCAUGUACAGUCAAUCGUGGAUGUUUCUUAAACUGAGUUAUUUCCUUAUAGUAGGAUUUGAAAAUUGGUGGGUUGUCCAACCUCUUCUCCUGUUUCAAACAACUUCGGAUUAGCACUGUUUGAGAGCAUUUAUCUGGGAUUCAACUCUAUCCCUAUACCUAUGCUGAAGUUUGAGUGGGCUGCAUUCGAAAGCUAUAUACAAAAGAUGCUUGCGGUCUCUAGUAGUAUAGAAAAAUGAUAUAGCAUACUAGACCUCAUUUUAAUAUAGGCAAUUUUCUGGUUGUACUAUUUACCACUUGAGCAUGGGCAAGUUAUAAAUGUGUAUGUAAUAACCACCUACAUAUUUUGUAAGUGCAUGAAGUGUUUCAUGCAUUUAACUCUUUUAAUGGCCAGGAUUUUGAUAUGAUUUUUCUGAUCCUUUUUAUUUACUCUUCUCUUCUGGUUUGAAAUUUCUUUUCUGUUGGCCUCAGCUUGAUAUAGAAGUUUUGCUUGCCUCAGGAGGGAGCUUCAUGAAGAGCUUGGGAUACUACUUCCAAAGGACGCCUUUGAAUUGAUUUUUGUUUUCCUUCAAGAGUGGUUAGCACAUACAUCUUAUUAGAUAGUCUUAAGUCUUAUUUUGUUCAUCCAAAUAAGUCUUUCUUGCAUCAUCGAAAUUUAUCCAGUGUCAAGAUUUAUGCAAUUUUCCGGUUUGAAUUCUCUUCUCUUGGUUGAAAGUAUGGACACUAGAUUUGAUUUUGACUUACUGUAACUUGUCUUAUUUCAAAUCAUUUCAUUUUGAAAUUUCUGUUGGUAAGUUAUACAUUUGUAAAUUGAGACACAAGGUGUUUUGAAGAAACAUGUAAGAGAGAAAAAAGAUGAAAAUCAAGAUUGGCUCAGGGCAUAGUUAGGGUUUGCCAGGUAAAGUAUAGCAUAAGUACAUAGUCUGUUCUCCUAUUUACACGUCUGAGAGGUGUAACUCUAUACAUGUUGAGGAAGUUUUUCUGAUUGUGGAGCCUGUGAAAUUGAAUGAAUCUUGUUCUUCUCUUUAUCAAUAUCAGGAUAAAGAACCACAACAAUUCAGCCUAAUCUUUACUUGAGUGUGCUUAUGAGAGAGAUAUUGAUGUCAUUCUGUUGAGUUAUUAGUUAUGAGGGUUCCUGGAAAACAAUUUUUUGUCCUCUCAUUUCUUUUCCUUUUGGUGAUUGAUGCUCUUCCUUUCUAAUUUUCAUCCCAUCCUGCUGCUUCUAAAAGUUCUAUCUUUGUUAAUUGUGUUGAUAUAUGAUCUGACAAAGAUUCAGAAAUAAAGAUUAAGUAUGAGAUGAAAACUUGCUUCUAAAAGUUCUAUCUUUGUUAAUUGUGUUAAUAUAUGAUCUGACAAAGACAGGUGCCUCUUUUCAGAAAUAAAAAUAAGUAUGAGAUGAAAACUUGCCAGUAAUGUUCAGAAUAUUUUUCUCUGCUUGUGGUGAUUAUGUUUGGAUCCUCCUGUUAUAUGUUCCAUACUAGUAAUGAGUAAUUUAAGUCAAUUAUUUCACAUUUCAUGUUUAUUUCCAUGCCAGCCUCAUGCCAUUAAAAACGCUCUUGUUCUUAAAACAUCUGCAGUUGCAUAAUUUAUUAUUCUGUGAUUGAUUAUUCUCUGAAUGUGAUAUGUGUAGCUUUAGGAUCAGUAUAGGAGCAAAGGAAUGUACGUGGUAAAAGGAAUGGGGUAAACAGAAAAUGAGGGAAAAAUCAAGUACCAAGAGGAAAAGACAGAAAUGGGGCUUUCUUGUAUCUGUUAUUCAGUGUCCGUCUUCAUGAAAGAUAUGGAAGUUAUUGUCCUGAGACUUGUGUCUAUACUAACAUAGUAACUUCCACGUCGUGGCCCAGAUUUCUUCUUUUUUUUUUUUCAGUUAUAUCCAUUACAGGUCUACAUAAUCUGACUAUUUUGAUAUCCAUGGUUUAAAAAAUGUACGAGAAUAACAAUAAAAGUUUGACUAUUUUUUGUGCCAAAAGAAUGUGUUUUUGAGGUGUAGUUCCCAUUUCAACCGUAAGUAAUUUCAGGUUACUCUCCUUAUUUUAUAGAUUCUGUAGAAAUAUUGUCUCCAGUACCUAACUACAGCUUCUUGGAAUUUGUUUUAGCUGGAUGAUAUAUUUUCUUGAUACAAUAUUCAUGUCCUGUUACUGGAAACCAUGAAUUCUCACCACUUUUUUGUGCAGUGUGAUAAAUGGUGGUACAUUCAUUAACAACGAAUUUAAUGAUGUAUAUGUGGUUACGACAUUGGAUCCAAUUCCUUUGGAGGCUUUUACUCUUCAGGUAAGAGUCUGACAUUGUCUUUUAACUAUUCUCUACCUUCUAUGAACAACUAAACAUGAGUUUUCAUCUCAUCUUUGUCCUUUUGACCUGAAAUAACUGUGAUGGAAGUGUUGUUUUUGUUCUCAACUUAAAACAUUUCGACUUAUACAUAUAAUCAUCGCAUAAUCACAUUAAUAAAUUAUGUCAUGCUGUGCCUUGUAAUCUGUGUCUUGGUCUUAGAGUUGCUUUUUCUGUUACAUGUUCUGUUGUUUUAAGUUCCCUACCAUGAAUGUUCUAACAGUAUAGAAGUCACUGUAAUAUAAAGUUCUUAAACUAAAUUAUUCUAAUUUAUGUACCUUGACUGUGCUUUUGUUGAGGAUUAGUUCAAGAAAUGUAUUUGCCACCCGCAACAUAGAACCUUUUUCAUGUGCAAUAGAAUUUUCUUUUUUGAUGGUUUUCUGUAGUAAUAUUUAGUUGCAAGAUUUAUAAUUGUAGAAAAUGACUGAAAAUUGCUUUGGCAUAAAUUUGUCGGUGGAGUUGAAAUUCAAAUCAAUAAAACACCUGGGCUAUUUGAGGCUUAAGUGGGAGAUUACAACCCUGCCUUUGUACUGCCACUUCUCACCAAUUUUAGUGCAACAAAAGAUGGAGAUGGUCAUGCAGUCCUUUCGGUUGGUCAAUUGAGGCUCUUUUGUGAAAAAUAGGAAAAGUCACAUGGUGUAUGAUGGCAAGGUGGGUAUCGUGGUAGGCAUCUUGGUAGUCAAGAUUUUAUGAGCUGAAGGUACAUUAAGCAUCCAUGGGUGGGGAGGAGUCUGUUGGUGUAAAUCAUCAACUUAGAUUUCUGUUGUGUUUCUGACGCAGCACGAACACUUGGUAGGCACAACAGCGUUGUAGAAGGGCUUAUAUAUUGAAUAUCACCAAACUUAAAAUAGCAACUUGAAAUAGGCUGGCAGAUUAUGCUUAAGAAGGUAAAACUGGUUGGUAGUUCUAGGAAUCACUCCUAGGAAUCUUUAGGCCUCACACCUAAAGUUGGGAUGCAUCACACAGCCCUAAGGGAGACGUUAAGUCUGCAGGAAUAUUUUAUUAAUGACCAAAAAACUGCCUUCUCUUUGUGGAGAAGUUGAUAUUUAUAGACACUAGGACAAAUCCCUUUCCAAUCCUAAUUAAGAUUCCUAACUAGAAUAGAAUUAUAACUGGAAAGCUAGAAGGCUAAGCUUUCUUAUUCCCUAUAACAACCAAAUUACUAAUUACCAAGAAUAACUACUAAACAAAAAAAAUUACUGUAAACAUAAAAUUCCUGCAGCUAAUUCAAAUUACCAAAAUACCACUGCUGACAGAAAUCAGAAAAUAAACUCCAUAGGAUUCAGGCCAACUCCCAAGUUGGUUCCUUGUCAUCAAAAGCAUGCCAAAUCAAUGCCUGGGCAUUCGACAUAUCCUUCCCACGUCUCCUAUAAACCUUAGUGGACUUUUGCCACUUAUCGCUAUCAGUUUCAGAAUCAGGAUAUUCUCAUCAUUUCCCUUCUUGUAGUUUCAAGGAGAAUUAUAGUAUUAGAAUUUACUAUACACUGCCUACUACUCAGACUAACAUGAGAUAAUUGCUGAUCUACUAAAAAAGGAACAGGUUGCUGAUAAUUUUAGAUAAUGACUACAUCUUCUUGAGAAGUUUAUUAGGUGGUUAUGCUGAUAUUUCUCCUUUAAAUUACUACAACUAAAUCUUAUAAUUUUUGUGACCCAUCUGAUGAUAAUUGCAAAAGUGUUAUAAAAGUAUUCUCAACAUCCAAUUUCCUGUUUAUUUAUAUUGACCGCCAUCUCCUUGUUACCCUUUACUUUGCAUCACCUCCUUCGAGUUAACAAGAGGCAAGUUGAUGUCAAAUGAUGUGAGGCAAGUUGAAGUCAAAUGAUGUGGAUGAGGAGUACUUUUAGGGAAAAAUGGCAGUUGGGAAUGGGUUGAUCUGCCAAAGGUCAAAGUACGUUGGAAGCAAGUAGGUGUACAUCAUCAUGUUAUGAGAACUCAUCUCUGGAGAACUAUGGCAGCUGAUUGCAAAAGGAUAAAAUCAGAAGCAAGUACUACAAAGAGAUGCUUAUUUUAGUAGCAAAACUAAACCAUAAUCUGGUUUUUCUGUUUGGAAGCUUUUUGAAUAGGAGCUACAUUUGUACAAUUUAAAAGCAUUUCUUAUUUGUGGAAUGGAUCUUCCUGCUGGAUAUGUGGUGGCAUGCAAUGUGUGUAUAUGUAAAGAAGUCCUAUUAUGGAUUAAAGAAAUCUCCUAGAGGAUGGUGGGAAUGUUUAUGUGGAGCUACAAAAAAUUGUUGCCAUCCGGUUAAAUGCAUGACAUGCUCUUCUUAUAGAACAACAGCUGAUUGCUCUUAAUAAUUGAUGUGAUACAAUGGUCACAGGAAUUGUCUUAGUCAAAUAAGAGGUGAGGACAGGCCUCACUGUUGAAGUUGAGAUUAAAAAGGCUGCUGGUGUAUAUCUAAAGGGUUCAAAGUUGCAAGUCAAAGAUAUCAUUUUAAUUUGUAUUAAGUAAGAUUCCCUUAAUUUCUCGAAUAGGAGGGAAUUCGGCCAGCUGCUGCAAUUAAUCUAAUAUAGCUUCAUUUAGAUUUAAAUUGGUUUGAUGCAGUAACAAUCAUUGAUGCUUACAGAUAUAGUCAUUUAUUAUCAUGCACUUGUAUCUGUUAAGAGGAUAUUGUAGAAUUUGCAAUUGGUGCAGUUUCUCAACUCAUGCAUAGUCAGAGGUUUUAACCAUCAAGUUAUUCACCUACUCAUAACUCUAUAACUUAUCUAAGGGAGAGAGAUUUAAUAUUUCAUAAUCAACAGGAGCUACAUACUGAAGCUUAGGGAUGUUGUGUUUGGAAAGAACUAUUAUGUACUUUUGUAGGGAGACCUUGUGAACUGGAGAUAAUAUGCUAUGCAUUUGUGCACAUUCCACUGCAAGGGUGAAGUAUAGAGCCAUGUAGCAAGGUGUUUGGAAAUGAUUGGAAGACAAUUCUGCUUUAGGAACUGAAAUGAAUUUUGAACAGUCAAUAAACUGUUAUUCUGGCAAUAGAGCUGCUCUUUGUAUUGUGAAACAACCUAGUGCAAAAUUACUGGAUCAAACAGAUUGAGUAAGCCAUUUAUUUGUGAAAGGCUUGUAUCACGGUUAUUGUGCUUCCCCAAUAUUCAAGUGGGAUUCAACUUGCUGAUAUAUCGACUAAGGAGCUACCUAGGAUAAGGUUUCAGGAGUUGUUAAACAAGCUGAAUAUGAAUAACAUCUUUUCUUAGCUUGAGGGGGAGCAUAGUAAAAGAUCCUUAGUUAUGUAAUUCCUUUUGAUACAUUUAGAUGACAUUAUAGUUGUAUAUAUAGCUCAAACCGAAGGAAUACUCAAGAGGAAGGUGGGGUUGGGCGGGGAAGAAUUGCAUGCAGAAAUGUUUCUGCUAUUCUUGUCAUACUCUCUCUCUCUCUCACACACACACACACAUCUGCAGUUAGGUUUCAUCUUCAGUAACAUUAAUUAUCAUGAUCACUGUUUCCUUUAAAUGGUGAAUAUGUGUCCAUGCUUUUUCACUUCUAUUUCAUAUGUAUUGACUCAUUCAUGCAGCUCUACCACUAAUAGAGAAUGUCUCAUUGUUCAUUGUAGGAAUCCGAAGUUUCAGCUGUGAAAUAUCUCUCUGUGGAGGAAUACAGAGACUUGCUUGCUAAAGAAGACCCUGACUAUGUGCCAUAUGAUGUAAAUGGUGGAUAUCAUCAAGUCUUUGAAAUAAUUAGUGAAAGGUAUGCAUGUAAUAGUUUCCAGUUGAAUAACAGGCAGCAUUUUGCUUAAGCAUGCUGAAAAGAUAAAUGGCAUAUACUUGCACUUCUUGUUUUUCCUUUCCUGUUUCUUUUGUAUGGAUAAGUAUGCUUCUUCUGCUACUUGUUUUGACCUUUUGAGAAUUGUUUGCUCAAUGAUUUCAUUUUCACUCUUCCAUAUUCUGUUAUUCUGUUUGUAAAAGGUACUGUCUACAUUUUUCUUGUCUUUUAAACAGAUGGCGAUAUUGGCUCUCUAAUCUUGUUAUAAGCAUUUCAACUUUUUAUUUGUCUGUGCAUACAGUAUACAAUGCCCUUGUGCAAAGAUUUAAAUUGAAUAAGAACGUUUUAUUUUUAAAAGAAAUUAACUACUUGAAAUCAGAAUUUAUAGAAUAUACUUGUAAAGCCAUAGAAUCCACUAAGAAGCCAUUUAGUUUUGUUAUUCAUAGAGAGUAAGGAUGAUUUCGUCAAGUAAAAAUUUUCGAUCCUUUCUGUUUUUAUGAUAAUAUUAUGUUUAGCUUCUCAAUGUAUUAAGUUAAGAAUGUGUUAUUCUCAUUGUAUUAUGGUAAGAAACGUGAAAAUUAAGAUGGUUAUAUGUGCAUGUAUACAUAGAUACAUGUAUAUUUGCACUUUGAUGUAUAAAUGUGCAUAUGUAUGUCUAUAUUCAAAAUUCUUGUAAUGUGCCUGUUGAAAGAGUGGACGUGCCAAUAUUUCCUUCUCUUUUAAAAUUAAAAUAUAUGUUGCUGUCUCAUGGUUAUAGUCUAAAAUAAAGCAUUAGUUUUGCCUACACAAAAAUAUUUGGAAACUUUUCACACCAUUACUACAUUUGGGAACACUAGUUUCCUCUGCAGGGCUUUAUAUUUCCCAAGGAUUCUUUUUAUAUUUAUAAGCUGUUGGGGUACUGUCUAGGUACAGAGAAAAUCUGGAAGGGUGGAGUUUGACAGUAGAAAUGCAGCUUAGUCAUUGUGCAAAAUAAAAGCAACUUCUCUCAUUUUUUUUUUUGACUUUUCCCUGCAGGGGAGGAGUGGGAUUUAAGAAGUGGGGAGGGGAUGGGGGGAUUUGACCCAAUGCCUCUACAUCCUGAGGCCUCAACCUUAGCUGCUAGAUCAAGGCCUCAUCGGCCUUGUCAUAAUCUAAUAUAAAACAUAUGUUUGCCUAUACAAAAAUAUUUGGAAUUGUAUUCGAGCAUUUCUGCAUUUCAGAAUGCUCAUUUACUGUUGAGCUUUGAAUAUUCAAUGGGUUACUUUUGCAAACAUGAGCUGUUGGAAUAUUUGUAGGUACAGAGAAAAUCUGGAAUCUCGGAGUUUGACACUAGAAAAGCAGCUCAGUCGUUAUGCUCAGAUCUCCCUCAGUGCAGAGGUCCUUUUUUUCCCUUAACUAACUUUUUUUUUUUUAUUGAUACAGAUUCAAUAUCUAGGUGAGAUUUAAGUGGAUUUUAAGUUAUUUUUCAUUUCCAGUCUGUUAAUUGUGCACCUUGUUUUGUCUGUCUUUUAGAGGUGAAAAAAUCAAGAAAACUGAAGCAUAUUUUAAAGAAUGAGCUAUCUGUUUGUUGUGGUGAUGUCCAGGCUUGACCUUUAUAAGUGCAAUGGAAUUAAGUUCUUGUUGAAUGAAGUUAAUUUCUUUCUCUUUAUACUAUAGUUGCACAUGUGUUGUGACUACAGAUGUAUGAUAUUUUCAACUAUCCGAAUAUAUUCUUGAAGCAACUAAGAAUAGGUGCCUUGAUGCCAAAACUCUUUCCACUAGUCAAGGAAUGGCCACACAGAUUCAGAAAAAAUCCUUCAGUAAUCAUGUUGACCUGGUCUGGUUUAUGUAGAUGAAUGAGUCCCAUCUUUAUGAUAAUGAGAUUUUGACUCUCUUGUUUCCUCUUUUAAUUGGAAAAGGACUAUUGUUUAUUUUUUUUUCUUUUUUUUUUCCAUUCUCUAUUGUUUAUUUGAGGAUGUUGUCAGCUUCUUGGUGUGUUCUAACUUCUAAAUAUGAAUUUUCGAGGAAUAAAUACUUGUAAGAAUGAAAAAAUUUUACAGUUGCUUGUCACCAGAGAUGAAUUGUAUUCAAACAAAUGACAUCUAGUUUCCCAAAAUCUUAUAGAUUAGACACAACAAUGUAAAUUGAUACUAUGUUCAUUUUCAGCUCAACAAAGACAAAGUUGCCACCAUUCUCAGCAGUCUGAUUCUCUCAUGUGAUUGAUUUUUGUCAAGGUGGUAAUCUCAGUUGGCAAAGCAUUAAUUUGUCGUUCUAUUUUUUUCAUCCUGAUGGCCCUUGAAUUUUGGAUAUGUUACUUCUGGGCACAAGUAGUAAGAGAGAUUGUCAGAGCUUGAAUUAUGAACAUGACAGAGAAAUGGUCAUUUAUCUCCUUUUGUGCAUUAUCACAUAAAAGAUGGACCUAAAUUGAGCUGAACUGAAAAAAAGUUAGCUCCAAAGACAACACCUAUAUAUUAGUGCAUAAUGCUUUUUUUUAUUAGACCUACUUGAACUUUUUCAAGUUUAGCUUUUUCGUCAGUUUCUACUGAUAUGGUGCAUUAUUUGUUGCUUUACUCAGAACUCUUUUUUCCUCAUGAUAUGCACAAUGCCAUGAUUGUGGUACCAGGAAACCUUAUUUAAUGUAUUUAUCUCAAAGGUGAAAAAGAAACUUACUGGUGACAUUGUAUUCUCUUUGUUCUUGUACAGUUAACGGGGCUUACAAGUGCAGAUAAAGAAGCUCUAGCAUUACUGAUUAAGGCUGCAGCCAUCAUGGAUGACAUUUUUUGUCUUCAGGUUGGGAAGAAAAAGCUUUAGAUGGCUGUUAUUUAUGCCAGUGUCUUAUGUAGUAAUGUUACAUGAACAAAUAUUUGCAUUCAAAAGUUUUGGCAUUCUUUUCGACUAUUGCUUUCAAGGUUUCACCAGGAAAAGAGGAGGUUGGGAUUGGGUUCUCUGUGAAAAGAUUACCAAGUAUAUCAGUGCUGAUUUUGAUUUUUAAUUGAACUAGUUCCUCUGAAAAAGAUUCAUAAGCACUUAUGUACUUAUUCUGGUCAAUUUUCAACAUGGAAAUAGAUUAUGAUGGUUCCUUGCAAAAUGAUAAAGAUUUGAAAAAUGCUACACAUUAGCUUUAUUUGACUCAUCUUUUGCUUGACCCUGUCAUCCUCACUUUUUCAUCAAUUUGCGCCAUCUUUUUAUAUCUUCUUGAGUGUAUUCCUCUGUCUGUGAAGUAGGAGAUUAUCUAAAAUUUACUUUAAAAUAUUCAAGUUUCUUUGUGAGUUAGGUCUGAGUUUAUAGUCUUAAGUUAUAGACUUAUAGGAAUAGAAAUUAAGGGAAAGAACACAACAUGAGUGGAGUGGCCAGAGCAUUCAGAUUAUGGGUACCAUUCUCCCAAGCAUCUGGCUUGAGUUUAAAUGGAAGUCAGCUUGACUUCACUAAUGCAGAUUGAGCUCAAAAUGCUUGAUGGAAGUCGGAGUCAUAUUCAAGUAAAGUCGAGUCGGUUUGCACUAGAUGCUCACAUUCUCUGUUUCCAAUGUGUAAACCAAGUUAUCCAUAGUUUAAUUAUUAGCUAUUUUUCAGUGUUCAUAUUGGGUGGAAUUAAAUUGCUCACUUCUAGUAACCUAUCAUAGAAGGUUGUCCACAACUAGUUAAGAAACCUAAGAUAAAAGGUUAUAAUUCCUUUUACUUUCUACCAUAAUGCUUUAUAUUGUCAAUAGCUUUUGCAUGAAGCUAAUUGAAAAGAUUUAGGAACUAAAACCAAAACAUUUUGGAGCAAUUUGGAUUUGUAUUGUGUGUUUUUGUCGAACACGUUAUAUUCCCAAAUGUUAGUUAUCCUUACCUGGUGCACAAAUUACUUCACCUUCGUGCAUUUUUUGGGUCAUUUUUUAGAGUUAGGAAAAACAGGGUUUUCAUGGAGACUCAUAAACAAUAGAACAAUUGAAAAUGUUUUUCUCCGACAGCCGUCAGCUUUUGCUUCAUAAAUACUAUCCAAGAGAUUGCCUAUUUACUGAUUUUUUUGGCCAAGCACAUAUGUGUCAUUGUACAUUGGUUUGCUUCUAUAAGAUGUUGCACUUCCUUAGUGCCUUCAAUUAAAUUUUACCUUUUCUCCAAAAAAAAAAAGAUUUUUUUGGCUGGAAGUAUCAUGUUUCUUCUUUUCUUCAUAAAUCAACUCGAUGUCACUUUAGUAAAGAGUUAGUUAUUGUAUUCGUUAAAGAAUCUCAAAGACAUUAACAUGAACAGCUUGAGUACUCUGGUAUAAAUGGUGGAUGAUAUUUAGGAUCAACAAAAGAGCGCAUUAUAGUUUGUCUGACCAGUAUGUAAUGAAUUUACUUGAAGACAUUAACAUGAACAGCUUAAGUACUGUGGUAUAACUUGUGGAAGAUAUUUGGGAUCAACAAAAGAGCGCAUUAUAGAUUGUCUGAUCAGCAUGUAAUGAAUUUACUUGUCAGUUCUUUUACUGCCCACUCACCUGUUGGGCCUCUUGUUGUUUUUAUCUAGGAAUGAGCAUUGCAAAGUUGAUCAGUUUAAAUCAAAUGUAUGGUAAAGAUGUGCUUAGAGAAUCGGUCCUCUGUCUUAAUUUGUUUCUACUUUUGUAUGACUCUUACUUGGAAUUUUGUUCUUUUUCCUCUUCCUUCUUUUGCUUCAUAAACAGGUUUGGUACAGCAACCCAUCCUUGAGAAAUUGGCUAAAGGAACAAGCUAACAAAAGUCAGUUGGACAAGUUGAAGUGGAAUUAUUAUCAAGUUAAUAAAUCUCCAUGGUAUGUGUCUUGCCGUGUAACUCUUUUUGUACAUGCUCCUGUUUGUUUGUUAGAUUCUCUUCACGUCCGUAUGUACAGGAAAGCUAUCAAGUUAAUAUUCAAUUCACAAAUUCUCUGAGACCUAGAAAUCCUGCUGCAUCAUGAAUGUUACCUUCCCAUUUAGGCGUCCUUCCCAAUCUCCCCCUAUAACAAAAGCUUCACCCUUGCUUUCCUGGAAUUGUUUCUCAAAUGCCUAAAAGACCAUCUAGGUCACCAACACUUUAAUGGCCUUUGCAAGGGGAAACCUCAUGUAUGCAAACUAACAAUGCUCAUUACCUCAUUAAUGCAUCACCAACUCAUUAUACCCCUAAGAAUAUUUAAAUAUUCAAUGUGGAAUUGAAUUGACUUAAUAUGUUGGUGAAUUUGAUUUAAUUGGUCCAAAUGCGAGGAGAUCAUGUGGACAACAAUGAGAUAUCUUUCCAUGCAAGACGAUUAGUCAAUCAAGUUUGUAGGCCUUGUAGACCAACUGAGAAGAUACACCAGCUUAUCCAGCUUGCCAUGGGCCUGUUUAGUUUAUCCCAAAUGUAAUAAAGUCAGGCUCCAAACCUGGAACUUGUCCAACUAGUGCUUUUGCUAUCUCAAAACUGGUCCUUAAUCGAGCUUAAGUUCCAUAUACAAGCUAUAUAGACAUUCUUUCUGGUAUGCUGAAAGUUAUAUUUAAUUUGUGAUCUUCUUUCCCUUCCCUUUUACGUAGUCUAGUUGUCUUUACUUCUGUAUUUUAUAGAGGAUUCCAUAAUCAUCACUGUUAUGACAUGAACGUCACCAUUAGCUCAAACACCUCCCUUAAUACUCUAUGUCUUGGAUGCAAAGAUCUCUGGGUGCCCAAGUAACUUCUGGUUUUAGUUGGAUUUGUAGCUUGCAUCGACUUGCUGUUUCUGUGGGUGUGUUCUUUUGACACCAUCAGUAACUCAUUAAAUUUUCCUGGCUGGCUUUUGGCACAAUAUCCAUGUUUCAAUUGCUUUAGUUAUGGAACUCAUUAGGAUGAAUAACUAAAUAUCAUAACUAGUGUCUUUUUAACACAUAUUUACUGCUGUUAUAGUUUUAAAAUUGAUUUGUUGGAUGACUAAUAUAUUUUGGUGCUUGCAGGUCUUGUCUUGAUGAAAAUAAGGCAUUUUUGACAACUGCCGACUCUGCUAUUAAGCUGCUUCCUGAAGCUACAAAGCCAGUAGCAGGGUGGAAAGGCCUCCAGUAUAGAACAGCAUUUCCUGUUGUGAAACCACCUGGUGCAAAUUUCUACCCCCCAGAUAUGGACAAAAAGGUAUGGAGUGAGAACAUUUUUGUUUGACCAAAAAAAGAUGGUUGCACAUGUUGCAUCCAACUGCUUCACUUGGACGACCUACCUUCAGCAGUGUAACGUGCUCUUCAUUGAUUUGUUUAAUUGAAUGUUCAAAAUAUUAUCAUGCCUUAGGAAUUUGAAUUGUGGAAGAACAGUCUCUCAGAGGAUCAGAAAAAGGAAGCAAUUGGCUUUUUCAAUGUUAUAAAAAGGCAUAGUGAAAUUUUUCUGGAUAAAGCUGAGUCUCUUGAUGUAGUGGUUGGCACCAAUUAUGCUCAUGAUCUUUAUAUUGUCCCUUACUCCAAAGAGUACAAGUCCUUGCUUGGAAAAGCUGCUGAUCUGUUGCAAAAAGCGGGAGAUCUGGCUAGCUCACCUACGUCUGGUUCCCUUUUUAUAUUUUUAUUUUUUUGAUUUCUGUGAUUUCUUAGAGAGAAAUUGUAGACAACUGCAACUACUGAUGUUCAUAUUACCAAAUUCUUGCUGGUGCAGUCUGAAGAGGCUUCUACAUGGAAAGGCUGAUGCCUUCCUUUCAAAUGACUACUAUGACUCAGAUAUUGCCUGGAUGGAGUUGGUUAGUAUUCUGUAAUUGCCAAUCAUUUCGUGCUCUGUAAAUUAGAUGUGCGGCACAUCAACCCUAUUUACCUUUGUAAGAGUUUCUAGUUAGUUUCCUACUAUGACUAACUACUUGCAGUUGGGAACAUUCUGAUUGACAUAUUCAAGACUGCUGAUAUUUAAAGGAUAUUGAAGUUCUAUCAGUGUGAAUAGAAUACUGCUAUCGGGUUUUAUGGAUUUACUUUUGUCAAAUUUCCCUUACAAUUUUGGUGACAUCCUCUGCCACCAACGAGUAAACUUAUGAGAGAAUCCUUUUCCCAAGUUUAGUGUUGGAGUACCAUAUUUUAGGAGGAUAUACCAGCCACUCAUCUAAAGAAAUAAGUAAAACAAUUAAGAGACGCAUCACUAUCCAUUAGAAGGCUUCUUCUUUUGAGUUUUCGUAUCUCGAAGUUGAUUAGAUAUAUAAUAUAGAAGAAAAAAGACAGUUGAAUUUUGGAUUAUAAUGGUUAUGACUUGUUGAUUUUGUAUGCUAUUUAUAAAGGAAUAAAUCACUUCACAUAUUUGACCUUUGUGUUUGAAUUAAUAAUCUAAAUCUUAUUAUGGAUGUAAGUCUGACUGAAUGAUACGCACUGUCAAUUAGUUUUGAGUUUUAUAUCCAAACCCCAAGACAAAAUCCAAACUUAAAAGGAUGUUUAAUUUUUUUUACAUGACUUCAACAGGAGUGCUUAUGUGAAACUGAAACACAAUGGGGAUAAACAAUUACUUACAGACAAAUUAAUUUUUAGAGACUCUAUUGAUGAAAGUUGGAUCUUAUGUUAUAUAUCAUUUAUGUGAUCUUCGAUCUGGAACCAUUAGUAGUUGUUGCACUUUCAUAUAGAUGUAAAUGAAUGAAGAUAAAUAGGUGCAUGUUUUUCUGAUCAUAUACUUUUUUUAUUUGUUUGUGCUGACUAGCGUACUGUUCUUUCAAUUAACAGACUUUGUUUCAAGUGAACUGCUAAGGUUCAAAAUUAAACUGAUUUUGUCAGAACGUUAGAUGAUGAGUUGAUCCGUAGGUUUAUCUUCAGAGUUGAGGAAGUAGAUAAAUCCAGAGUUGUUGUAAUACAUUCUUGGGAAGUUCACCUUGAAUAUGUUGACACAAUAUAUGGAAGAAAGCUAAACAUUUCUUGUUCUAUAACUUAUCAUGCUAUGCCUGUUGGUUUGGUUCCAGUGGAAUAACUGUAAUCCAUGGAAAAAUUCCAUCCAGAAAAUUUCCUCGUUUAUUAGAAAAUAAAUAUGAAAUAAGUGAAAUAUUUAAAUACUUAGCGAUUGAAGCAAUCUGGUGAAAAUGGGUGCUUAAGAGGAAUUCAUAUUUUAUGGGUUUCUUGUUUCUUGAAAAUGACUGUGUUUGAUUUAAUAACAGCCCUCUCUCCCUGUAAUCCUGAAAUUUUCAAUUUCUUUUAUUUAAGAUUAUGUCAAACUCACGAGUAUGACUCAGCAUUGUCAUCGCAUUUGUCUCCUUGUUAGUUCCUCUCAUAACAUUUUCUUGUGCAUGUCUGUGUUCGACUUACCCACAGAAUUCACUCCCUGUUAUCCUGAACUUUCAAUUUCAUUUAUUUAACUUUGGCAUCAACAUCAUAAAAAUGAUUUGAUGUGGGCAUCGCGUUCUUCUGCACAUUAGAUCCUCAGACAGCAUUCUUAUUCUGUUUUCUUAAAUAUCCACCUUUAGUUGGUAGGAGAUUUGGUGUUGAUAUAUUGGUUGUACUUAAAAUAGCAAGCAUUCGUGAAUUGUCUUAGCUUGUCUUCAGUGUUUUAAUAUUUUGGGAGUGUGAGCUAGAGAGUCUGAGGAAUUUAGCAUGGAUGCUUAUCUAGUCAUAAUGAUAUGUCAAGAGCACAUGCAGGGUAGUUGGACCAAGGGUUAGUUCUUCUGGACUUCUGGGGGGGAUGUGUAAUCUGACACAGUGGAAGAAACUAAGGACACAGAACAGUUAAUUAUAAUGAGACUAUGAAAAAAAUCAUAGUAACUGCAGAAUUUCUCUGCUCUAGAAGUGUGGGGUUUAGAGCAUCUAUUAUAAAAUUGUCUUUUGCAUCGAUUUUAUUUGCCAUCAAGAAGCUCACAUGUCUGCAUGCUAUGUUUAUUCAAGGACUCAAAAUUGGAUGUUACAAUUGGUCCAUACGAGACUUAUGAAGAUGGACUUUUUGGAUACAAGGUACUUCAUGGAUGUCAUUUUGCCUCUGCUUGCUUAUAUUCUUUCUUUAUUGGGUAUUGGGUUGGAACGCAUAACUUGUUUAUGUUUGUAUUUAUAAAUAUGGUACUACACACUCGUGUUUGGCUGCUUUUGAAUCUUUGAAGGGACUCUCCAUAUGACAUCACUGAAAUCCACUUAGUGGUUACCAUCCACAAGAACAUUUUGAGAAUAGUCUUUGGUUCUUUGGAACCUGUUCCUGCCGAUCACUUUUAGUACAAACCAUGUGCUGAGAAAUAGGCUUAUUUAUUACUUAAAAGAGUAUUACAUUCAUUGUUGUUUGGUUCUCUGGACAUCUGAGACCCAGCCAGCCUUUGGCCACACUUACAGCAUUUGAAUAAUGGAUACUAUUUUACUGCUAAAACAUGUAAUCGCAGAAGUAGAUGAGUGGAAAGCUGAAAUGCAUUGUCAAUACAUGUAAAGUAGUAUUUUCUUUUCCACAUUUUCUUGGAAACAUUCUUGGAGAAAACUGGAAGUAUUACCUGCCUUCCUCUUGAUCUUCUGCAUCUGCAGAUAAAUGCAACUUGAAUCUUGAUAUGCUUUUUAUAUUUUCAAUAGUAGCAUGCGUAUCCGAAAUUGAUUAUUAUCCAAGCAUCUUUUGUAGGAGCAGCAGAAUAGAUUGUCUAUCUGAUCUUAGGUUAAUAGUGAAACACACAACCCAACAUUUAAACACUGGUUUGUACCGCUCAGAAUGUAUGCAAUUGGUACCAAAAGUGCAUUUUUUCAUUUCCUUGUUCUUGUAGCUCAUUUUGAGUCUCUUCAGGCAACAUUUGAGGCAUUUAUUGGAGUUCGAGAUGAUAAAGCUACAGAACAAGUUAAACUCUUUGGUGAUCAGUUACAGGUUUUCUUGAUUUUACGUUUUCCUCUAUCAAGCAUUGGUUCCUUGCUUUUUCUGCCACCUCCUUCACUGUCUUCUUAUCACAAAUUUUUACUGACUAGUUCUUAGAGAAAAACCUUCCAAUGGACGAUGCUUACAAGUCAGAGGAUGUGAUUGCUGCCCCUAUUCGAGUCAUCCAGCUGCUUUAUAACUCUGGCGUAAGUUUUAAGGGUCUAUAGUUAACCAUUCUGUAUAUAAAUGCUCAUCGCGAUUAUUAUGGAAGCCAAUUCCUCUUUUAUACAAAUGGAGAAAGAUCUUCAGAGCAUAUUUUUAGGUAAUAAUUAUCUUCUAUCAGAUCAGAAUGCCAAGUGUAAAUAGCUUUCAUACUAAAAAUGAGAGAUUCCUGUUUAUUGACUUAGGGAGUGAAUGAAACACGAUGAUGUUUUCCUGACUGAUAGGACUCAUUCUAAGAGGUCGAAAUAAUCAAAUAGGUUGUACAUGUUUUCUACCAACCAAAGUAUAUAGAAAUUCAAGGUUUCCUCUCUGUGCCAGUGCUGGGCUUAAAAGUGCACGCGUGCAUGCUCUGAUAAUAUUCUGACUCCCAAGGUAAAUGAACAGAAUGCUAUUCUAAUCAAUUCUUCACGGUUAAUGUACCUGUUAACGAUGUUGCGUCUGACAAAUUCUUGAGUAUCAUCCUUCCCUCCUUUGAAGUUGUUGGCUUUCCUUUUGUAGGAGACUAAAUAUAUCAAAUUUCACAGUGAUAUGAAACUCUGUUUACAAUUAACCAUCUUCGUUCAGUAAACCAUAAAAGUAUUUGUCGUCCCUGAGAAGAAAUGCAUUUAUAACAGCUGAAGAAACACCUUUCCGGACCAAAGCAAUGUUAAAUGGCAUAAGUUUUUUGCUAAUUAAAGUUAUCAACAAAAAAUGAACAGGUACCCAAUUCUGCAACUAACUUAUUGUUGAACUAGGCCGAAUAUGUGGAAUCAUGUUGCAUUUAAAUGCUUAACUAAUACUGAAGUCCAUAGGGUUGCUCCUCUAGUUUUAGUGAUUUUUCUACUUGACUCCUGGCAUUUUUUUGUAAUUGCAAAAUCAAGAUCACCUUGAAGGUGUGUUGGUGUUUCUAGAUUAUUCCUGUAGUUGAAAACUUGCUUUGUUCAACUUUUAGAAAAAUAAAGCACCAAAAAUAUCUUGAUCAUUGUUAUUUUUACUUUUGGCAGGAUGUGAAGGGCCCCCAGACUGUUGCAUUUAAUCUUCCAAAUGACGAGCGCAUUGUAAAUGAUCGAGGGACAUCCAUGGUCAUGCUCAAGAAUGUCUCUGAGGCAAAGUUAGGUUUUUUAUCUAAAAAUAGGAACAUUUUAAAGUUCUCUAAUAAUUAAUUAGAUGUCUUUGCAUAAAUGUUCCUCAUUGGCUUUGAAAGGCAUUUCAACCAUGCAAUUUGUUAAGCUUUUAACCUGCUUCCCUUAAACAGGUUCAAGCUUAUUCUUCAGCCAAUAGCUGCUGUAUGUAUUUCAAAGGAACAACGGGAAUUUGUAGACUUUGACUCUUUCUUCACUCAUACAAUUUGCCAUGAAUGUUGCCAUGGAAUUGGACCUCACACAAUAAAACUUCCAAAUGGAAAGCAGUCUACAGUUAGACUGGUUAGUUUCAUACACUCCAUGAUGCUACCAAUCAUGGACUCUAUUCUGUUGUUCCUUUCGUGUGCAAUGUUGAAGAAUAUAUAUAUAUAUAUAUAUAUAUAUAUAUAUAUUAAUAUUAUAAUAACCUGUGUUUUUCUCUUGUAAAGGAGGCCUUCUCUUGUAAAGGAGGCCUGCAUAAAAGAGUCUAGCUUACACAUUUUACAAUAUGCAAAUACUGUAGUCUAAGUAUAUUCUUAAUGCCCCUUCAAAAGAUACUUAUUCUACUGAAUCAGAGUUGUUUAGAGACAAAUUACACGUAGAAAAAUAUUUUUAGUAACGUGCAGGACAAUCUGCUGGCACAUUUUAAUUUACAGUGUUAUACUUGGAAGAUUUUAACUGAAGAAGGACAUGUUGUCUUCUUUUCUUUUUCCUCUCCUCAAUUUCCUUUUUUCUGAUAUUUUUUAACCUCGAUAACAUAUUUGGAGUGAAAAUGGCUCCUAAGACACAACAAAAAAGAAAAGAUGAGUUGGUAACAUCCUUCAUAUCUGUUCAAUACAGGAGCUACAAGAACUUCAUUCGGCAUUGGAAGAAGCAAAAGCAGAUAUUGUUGGUCUUUGGGCCCUAAAGUUUUUAAUUGACAAGGUAAGUAAUUCAUAUCAUGACCUAAAAAGAAGUAAUUCAUCAGAUGUUAAUUGGUACUUUCACUAUGACUGUUGUAUUCUACUUUGUUCUAUGUAGCCUACAGGCUUACAUUACAGUUGAGUUUGCCGGAGAUUGGUGUUAAAUUUUCAGUUUGUUAUUAUUAUUUUUUUUUGUUCUUCAUAGGUUAAAAACAUUUGCCAAACAACUCUGCAAAUCAGUUGGUUACAUGUAUAAUGUUUCACUAUCUUCUUUUCUUUUUCCUUAUUAGGUACAUUUACACGUUGAUCUACUCAGAGUUUAAAUUGAAGUCUCAUAACUCUUUUAAGAAAAAUGGAAAUGGGCCAUUAACAGCAACACUACCUUCCCUAUGUUUAUAGUAUAGGUGAAGUAGUUAAUGGUUACUCUCUGACAUCUAUUGUCAAAGCUUCAAAACAUUCUGAUUUUAAAAUUUUGACAUUCCAAAGGAUAAUGCACGUUUACGAGCUUGUGUUCCGUUUCAUUUGUUUUUUAAAUCUCAUCUUUGACUGCGAUCAUGGGAAUGUCAAUUUAUUGAGUUGAUGGCAGGACACAAAUGGGCAUGUUUGCUUUUCUCCUUAGAUGAUAACAUGAAUUUCUAAUAUCUUGAACAUAAGUCAGCUUAGUUCAUGCCUUCCCUAUGGCAUUCUAGUGAGUUUAGAAAAUUUAUGCGAGUCUGUCAGUGCUAAAAUGACUUCUAUAAAUACGAGGAUGAUUUCUGCACCACCAUCUGUAUGGUCCAUUAUGCCCAUCAUUGUGAAGAAUAUGUAGUCUUGAUUGGACCUCACAGACAAAUUCAAAUUGACGUUAUUCUGAGUCCUUUCCUACUUGAUUGGUGCUUAUGAACUUCUCUUGAGUGUUCUUAGAGGUCUAAUGCUGAACAGUGUUGUACAGCUAUUCCCAUAUAUUUAAUUGUCUAGGAUAGUCCAAGUUCGGUAUGAUGCACAUUUUUAUCAUGUAUUGUGCACUGUGGAUGCCAUUUCUUUAAUGUCUAUGAUUUUCUCGAUAUUGCUCACCAGGAAUUGCUUCCAAAGAGCUUGGUCAAAUCCAUGUAUGUUUCCUUCCUAGCUGGGUGUUUUCGCUCCGUACGUUUUGGAUUGGAGGAAGCUCAUGGGUAAGCUGUUCAAUUCCCCACAUUGAUCUGUUAUCCAUGUUUUUCUUUUUCACUGCUGCAGCAUCAUUCUCUACUUUUGAUUCUCUGUUCUUUUUUCCUAAUUGGAAUUUCUUUUGAAAUUGGCGUUAUAUGUUAAUGAUCCACCACUAUCUAAUGACUAAUUGCAAUAUUUUGCACUUCCUGCUGAUCUGAUCAGGAAAGGGCAGGCACUGCAGUUCAACUAUCUGUUUGAAAAUGGCGCAAUUGUUUUACAUCCUGAUGAAACAUUCUCUGUUAAUUUUGACAAGGUAUGGACUUCUAAAGACUCCUUGCCAAGAACUGCUUCAUUGUAAUUGAACUAGUGCAGGAAAGUUUCUUCUUAUUUUUUUUGUUGGGUCUCUGAAAAGGUUGAAGGUGUAGUUGAGAGCUUAAGCAGGGAGAUCCUUACCAUUCAAGCAAGAGGUGACAAAAACAUGGCCAGAAUAAUUCUUCAAAAAUACAGUGUGAUGACACAACCGCUUAAAGAUGCAUUGAGAAAGUUGGAACUCGUUCAGGUAUAAAUAUGCUUACUACUAAUAAGGUUUUGCAGUUUGGCAUAGAAGUAGAAAGCUUUAAAGAAUUGCUACAUAGAUUUCCAUCUUUGCUCAGUCCUUUCCAUGUGGGGAUUAAGAAUCCACUUGCCGGAUCAAGAAUAAUUAUCCCCUUAAAUUUUUCCUACCCUUUCUGUAUGCUGUCAAUGAUAAAUUGCUUCAAGCACACAUGACAUGGUUUAAGCUUUGUUUGGAUGUUUUUGCACCGUGUGCUUUAGUGGGGAUAGUAAGGUGAUUUAAAGGUUAGUAUUGGUAUAGUUGACAUUCUCAGUAGUAAGUGGAUUUUCAUAAAAGUUUUAACUUUGGGUGCACCUGGUUUUCAUUUUUUUUUUUUUUUUUUUGGUUUGCAAAAGCAUAAAUCUUUUUCCGUGAAAGUGCUUUCAAUUUGGGGGGUGGAUGGUAAUCGUAGAGUUUUUAUAGCAGGCUCACUUCCUUUAUAGAUGAGAUGAUGCAUUUAUCCUCCUGUGCCUGGGAAAAGCCUUUAACCUGUAAUGCUAAAAAAUUGUGUAUCUUAUGCUUCUCUGCAAUUUUUCAGGUGCCAGUGGAUAUAAUUCCUGAAUUCCCAAUAGCUGACGAAAUUUUGCGGAAAUUUACUGAAGAUUGAGUUUCCAGUUUUGGUACUAUCGUUUUGUUUUGACUACAAAAUAGACCAAAAAAAACUGUUAGCCAAAAUAUUCUCAUUUCAUACUCGUACAUAAUUGCUUUUGUUUCUUCUAAAUAAAUAUGUACUCACAAUUCUAUGCUUUUUUUUUGAAUAAAUAAAUACGUGCUUCUAUUUUAUUGCUAGUAAGCAGUAGCUAUCUUUUACAUUUUGCUAAUCAUAUGAAAUACGAGACUAAGAAAUGGUUUUUUUUUUUUUUGUUGCCUGUUACGGUAUCCAGGGCUUUGCCCUGACUAAUUCGUUGGUCGACUCGGGUUGCACACUUGAUUGUGGUGGGUGAGUUUCUCAACAAGGGUAGUUGCGUACGCCAGAUUUAAGAAAUGGUUUAUCAUGGAAGAUUAUACAUAGAAAAGUACAGGAAAUAGAUAAAACGUUGGAGGGAAAUGGUGCGGUUUAAUUAGGAAAUUCAAAAUAUCUAUAUGCAAUACAUUUUUUUUUUUUAAGACGACAAUAGUUGUAUAACCUAAUUUAUUCUACACUAAGGAGGAGGGGGCGGACCUAAGGAGGUCCAGGGAUAAUUUGGAGGGGACUGAACCACCACCGGAUCAAACGGGUGCACAACACACCCGCCUGGAUUUUUUUUGAAGCAAAUCACUUAAAUAUGGCAUUUUUGCCCCACCAAGCUAGGUGGUGGCCUUCAGCCUUUGCUGGUGGUUAUCUAUAUGCAAUACAAGACUUUUAAAAAUUUUGUGAGGGAAGCGGCGGCAAUUCCCCCCCCCCCCCCCGCGUGGUCACCCUGAUUUGAUUAUGUUUGUUUAUUUAUUGAGAUAAUUUCAGAAACCUCUCUUGAGGUUUCUAACAAUUUCACUAGCAUUCCAUAAAAUUUGCAAAAUUAUAUAAACCUCUCUUGAGAUUAAGGUUUGAUAACAAAAUUAGUCCAAUUAGAUAGGCCUGUCAACGGGUCGGGUCCGGACCGGAAUUCAUUAUUCCAGACCCGGACCCGGCACACUAUAUCGGAUCUGGAUCCGACCCUUUUACCCGACGGGUCUUUUACUCUAUGUUCCGGAUCCGGAUCCGACGGGUCCCGGAUCCGACGGGUCCCGGAUCCGGAUCCGGGUCUAUUUGAAAAAAACUAACAAAAUUUAUAAUUUCUAACAAAAAUGAGAAAAAAAACAUAUAUUUAUAAACUAAUUUCUAACUAAUACAAAAAAAAUCAAAUAAGAAAAGAAAUCAAAUUAACCUUACUCAAAUACAUCACUCUAAUCAAAUUAUAUUGAUUAGGAUUCGGGUCCAAUUAUAUUGAUUACUCAAAUACAUCAUCCUAAUAAAAUUAUAUUAAUAAAUAUAUAGUUUUUAAAUUAUUAAUCUAUUUAUAUCCGGAUCCGGGUCCAAUACGGGCCGGAAUACUAUAUUCCGUAUCCGACCCGUUUUUUUGUUUGACAAAACGGAUCCGGAUCCGGGUCCAGGUAACGGAACUAAAUCCCUACCCACACCCGGAUAAAUUUGACGGAUCCAAUCCGGGUCCGGGUCUAGACCCGGACCGUUGACAGCCCUACAAUUAGAAAAAGCAACAUUAAAAGAAUACUUUAAGGAGCGAGAUGGAACUUUUAUUCCAUAAAUACCCCUUUAUGCAUGUGCAUGUAUAUAAGUUGUAUUAAUAAAAGAAUAAAAAUAAUUAAAAGUUAGAAAUAAUUAAUACACACAUUUUACCUCUCAAAAAAUUUAUAUUUAAUAAAUUAAACAACACAAAUAAGUAGCAAAACUACACUAAUGAUUACAAGGUUCAACAAAAUAGAAUAGUCAUCUGUUUCAACGUCAUAUUUGCUAUGAUUCUUAUAACAGAAGAAAUUUUCGAACUUUGCCUUUCUUUUCAGUGGAGGGGCCCCUUUCAGCCUACAAGUGUGCAAUGCCUAAUUAUUCCAUGUUUGUUCACAGAGAGGAAGUUAAGAGCUCCAAUUCAGUAUUGUACCAGUAUGGAGCCGAACCCUUCACGUCAGCGUGUCCCUUGCUAAAUUCUUUUAACCAGGACGAAAGGAGGCUUACCUCGGGCUUUUAAUUCCUAGCUCCUCCUUUCAAUGAUAGCCGUCUUGUCUCCAACGUUGCUUAGAAGCACUUGAAAAAUACUUCCCCUCCGGAAAGCCCGAUACUGAAUCACCACAUUAUAAGGUAAUCUAGUAUAUCAACAACUUACGAUUUUCAAUAUUAUUGAAUUCAAUAACUACUUCAAAUUGAUAUUUGAAGUGUUAAAUAAACCAAAAACUAGAAAAGUACUUUGCAGGGAAGUUUUUGUAGAGGAGAUGGAAAAAGGAAAAGCCACUGUUCGUCUGAGAUGGAGACAACGGCUACCUAAGUUCUUCCUAAACCCUCUCAUUACUUUUUUUACACUUAUAAUUAAAAUGCUAUUUUUCCUAUCUAUCUUUUAAUAUAAAUAUCGUUAGUUUGCUUUUAUCGAAUUUAACUGUGGUUUUGAAGGUUUAAAAGGAUUAAGAUGAGUUAAGUUAGUAUGAUACUUGUUAGCCUGAGAGAAGGUGGUAUAGGAAAUGAAACAAAAGAUGUGUUGCAAGUUGCAUACUUUUUACUUAACCUAAGAGAGGGUGGGAUAGCUUGAGAGAGGGGUCGGACUGAAAGUAAAACAUAGGGAUAAUUUCAGAAACCUCCCCUGAGGUUUCUAACAUUUACACUUACCUUCCCUGUGGUUUGAACAAUUACAUUGACCUCCCCUGAGGUCAUUAAUCCUUUACAAAUUUAGUCCAAAUGAUUAAAAUAUUAUUUUAGAGAGUGAAAUUAGAAUUUUGUACCUGAUUUGUCCUUUGUGCCACAUGUCCAAUGAAUGACAAAGUAUUACAAAUUAAUUAACAAUUAAUAAACUUUAAGGAGCGUAGUUUAUAGGCAAAUACGUAUUGCCUAUUUAAAGUACCAGCUCUUUACAUGUAUUUUACUUUCAAACAUUUACUUUAUCACAAAUAUUUAUUCUCAAAUACAUAUUUGUAUUUACUCUCAAAUAUUUAAUUUUUGUUAAACACAAAACCUACCAGUUUUUCUUC